UGUCGAAUGUCCAUACAUCUUCUCCAACACAGACACACACACCUCAUAAAGACCCUGCUUACGAGCAAUAUGAGCAAGCUCAUUGACAUUCCAAGCCUUGUCAAGAUAUCCAAGGUGAUGCAACUGUGAAUUUGUAGUACCAAAAUCCUUAAAAGCAUCAAUCACAGCAUUAUACUUUCUUUUUUUAUGACAAGAGAAACCCGCAGCUGCUAUCCGUUGGGUGCACACAUGGUAAAACCCCCGCUCCUAUGCAAUAGCUCGCAAACCACAUAGGAGAGGUUACCCGUGCUAGGCAAGCCCGAUGCGAAAUGCUCGACCCAAAAGGCAAACCCUUGCUUUUGCUGGCAAGGGGUUUCAAACUUGAGACCUUCAACAUGAAAGUCCAAGCCCAAACCACUGGGCCACCCCAAAGGGUAUCACAGCAUUAUACAUUUCAUUCCUCCAUUGAUGUAAAUCAUACCAAACAGACGAACUAUCCCACUCAUUUGGUAUCUUUAGCCUCCAUGUCUCAAGGAUGUCCUUAAGAUCAGCAUAUAGGCUACCAUGAACCCGAACAGAAGAAUUUCCAGAGAUUUUAUUUCCAUUGGCAAUGUCCAUGUGACCAUAUCAAUGUGAUGGAUUCUCCUGAUAAAACUGAGAAGCAACAUUAUCCAUGUGAUAGAUUCUCUGUUCCCCUCCCGUUUCAUUGCCGAAAAAGAGAUCUUGUACCACGAUGAAGAUAGUCAUCUAAGUUGUAGCCCGUAGACCUCAUUCUUUCCAAGAGACCAAAAGCAUGAUGUGCUUUAUCUUGAGAAUGGAGAAGGGACUGAAGCAAUUUGUUGCAAAUUCGUGGCAUCAAGCGGACACCUCUCUCCAAAGUAUAUAGGAAGACCUCAACUGCUUGAUCCAAGUUUCCUUCCUCACAAAGACUAUGAAUCAACAUUACACAACUUGGGGCUGAAACCAUGACAUGAAACUCCACAAGUAAGGAAAAAAUCUUCAAAGCCUCGUGUGGCUUGCAUUCCUGACACAUCCCAAUCAACCAAAUGUUGUAAGGUGAUGAAUCAAAGUCUACCCGUUUUAGGUCAAUCUCAAGCAACCCUCUAACUACUUUUUCCAGAUCACCUUUCUCUAAGUGUUUCUCAAUUAACCCUAUCACUUCGCCAUCUCGAACAGCAUGGUUUCUCAAAUACUGAAACCAAAGGCUAAACGCAAUAGAGAUCUGUCCCCUCCUACAGGACCAAGUCAUAAGGGACUUGUAGACCUCUGCACUCGGCAUGCAGCCAUUCUUGCUCAUUUGGUCAAAGAGUUUAAAAGAUUCAUCUACCCUGCCAACCCUUUGGAGACCAUCAAUAAGUGUCCCAUAUGUAAUUGAAUCGGGGAAAUGCCCCUUGACUUGAAGCUCUUGAAAAAGCUUUAAAGCACCAUUAAUUAUUCCUGAUUUACAUAAUCCAUUGAUCAAAAUAUUAUACGUAACUAUAUUUGGUACAAAUCCACAAUCAGCCAACUGCAUAAGAAGCUUGUAAGCUUUAAGGAUCUUACCUGUUUCACACAAUUUCUCAAUCAUUUUUUGCAGGCUUACACUGUCAAGGACUCGAUCAGCACCUUGAGAGAGACGAAGAAACAAUGAGGGGUUUUUACCUAUCUCCAUUUUGUAAAACAUUAGAUGAGCCUCCUCAAGCUCACCGGCCUUACAAAGACCAUCAAUGAGAGUAUUGAAAGUUACAACAGAAGGAAAACAUCCUAGCUUCUCCAUCUCAUUGAAAAUAUGCCUAGCCUCCUCCACGAGGCCAUUUCUGCACAUUCCACAAAUAACAAUAGAGUAAGUAUAGGUGUCUGGGAAGCAAUCAUUUUCUGAUAUUUCUAGCUGAAGUGAACGAGCUUGGUCUAAGAUGCCCACAUCACAAAAGCCCUUGAUCAGAGUAUUAUAACACUGUGUGUCUGGUUGCACACCUCUCCCUGUCAUAUCUCUUAACAAACUCAAUGCCUCUUUCACCCUACCUGCACCGGAUAAACCCCGAAUCAUAGUUGUGUACAAUACAACAUCGGGAACCACAUUUUUUUCGAACAAUUUUUUAAAGACAGAUUGUGCUUCAUCAAUUCUCUUGGUUCUAACAAAACCAUCAAUCAGACAUGUAUAUCCCUUUAUAUCCAUUAGAUAACCUUCAUUUUCGAAAGACCUAAGAAGUGCAUGUGUUUCAUCAACCCUACCUAGUUUACAAAAUCCAUUAAGCAAGGCAUUGUAAGUAACAAAAUCCGGCCUACAUCCUCUGGUCUUCAUCACAUUAAGCAGCCUAUAUGCAUCAUCAGUUCUCUUAGCCUGACAUAACCCCGAUAAAAUAACCGUAUAGGUAAUCUUACUAGGCAAUACACCUCUUUCAGUCAUUUCAUCAAAUAGUGCGAGAGCAUCAUGAGUCCUGCCACUCUUACACAACCCAUCAAUCAAAAUGCUAAAAGUAGAACUAUUGGGCUGCGAAUUCAACUUCAACAUCACAUUAUACACGGCUAAAGCUAACAAAAUAGCAUCUUUUUGAACCGCAAUAUGAAGAAUCAUAUUGUAGGUAUAUAUAUUAGGUUUACAAUCAAAAUCUUUCAUUCUACCAAAAGCCUCAACAGCCUUUUCUGCCUUAUUUACCUUCCAAUAACCCCAAAUCAAAGCUGCAAAAGCGUUAGAAGCUAUGGGUAUGCCGGAAAACUUAAGUUUAUCUAGAACAUUCCAGUAUAAAUCGAAACCACCAUCUUGUGCAAGCAUAUCCGCGAUUAAAUUUUUCGGAACCCAGCUCUGAAAUCGCUUUCGUUUUGCAGCCCAGAUGAAAAAUCGAAAACCCAGUUCCGGAUUCUUUCGUUUUUCUUCAAGAAUAAAAGAUAUAAUAUUAGGACACAGGAAACGAACUAGUUUGUCAAGUGCUGGUUCCAGUGGAUCCACUCUUUCGAUGAUGUUUAGGACCUCGUUGGAUACCGCCAUUUCCCGGGACGUAGAGAAUGAUUUCGAAUAGACUGAACGAAAGAUUGGAGAAUGUAGGAGUUUCAUGGCUUGAAAAAGAAUGUAAUGCUGAUUUCCGGUAUGAGUGUUCAGUGACUGAGUGGGGAAUCAUCAAUAGGCCGCCAUGAGAAGGAGACUUUGGUUCACUGUUUGCUAAGUUAAUCAGAGAUUUUGCGAUUGCGAGGGUGGACGGCGGUGUCACUGAGGUGGCGGUAUGGUAAUUAGGAUUUUGAGCUCUCUGAGUCAAAAUAGCAAUUGCGUUCCUCAAGUUUAUAAAAUUAAACUUAAACCCCUCUCUACUCUCCAACGCUACUAUCGAUUUUAUUCUCUUAGAAUUUUCUAUUUUUGUAUUUUAUUCUCUAAAAGAGAAUUUUCAAUAUUAUUUUAUUUUUAUUUAGUUAUUUCAUAAUAUCAUUCAUUUCUUUCUUCUUCUUUUUUCAAAUAAUCCUGAAUUUGCUUGUGACUCCCAUAAAUGUUCUAAUAAUGUAUUGCAGGUUCAAAACGAGCAUUUUUUACUUUAAAUUUUUUAUGCCUAGAUAAAAACAAGAUUUUUUAAUUUAAAUUUUAUGCAUUCUUCAUAGUGAAAAAUAAUAAUAAUUUUAAAUUAUAUCACUUAAAGUGGUGAAGAUUAAUAAAUAAACUAAAAUAAUAUUAAUUCAUGAUGAAAGCAGUAUAUAUUAAAUAAUAUUUUUUAAUUAUAUUAUAUUUAAAAAAAAUACGAAUAUUAGAGAUUUAAUUAAUGGUCUUAUAUGAUAUAUAAUAUGUUAAUUUCAAAUAGGGAAAAAAAUCUGAAAAAUACUUCAAUUUUGGUCGAAAUUGCUGUUACGAUACCAUACUUUAUGGAGGACCUUUUACCUCCUUGCGCUAUUUAAUAGUGUAUUUUAAAGGUAUAUAUGUGGCCACGUGGACACGUUACUAUUUAUAAUGAUGCAAUAUUUAUGAUGUCCACGUGGGCACAUAUAUAUCUUUAAUAUACACUAUUAAAUAAUGCAGAGGGGUAAAAGGUCCUUUCCAAUGUUCAGUAUCGUAACAACAAUUUCGGUCAAAGUUCGAAUAUAUUUCAGACAUUUUUCCCUUUAAAAUAUUAAAUAAUAGAAAUAAUAAUAAUAUAAUAAUCAAACAGUGAAAUAAAGAGUAUAAAUAAUAUUUUUUGCAAAUUUGAAAAAAUACUAUUCACCUUUUUAUAUUUGGAGAAUAGAGAGUGAUCGAUCAGAGCAUAGAUUCUCUACUUUACUCUCUAGAUAUAGAGAAUAGAAAGUGUAAUGGAGAUGGUCUAAAAAACAUUAUUCCAGACAAUAUAGUGUGAAACACAAAUGCUCAAAGUCAAGUUAUCUUCAUUUGAGAUUUUUACGCUCUAGCUUAAUAAUUAUGAGGUGUUCAUCAAGAAAUUCUUUAAUUUUUUUAAAGUUGAAUUUCAAAAAAUAUGUUUUGCCAUAAGAUGAGAAAUUGAAUUUAGAAUUUUUAAGAAUUUGAAUAAUAACAAAGUUUUCAUUUUGUCCACUUUAAAUUACAGACAAAAAGUCAAAAGUAACUUCAAUUUGUAUUCGUGAUCAAACACAACUUCAAUUUCUAAAUAUUAUUUUUCAUGUACAAAACAAAAGUUACUUUUAUAAAUUUCACAAUGAAACAUGGUCAAACACUUACUUAAAUUUUAGAUCUUAUCUAAUUGAUCAAUUUUGUACAUAAUUUAAUAACAAAAUUCAAACGUAAGUUGUGACACAUCGCAAUAUUACUCUCUUCCCUAAAUUAAACCUUAAUCUUUUUCUUCUUUUCAUCCCCAAGCUUUAUCUUUUCGGUGUUUAUUUUGAACCAUGUAGAUUGGAAGAAUAGUACAAAGUUUAAAGCUCUUUCAAUUGUGAGAUCAAUUUUAUCAUUUGUAAUAUUGUUUUGUUGAAUCAAACUUUGACUUGGAGUGAGUUGAGCGAAAGUUGAUUUUUCUUUAAAAUGUUUUGGAAUUAUCAAUAAUUUAGAAAUAUAUUCAUAUAAUUUGACUAUCUAUCAAACAUUAGAAAAUAAGUUUAGAAAAUAUUUUUUAAAGAAAAAAAAUAUACAUACCAAACACAUUUAAUGAAAAAAAAACAAUUCUGUACUAAACUUAAUACAGUUUCUAUUUUAAUUUGUUUUGUUUUACUUCUUUUUUUUUAGCUUAUUUUAAGAAAUUAUUUCUUUUCUUUUUUGGUAAUUAUCUAAUUUUAGAUUUUCACAUAUUUAAAAUCAUAACACUAAAGAAUACUUUGGUACAUAUUUUUAAAUUUAAGUUCAUAAGUUCAAAAAUAUUUUCUAUUCAUUUAACCAUAUAUCAAGUCAAAUCAUAGAAACAAAUUAAAUAGGAGAAAUUAUUAAAUAGAAAACUACGGGAGCAUAUAUGCAUGACGAAACAAAUCCAGGGGCAUAUGUGCACUUUGGCGUAACUAUGGGGUCUGUAGGUGGUUUUGAACAAUUCUGGGGUCCAAACAGAAUCGGCGUCUUCCCGAACGCGAAGUCUGUCGCACCGCUAUUCUCACCCGCCGUUGUCACCAGCGAAUUAUCUGCAACUUCCACCGAGUAAUUUUCAUGUUACAUCUGUUCUAUGGUGGUAAAGUGAAAGAAACUUCAGAAUGAAUUUCGAACUUGGAUAUUAAUUUGUUAUGAUAAAUGAAGAUAUGUCAGAUUCAACGAGGCGGCGAUAAUGGAUGAAGCUCUUUCAUCUGAUAAUAGGACGCAGGUUUUCUGAACUAACGAUGAUCUCUUAUACUUGCAAUCAUCAAUUUAGAUCUUCUUAUGUACUAUACAUAUUUGUUUUUUCGCUAGGCUAUUCUCUCUAGAAAGUGAUAAAGCUUCAACGAAACUGGUACUAAUUGAUCUUGAAGACGAGGAUGAAAGUUUUUCCUCAAUUGUUCUUCUAGAUAAGCACAUACAAAGGAAUGCACAUCGAUUUUGCAUCUUCUCCAAAAUUGUCCUAGUACUUAUUUAUGAGGAUUUCGGAAUAUGUAGUAAUGUAGAUAGGAUAUUGAUCUUGCAAACACUUAGCUGAAAAAUGUGUAUUAACAGCUGUUAGUUGAUUCACAUUGCUCAAUUAGGGCGAUUAUGUGGAAUGAAGUUUUGGACAUUCGGUACUUGUAUAUUCUCAGUCUGAAAUUUGAAAUGAGUGUUACGCUUAGCUAGCUGCUUGCCAUCAUAUAAGGUUCAACAAUUUACUUUACUAUGAAUUUUUCUUUUUUAUCAUCUCUUAUGACUUUAGCUUUCAAUUGAUUGAACUUCUCUUAGAGCAUAUCAGAAGAAACAUCACAAUGCAAAUAACGGAGAACACAUCAAGUUAAGGUACUAGAGAGUAAAAGAGCUCCCAAAACCUUCCUGGAGCUAUUGCAUGAGUGUAGAAUUUCCCUGGCUUCUAGAUGCUAUCUAUCUCAAUUCAGUGAGAUUGUUUAACUAACCUCUCUCCAUAUUAUAAAUGGGGAAAACGCACACAUGUAUUCCUUCCCACCAAAUGUACCAACCUCUUCAUCAAGAGCAGCAGAAGGACCUCCAAACUCCAACUGAUCCCCGCUGUCAUUUUGCAGAGUUUGUGAUUUCUCAUCUAAAUUUACAUGUAUGCUAUGUGGGAUGUGUUUCUGUGCGAUCUGAUUCCAAACCAUCCACAAUGAUACCCGCUUCAUAAUAUUUGUUGCUUGAUUUGUUAAGAGGUGCAAGCGAAUUGAAUGGGUGGUCAGUCCUGUCUUUACUCGUUGAUAUCUUGUACUUGAGCAUUAUUUAGUUGCUUGUCCAUGCCCCUUCUGUACAUACAAUAGUUGAUAUAGUCGUACCAAUCUGACUUGAAUUGUAAAUUUGUAGAUUCCAGCCCUUUUCUCGAGCACCUGUUGUCGUAUAAUGUUUAUUUCACAUCUUACUAAAUCUGAUAUUGGAUUUUUCAGUUCUAACAGACUCUUCAACAAAUUAGUUGACAAUGAAAUGAUCUUUUUCUCACCUUGUAAUUUCCCAUUGUUGUGCCUUCGCCUCAAAUUGCAACUGUUUCCACGUGGUAUCAUACAGAGGGCAUCUUUUACAGUAUGUAAUAUUUUCUUUCUUGAGAAACAAACCUCCCACACCCUGUUGUAUAGAGUUUCACCACUUUUGGCCAAUUUUCACUGUUCUUAGGUGAGGUGUUUUUAAAAUACACUAGGCAUGCUAUUCAUAAUCAGCUUAAGAUGAUACUUCGAGGAAGUCUAGGAAAAUUUCUUUCACAUGGAUGUUCUCAUCAGUGUCCUAUUGACUAGAAACAGAAACAGAAACUUUGCAAUUUGGCUUGGUAAGUUAAAGCUUCUACAUUUGUUUGCAGUCAUUACAAGAUGGAUAUGCCAGCUUAAGUGAUCCAGGCUUAUAUAGAGACUCUCUUUGCUUUAAGAUUACUGCUAUCCUCUAAUCAUGAUCUUUGUCAUCUUUUUACAGUUGUGUUAAUAUGCAUUUUUCUUGUAUUGCACUCUCUCUUUUUCUCAGCAUGUUAACAAUGUUCGAAUAUAACCAUAGAAAUUCGACGGAAAAUGAGGGAACAUUUUUAUGCCUGUUUACAGUAGCACUUGGAGAAGAUUCUUAGGGUUCUCCAUUGUUAAGAAGGUAACUUUGUAAGGCUUAAUGCACAUACAUAACUGAAUUUUCAUUUGUUUAACUAUUAAUUGUGCAAAAAAAACAAUCUACUUUAGAGCUAAGACAUGGGAGUGUCCCAACUGCUAUAAUUAAUAAACGGCUGCGAGUUCCUGAAUCACUUUUCUUACUCUGAUCAGAUAACCAUUGGCUAUUGGCUGCUGAUGGAAGAAGGCGAAAGGUAUGAUGAACAACUUUAAUGCUUUAUCUACAGCAAUAUAUGUAGCAACUUAAUUUUAUAAUCUGGCAUUGCAGGUGUAGCUUUUUUAUCUUGCUUUCUAUUUAUCUCUUCAUCUUAUAAUUGGGAAUGCUUUACUUUAGAGUUGAGAAAAAGGUGCAACUCUCAAUAAGAAUUUCAGCUAUUAGUGGAUGCUAUAUAGAUUGACCUCUUUUCCACGUGCUAUUUCCCCUUACGAGGUGAACUGCUUAUUGUGGAUUUGUUCAUAACUAGUCUUGCAGCGUGAAUAAAAGAAGCUUUUUACUGCAUAUUGGUGGAGUCUGUCAAAGCAAAUUUUCCUUUAUUUUGAAGAAUAAUCAUAAAACCUGCAAUUUUAAAGUCUAUUUUCGGGAUAAAAAGAGCACUCAUAUUAGCAUUAGUUUCGUCAUUUUCAGAUGUGAUUGACUUGUGAUGGAAUGUAUGCGUCCACUAUCAGUCAACUGACCAGGUCCCUUGACUCAGCAAGAACAAUACUGAAGUGUAAAUGCUGGAUGUGAAAGACAUCUAUUGUUCAAAACGAAUUCUUUUUACUACUAUUUAUUUUCGAGCUAAUAGUGUCCUCCUCAAAUAAAACAUUAUCGAGAUAGGCAAAAGCUAUGUGAAAGUUGCAGAAUACUGGAAAUAAAAACAGAAGGCCAAUAUUUGUUUUUUUUUUUCAAGUUUUUCUAUUUCAUAAAACAUUCAUAAUCGUAAAAAAGAAAAGGUUCUCUAUUGACUGGUAUCUUUAUUUCACAUUCUUUUUGAUUCAUCAAAUCUAUACCUAUAGAAUUUUAUAAUCGGCUGUUCUGUAGAAAUGAAGAAAGAAAAUUUGUUGAACUUAAUAUAAAAAUAAAAAAUAAAAUAACGAAUCCCAAAAAUAUUCGAUUUCUAUUUAUGGUUCCACAUUUCAUUUACAUGCAAUAAAAUACCUCGAAAGGUUUAAAGAUAAGAACCGCGUUUUACUUCAGGAAAUGAAAAACUUGAAUCCCCGUUCGAUUCACUGGUCAAACUUGGAUAAAAAAUAGGCUUAUUUCAAAGGAGACUAGUAAUUAAUCCCUUUUAUAUCAUUUGACCAAUCGUAACUUCGUGAUUUGAAUAGUUGAAGUAUUUAGCAAAGACUCAGAAUAAGUAAGAAUAAAAAAUUCUAUUUAAGUUGGUCCAUAUUUUUACUUUUUAUUGACUCCUUUCAAAAGAGGUAAGAUCCGGUGAAUCGGAAACAAUUAAUUAAGAAUUCAAAACUUUUUUAUGGAACAGACAUAUGAAUAUGCGUGGAUCAUACCUUUCAUUCCACUUCCAGUCCCUAGUUUUACUAGUCUUCUCAAGCAAAAGUGAAAUACAGAUUACAACCACAAAAUAAGAUUAAGCUAUUAAUCUCAAAGCUAAGUAAUAACCCUAUUACUUACUGUGCCUAAGCAGAUAUCACACUGCCCACUAAGCUAUCAACCCUAGAUAACUUAGACUUCAACUAAGCAGAUACAACACUGCCCACUAAAUCAGCUAGCUCCUAGUUGACUUAGAAUUUGACUAAACAGAUAUAACACUACCCACUAAAUCAGUUAACUCUAACCGAUUUAGACUUUUACAAACCAAACAAAAGAUUUGAAUCCUUAUAGAUUAGGAACAAAUUUACAAUGUAAGCACAGAAGUAUGAAUCCUAAGACAACUAUGACACAUGCAGCUUUAUCAGGUCCUAUUGCUCUUUUGGAGGAUACUUCACGAAAAUGAGUUUUUGCUUGUGUACUUGAGAAUUUUCAAGAUGCAAAAUCUGAGGUUGUGUAUAUUGAAAUGAACCUUAUAAAAUGAUAGACACAAAACUCAAACUCAACAAAGGUGCUUCAACACUCUAUCAGGUCCCUUUGUUGAGCAUUAGUAUUGUUCUUCUUUGAAGAUGGCCUUUUCUUUUGAGCUUGUGAAUUUUCUUUGUUUGUCAAAUCUUGAGUUUGUGUUUUGGAGAAGAGACUAUCAAAAUGGACACAAACCCUUGGGACAAGGUCAUUGGCUGAAAGCCUGCUGUUAUGAAAAACUGUGCACUAACCACAUCAGAGUUGACAGCUUUUUGACAGCUGUCUUUUCAUCAUUUUCUCAUACGUAGACUUUCCGGGACCAAGUCCCUUGUUGCGUUCUUUAAAAAGACUUGCUAGCUCUCUCUCUUCUUGAAUGAAUAAUGUUAUUUGUUUAUUGUUGGAUAUAUCAGUUACCAACAAGGGUUUUUGACCACUUAAACAAACAACUUCGUCUGCCGUUCCUAUUGGUGAAGUACGCUACACAUCUCACCAACCAACCUGACAGCUUUACAGUUGUGCACCACUUUGAAUCUGGACGGAAGUACUCUGUCAAGGACCGGAUCCCUGCAUUUGUGAGGAUCAUUAAAACACUAGAAUAUAACAUUUUUCCCCUUUAUGAUGAAGACACACAAAUAUUUCUCAUGCCGAGUUUAUUCAUUCAUUUCCCUUUUCAUCAAUCCCAAUACCAUAAGGCAUUUUCUUGGAUCUGGUCCCUUGUUAGAUUCCUAAGUUUGUUAAAUCAUCAAAACUUAACAUCAGCUCCAAGUAACAACUUGUAUUCCUACUUCCUUCCAAUCAGAUUUCGUGAAGAAAAACUCUGAUAUAACUAGGCGAUCGAGCUAGCCUAGCUAACACGAAACCAUACUAUUUCCAUUUAAUUAGUGAUACUUUGAUAGGAAGAGAUGAUAAACGGAGACAAAUUGGGAACUUUAGACUCUAGUUCUCUCCCUCACUUCAUUGGUUAGUAAAUUUGUUCAAUUUUUUCGAGUAAAAUGUGAAAGCAUAUGGACAUUUGGGAUUUUACAUGUCUCAAAGCCACGAUGCUCUGACGUGGGAAAAACAAUUCAAUUUCUACAUAAGGUGCAUUCCUAUAGAUUAAUCUCUUUUCCUUUCCUAUUUCCAGUAAGAAUUUCAUGUGCUAUUUUGUUUUCCCUAAAUGGUUGCUCGUGAACUUUUUUUUAUCUGCACGUUGGUGAAGUUUGCCAAAGCAAUAUUGCCUUUAUAGUUAAAUAGUGGCUUUGGUGUUAUAGAUUUAAAUUAAAUUCGAACAUUAUCUAGAUAAAAAGGUGCCUUGUUUGAAUGGUAUAACAUCACUAAUAUUGCCACUAAAAUGUUUCUUCAACUAGGCAAUCAUACUUAACACGAAAUCGUUCUGUCUCCAAUUAAUUAAUGUCGCCAUAUUUUGAAAGGAUUAAAUAAAAAGGGAGGCAGUUUUUUUAGUUUCACACUCAUUUUUUAGAAGUUUUUACUUGCCCUUUCGUACUAUGCAAAUGGGAGAAAAUGUGAUUAGGGACUCUUUGGAAUGCUUACUAAACACUCUCUCUUAAGCAAAGCCAAUCACUUAAGCAAAUAGCUGCCCAUAUUAAUUAGAUUGACUUCAAUUCUUUAAUCUCAAGCUAAAAAUAUCUUUUGAUAUGAGUUUUUUUUUUUUUUUUUUUUAAUUUUAUAUAGUUCAAUUUCUUUCCUAAAUGGAUUGAUCAACCUCUUUCAUUAAAUUUGAAUAAUGUUAAGGAACUCGUAUUAAUCUUAGUAUACUGUUGAAGAAGAAGGAAGUUGACGAUUGGAAACAUCAUGAUAUUAUUUGAGAGUCAAAUUGUCAGGGCUUUAAUUUGGUUAUGUUGGACUCGAACAGCACAAAUCAUGUUAAUUUUCUUAUUUAAUUGCUUAGGGUAAGGUCAUAAUCAAACCAAAAGGAAUUAUGGUGAAUAUUCACACCCACAUAGUUAGAUUAUAAAAUGAUUGUGCUAAAAAACACAUUGAUGCUACAUAUACAUUACAAGGGAAAAACUUGAUUACAUACGCCAAGAAUGAUAUCUUAGACAUUCGAUCCUUUUCUAAUUGUCAUCAUGCAUCUAUUGGCCUUGGUUGACAAAUAUAAAAAUGAUAUCUUCUGCCUUCUAAUUGAACCUUGUCCACAUUUUCGUAUAUAAAAAUACGAAACAUCUUCGAUGUCAAUUAUCAAAAUUAAAUUAUAUUGCACCAUGUACGUCGGCAGUUAGGCUUUUUUCAACUUGGCUGUAUGCUCUUCUUCUUGUUCAUAUUAAUAUGAUACAAAAAUUAGUAAUGUCGUAAGUUUACUAUAAUAAUGGGUAAAGUUUUAUGACCACACACAUGAAAUUUAACAUGCUGCAAAAAUAGUGACAUCAAGAUUGUAAAAAAUGGAUAUGGAACAAGAGUAGUGGUUAAUAGGUAAUAGGUAAAAAAAAUAAAUUGUCCUUUCUUGAUUUGUCAAAAUAGACAAGUAAUUAGGAACAAAUGGAGUAACACCAUAGUAAUUAAUGUGACCUGAUAUUACAGUAUUAAUGGUUGAGCAUGGGCGGUGCCUUGUUACGAUAUAUUUAAGCAUUUUGGAUGUACGUGCGUACCGAAAAAAUCAUAGUUUUUUGGUUUGUUUAUAAUAUACUCUCCGUCCCAUAUUAAAUGAGCAUAUUAUUAAAAUUCGCUGUUUCAUAUUAAUUAAUUAAUUACUAAAUUAGGAUAGAAUUAAUUAAAAAAAUUCUAUCUUAUGUACCUACUAUUAAUAUAGCCUUUUGAAUAUAAACAAUUUUCAAUACUAAUUAUUUCUAAUAAAAUUGAUUAAUUUAUUAAUAAUUUCUUAAUUAUAAUAUAAAACAGAAAGUGUCCCUCUAACAAGGGAUAGAGAGAGUGUACCACACAACAAACCACCUUGAGAAGUUAAAGAUAUGAUGUAAUGUAAGCAUCAAAUAUAAAGUAUGAUGAAGCACAUGGUGCAACCUCCUCUCAACUUUGGGAUUUUAUUUUCCAAGUAUGGUGGCAUGUAAGAUAUUGUACGUAUAAAAUGAAAUUUUUCUUACGCACAGAUAAAUGGAGUUAUCUUUCCUUUCCGUUAAUUUUCGUUAUAUUUCUUGGGUUUGUCUUAUCAGAUUACCACUUACAAUAGAAUUAGGAUAAAGAUAUAGAUGAACGACACACAAAAGCAAUUAUUUACUUUAGUAAUGCAUUAUCUACGGCGCAUAAAAUUUGUAUGUUGAAACUUGAGGACUUUAUGAAGUGGCAUAGCUCUUACUCAUGGCCACGAAUGUCUGAUUAGGCGGGAAAAAAAGCAAUUCAGCCUUCCACAUGGGCUGCACUCUUACAUUCAUUUUUCAUUGGACAUAAUAGUACAUUUCUUUUAACUUUUUAAACGACAUAAGUAGAUACUUAAAUUUAUAUAAAUUUGAAUAAAAUAGAUAUAUACGUGGUGUUAUAAGUAAUAUAAGAUGCAUAUGUCUAUUUGUUCAACUUUAUACAAGUUCAAGUGUCUACUUAUGCAUACUCAAAAUUAAAUGACAUAAAUACCAUGAAAUCAAGUUAAAUGACAUGUUUAUAACCUUUUUGGAUUGACUUCUAAUUUAUUUUGACUUAAAACUAAGUGCUUAAAAAUAUUCUUUCACAUUAUUAGAACAAAAUAAAAAUACUUUGAUUUAUAAAAACACUUGAAAUAAGUCAAUCCAAAUAUGAUGUAUUUCUUUCUCUUCUACAUUUUUUCUUUCUUAUGUGUAGAGGUGUAAAUAUUUUUUUGAAUAAUGAAGUUACCCAAAAGAUUUUGGUAUCCCUUUCUAAAAUACUGUUUAUAAUAAUGAAAAACUAAAUAAAGUACUUAAUACCAGUGGCGGAGCCACAUGAGGUUGACCGACACCCCUCCGUCGAAAAAUUACAUUGUGUAGCUAGACUAAAAAUAUUUUUUUAUGUAUAUAUAUUACAUAUUGACACUCCUUGAUAUCUACGCGAUUUUACUUCUUUAUAUUUUGACACCCCUUUGUCAAAGUUCUGGCUCCGCUAUUGCUUAAUACAAAGUGUAAAAUACCCGGUGAUGUAUAUACAUAUAAAACAGCUUAUAUAUUAACAUAUGUGCAUUUAUUUAGACUUCAAAAAUUUGGCGGGCGUAUUGUAUUUCUCCUUUUAACUGCUUAUGGUGAGUCAACUACUCACGCAGAUUACAAAAGAUAAUCUCAAAUUAUGCACAUAAAAACUCUUGAGGAGAUAUUCAAUCCUUUAAUAAUUGUCAUCAAUAAGGCAUUACUUGACAAAUAAAAAUGAUCCAAGCCACACGCCACUAAACCUUGUCUACACUUUAAUAUUAUUUAUUUACAAAAACUGCUAAUAUUAUCUCAACCAACCAUCAUCUUUAAUUAGUACACUUGCUGUUUUCUUUUUCCUAUAGUGCUCUCUCUUCAUGCAGCUUUUUUAAUCAAGAAAACAGAGAUUCCCAGGCCACAUGGAUACCAAUUCUUGAAAGUGUCCAAAAAAUUGGCCGACUUUGGUCAAUUGAGUUCACAUGCAAAAGUUGGUAUAUUUUGUGCUUGCCGGCAACAAUAACUUUUGACGGAUUGUAGGCCAAAAAACUGUCUUCAAUUCUUAUAGAUAAAAAAAAAUAACAGCUAGAAUGGUGAUCAUCAAGCUUGUUAAGAAUGGUAAUGGACCAUAGGCUAAAACGCCACUGCUACUAAUCAAUGAAACGUUACUGCCACCACCAGGGUAUUGUCCUCCAGAUGAUUUCUGACUGCAACAUUAAUAACAUCAUUAUAUAUUAUCAAAUUAAUAUUUUUAUUAAGGUGACAUAAUAUAACAUGGACGGUGCCUCGAUUUGUUAGGGACAUAAGUAAGCACUUUGAAUCUACUACCUAACAUGAAAACCAUAUAGAUAUUUUUUAUUAAAAUAUAUAGGACACAACAAACCGACUAUAGGAAGAAAGGCUUAUGUAUGGUACAACGCACAUGGGACCCAAUUAAUACCCCACCUUACUCUUAACUUAAGGUUUGCUUCAAAUGAAACCAACAAUAUAAUCCUUUUUUGGUGUGACCCACUAUAGAUUAUCAAAAGGUACGUAAAUGCACCCAUUUCCGACAACUUCAAUUACAUCAUCCUCAAAACAUUUGCAACCAUGUUACUUGUUCAACAAAUGUCCACCUAAAAAAGCUCUUUUGCAUGCAUAUUACUAUAUUUUUUACUUAAUCAUGCACAUCGGAUACAUUGAUUAAAGUGUAUCGUAGAAAUGUUAAUAAUAUCAAUAGUUAAAUGUAUUUAUAUAACUAAACUCUUAAAAAGUUGUUUUAAUUUCUAUCAAACAUCCUAUGUUUAUUGCGUAUAAAGGUCUAAUUAAAACUCCAAACCUUAACCCAUGUUCAUAUAUAGGAGAAAGAGAAAUUAGUUGAAAAUACUAAUAACCCCAAAACAUUUUUAAAAACUAACCAAACUUCAUGAUCGACAAAUAAUGAAAAUUUUCAAAAAUCUAUGUAUAAAUUUAAUCCAAAUUCUACGGGCGAAUGGACAAGCUUAAGUUAAUACAAAUUGAGAAAAGAAGAUUGGAGAAAGAGAGUGUAUGUACCUAGUUGAAGGAGCAGGACAAAAUGUGAUGACAUAAUCUGCAGAAGCACAAGUGAAGGUGCUGGUUCCAUCAUCAUAUGCAUAGCUGUAUGCGCGUGGGCAUGAAUUCUUGAAGAAUUCCGAGUAAUCAGUUGGCUUGCAUGUAUCAGGCGUAGCAUAGGCCCCACUACAACAAUAUCUUGGAUCCCCAAACGCUUCACACGCGCUUUUACACGCCACGCACUCAUCGGCACCUUCACCGGUACUCAUCAGCUUCAGCUCCGCCGGACAUGGCCCAUUAAGAUCAACAACACACCCAGUUGCAGAACAGUUUCCGGAACCAGUUCCACCUUGUGGGGUUAUUAACAUGGGCAAGUUAUAACCAUCCACAAGACUAACAUCAUAGAAGUCGAGCCCGUCGGCGCCGUUGAGUGUGAACUCCGCUAAAGUCGCCGGUGGAGCAGCUCCGCCGGUGCACUCUAGUGUUCCGGAGCCGCAAUCACCUGUUACGCAAGUGAAUUUACCCGUUGCCGAAUCUUGGGAGCAAAAAGACCGACCCCAUAAACGACCUGACCAACCCGCCGGAAAAGAAACGGGAAUGGCCUGUCCUGGAUUCAGCUGAAAUCCAGUAGGAGAAAUCGGGGAUGUUCCAGCACCGGAUAAUAUCCCCGGCCAUACUGUAUAACUGCACUGGUUUACUAAUGUAAAUGUUGCUGAUGACACCCCUGUUUUUUUCCAAAAAAAAAUUAACAAAAAUGAAUACCAAAAAUUCAAACUUCAUAACAACAAUUAUCAAUCAGAACCAAAAACUUACCUGAAAUUAGGAAUACGAAACAUAAAGCGAGCAGGGGAAGAAGAAAAACUUGAGCUUUCUCCAUGGAAUUGAUGUUGCUCUGUUUUCUGUAAGUUAUUUGAAGAGAAUGAGAAAGAAUUAAUUUGGCAAUGUGGAGGAAUAACCAGUGAAAUGAAUCUUAGAAGUAUCAAUCAGGUUUUCGCAGUCAGAUAUUUAUAGGGAAAACUUAGAACCGACGUUAAAGGGAACACAACACCGCCAGAGGGUAAGGUCGGCUCCGCUCAAAAUGGGUUGUAAUAAAUUAAGAGAAGACAGCUUUGAGAGUAGCAGAGCUAAUUCGUAAUUUUGAAGGAUUAGUAAAAAUACUUGUAGUAAUGAGGAUGUGUUUAAAGAGCGGGAUUUAAAUAGAAUGUGGUUUAAGGUAAUUGCAGACUUUAAAAAGAAGUAAGGGAGGGACUUUUGGGAAUGGGGAAGGUCGGGAGUUAAUGACGGUUAAAUUCGACGGCCCUAUGGGCCUUGGGAAGAUAGGUAUGGGACCCGGCAAAUGACGGUCGGUUCAUCACUUGGUGGGACCCAUCAAUAUGAAAAGGUCAAAUAGGAUCCAUGACCUUUGGCAGAAGCAAGUUGAAACCACUUAAUUGAACCUCAGCCGCAAAGAUUCAUAUUGUUUUUGUUAUUCCGCUUCAAUUGAUUUCAUACAGAAUUUAACAAAAUAUAUGCUAUCACUAAAAUUGUUAUCUUAAAUUAAAUAAUAUUUGGAAUUUAGAAUAUAUCAAAUAUUCUUUUUAUCCUUCAAAUUUUAAAUUUGACAUUUGAAAAGUUGAAAUUAAAAAAAAAACAAAAAACAAAAUGGAUCGGAGGGAGUAGACAAAUAGUAUUUCUAAUAUGUUUUCACGCUUUCUGUAAUUAUGUCCCAAAUAUAAAAAUCGAAAUGGAGAAGAGGUUGAUAGUUGAUACUCUCUUCAAUUUAAAAAAAAUGUUACUACAGUAUUUCAAUUAUAGAAGUUUUUUUUUUAAAAAAAAAAAAAAGUUGUGGGGGGGUGNNNNNNNNNNNNNNNNNNNNNNNNNNNNNNNNNNNNNNNNNNNNNNNNNNNNNNNNNNNNNNNNNNNNNNNNNNNNNNNNNNNNNNNNNNNNNNNNNNNNNNNNNNNNNNNNNNNNNNNNNNNNNNNNNNNNNNNNNNNNNNNNNNNNNNNNNNNNNNNNNNNNNNNNNNNNNNNNNNNNNNNNNNNNNNNNNNNNNNNNNNNNNNNNNNNNNNNNNNNNNNNNNNNNNNNNNNNNNNNNNNNNNNNNNNNNNNNNNNNNNNNNNNNNNNNNNNNNNNNNNNNNNNNNNNNNNNNNNNNNAGGGGGGGGGGGGGGGGGGGGGGGUGAUUUUAAAAACAUACUAAUAAUUAUGGUCAUUAAAUAGCAAAAAUGAGCAAAAGUUGGAAAAACAGAUUACAUAGGCCAAAGAUAGAAUCAAUAAUAAAAAAAAAUAUAAAACUAAGAUGUUUUCACUGUGGCCAAAAAAAUUGAAAAAGGAAACGCAAAGUGGAUGCUUAUAUCGUCUACUAUAUAUAAUACAGUUUAAUAGUAGGCGUUAGCUAGUUGAAAGCUGUAAUUGUAUAUGAAAAAGUAUCGAAGAGCACAUGUGAUUCUGAUUCCUCCUCCUGCAAGUAUGGGUUAACUUUUAGGUACGAUGCAAAGCAAAAAAAGACCGGCUAUUAAAACACAAUACUUGUCGCACUAUUUCCAAAGGGAAUAAUCACUACAAACCAUUCAAUCAAAAGAUUUACCAUUAUUCAUUAAGCAUUUGCAAAACUAUAUACUGUUUACAGUCAAUGAUUCUAUUAAGCUCUAUUUGGGAUCAAGAAAGUGGACCACAAAAAGUGAAAAUAAACCAAUUGUAUGUGUUGUGUUGAUUAAACCCAAGUUACAUACUAACUUUGCAAUAAAAGUGUUCCACACAUAAACACAGAGACAUAAGAGCUUCCACUUCACCUUCCAGUUUUUGAAUCUAGAGGGAAAAAAACAGAAGGCAGAAAAGCCCUCUGGUGAAGCACCAUAGUAUCUUGAAUCACUCGUAAUAUAAAUCAGUCCAAUUAUUAGCUCAAAUCUAUACUUCCUGGGAGAACCUUUUUUUUUUUUAUGACAAGGAAAACCCGCAGCCGCUACCCUUUGGGUGCGCAUAGGAUAAAACCCCUGCUCCUAUUCAAUAGCUCGCAAACUACUUCUUGGGAGAACUUGAACAAGAAAUGAAUUCAAACACUGAAUUAGCAAAACACGUCAGCCGUUUAAAUGUCUACGAUAGUAGACACUUCACCACUAGCCCAAAUUUGACCCUGGCCGGGAAGAAUUUCAAGGAUAGAUGCACUAGACAAACUAAUAUGAAGAUUCAAGGAUUCAAGUCAGUUACCUCCUCCACAAGGAUGAAAACUUGGUUUAAAAACUUCACAUGUAAGGAUUACGAAGGAGAAGCAAGCUGAGAGGCAUGGGGGAGUUCAGCUGGAACAAGAAAGCUAAUUCUCAUUUCCUCAAGACAGUGAUCAGAUAAACAAUCACAAUGAAGUAAGAGAAGCCGGAUACCACUUUCAAUCGGGAAUUUCAUGGGAGUAGAUUUGCAAGUUCUAGAUUCAAUAAUUCGCAUUAGACCCGAUGAUUUCAGCUAGCUAUUUAUCUUAAGCGAAGUUCCAAAACUUUGUUUGAAGAAAACUGAUGGGUUCUAGUAUUAGCUAAUUUCUAACUUUCACUAUUUCACUAGCACUUGAACUGUUCAAUAGAGAAUCCAAAUUGCAUCUUCACGCAGAAACCAUAAAGGCUAGACUAGUGCAUCUUCCCAUGCAACCAUUUAUGACCAGAAAAUGUCAUAAAUCUUAAUCAUUCCAUGACCAAAACGACGAAGAGGCAGAACUAAAACAGCCUACAAGAAAGUGCAGUCUAUAAAAUCCUUCAAGGACACCAUGACAGACCGAGCACAACUCUGCCUUCAAGAAGUGAUUUGCUUAACUCAAACCCCGAGCCCUAAUCCCUUCUUAUCUGAAACAAAACUACUGGCUUCAUACACCAAUAGCCAAAGAGCAUGAGGAUUCCUUACACUAAAGAACAUCAUUAAAGUUUACAUUUAGUCCCUGAACUACAAACCCUUUCCAUAUAAUUUUAGAAAGAUGUGCAAAAGUAAAAAUAAAGCAAACAGACCUAAAUAAGCCAAUUGACAAAGAAAGCGAGAUUAUUAGUAUAAACGUUGUCUCGUUAUUCACGACUCUGAUAAUAUGACCAGAGAGUUCUGGCACCAUGCUACUAUAGAAUUUGAAAGACCAGAAUAUUCAACAAAAGGACAUUAUGGAACCACAAGUCUCUCUCACAUGAUCAAUCAAGCAUUAUCAGUCUCUCUCACAUGAUCAAUAAAGUAAUUAAAAAGUCUAAAAAGGGAAAAUGGUUCUAUUUCAAUCAACUAUACUCCAAUUAUUCAAUCCCAAGCUAGUUAAGAUCAAAUGUUAUUUUAAAACUAACCUUCGCAGAAAUUUAUUCCCCAGCUAAUUCUGAAAAAUUGAACAUCAUUUGGCACCAACUAAUAAAUGCACCCGGUGCAUGAAAUAUCCGACAUUAAAAGGUCCAUCAUCCAUGAAAUGGACACAUCCCAAGGAGAUGUAAUGUGGACAACCUACCUUGAUGCAAGCAUAAGUGGUUGAUUCUAGGGCUCAAACCAGUAACAUAUAUAGGUCACGGAGACAACUCACCACUACUAUGCGAUGCAAGCAUAAGUUCUCUCACUAUCACUAGAUCAAAUCGUUUCUUCCAUAUCUUUCACGUCACCAAUAAGUCAUUCUAAGUGUUGUUUCAAUAUAUUAUUUCAUCCUUCCAUUUCAGUCGUUUUUACAUGUUUAUUUGUUCAGCAUUCCAACUUUUUUCAGAAGUAAGAUGGCAAUAACGUUAACAGGUGAUAAUUUUCAGUGUAAAAGGGAUUGGAACUACAAGGGAUGUGGAGAGAGAUUUGGACUCUAUGACAUUUUUUUUUCCGAGAUAGAUCGAAUGGAAUAACAAAUUUUAGAAAGAAUCCUAACUUCAAUAAGAACAGAACUGUUAGCAUAGGACACUUUGCUAGAUUACUUGUUUGAAGACAACUCUUUUCAUAAACGACAACUCUUAUUAUAAAAGGAAAAGAUCACGAGCACCCUUUAGCUAAAGCAACACACUAGAAGCCAAUGAAAAUGCUGAUUUGUAAAUCCUAACUUCAACAAGAACAGAACAGUUAGCUUAGGAUACUUUGCUAGAUUACUUGUUUGAAGAUGACUCUUCUAAUAUAGGACAAACUCUUUUUUAUAAAAAGAAAAGAUCACGAGCACUAUUUUCCGAAAGCAACACAUUAGAAGCCAAUGAAAAUGCUGAUUUGGAAAUUAAACCAGUGUUCAAAUUUGGAAUGAGGUGGGAUAUGUCUAUUAGGCAAUUAAAAGAAUUUCCAAUUGGCAUCUAAAUAGAAAACACUAGUUUGAAUAUUUGAACACUAGUAGGGGUAAGGCUAGGUACACACCACCCUCCCAGACCUAUUGGCUAUGUUGUUGUUGUUGUUGUUGUUAGUUUGAACAACUUCUCAACAAACAAACAAGACAAAUACAAGUAUAAACACAAGCAGUGAAGAGAAAGAUUCCACAUAGAGGGCAAUUACGUAGGACAAGCUUAGUAUCAGGCUCACACAACUGAAGUCACCUAACUUAAUCAGCAUCAUGUGAAUUCUCAUGUUUUCCCCAUGAAGCACAAAUAUAUAUAUAUAUAUAUUGUAUAUGGUAUCAUAAUUAUUAUAAGCAUAAAAGAUUUGCUUAAAGUGCAAGAAUUGAACCUUCAGCUUUUUUAUAUACUUGUAUAUAAACCAUCAACUAAAACUUUGCAUCCCAAGAACAUGAAUUCAAACAGCUCUGUAGAGCUACUCCGAAAGCACAACCGGCCAUAUAGCUAAUCAAAGAACAACUGGAAAAACAUGUCACUGCUAAGAAAAUGAGUACUAAGAGGAUAGAGAGAAAAAAGAGAAAGAUCAUGUACAUGAUCAGUUCACGGACUGGCUAGUGCAUUCCCUAGCAAAGUGGCCCGCCUCUCCACAGUUGUAACACUUGCUUCCUCCACUACCACCACCAGAUCUUCCAAAAUUACUACCACCGCCACCUCCCCCACCGGGACAGUCUCUUGCCAAGUGUCCUUGUGCACCGCAUGUAUAACAAGCACCACCACCUCCACCGCCACGGCCGCCAACACGACCAGCACUCGGGCAAUCUCGAGCCAUGUGGCCAUACCCACCGCAAGUGUAACAGACACCAUCACUUGCUCCUCCACCACCACCGCCACUACUACGGUCACAAUCCCUAGCUAAAUGUCCAGCCGCACCACAGUUAUAACACCCGCCUCUGCCACCACCUCCACCUCCACUGUUGCGAUCACAGUCCCUAGCCAAAUGUCCCGUCCUUCCACAGUUAUAACACUCACCGGCGCUACGAUAUCCACCAUCAUUGCCGUUCCUCCGAUAACCACCAUCAUCACCACCAUGACCGUAACCCCCACCCCCACGACUGUUACUGUUUCCCCUGCCAUUACGGCCACUAUCGAGAGGAGCACCAUCAGGCCCAGUGACAUCAAUAGCCUGAUACUUAUCUCCCUUCACAGUCAUGGUGAACUCCACUUUCUGGCCUUCGUAGAGAGAACGGUAGCCAUCAGAUUUGAUCUCUGAUUGAUGAACGAACAGAUCUUCGGAUCCAUCAUCAGGUUUGAUGAAACCGUAACCCUUUGGGUUAUUGAACUUGGAAACUGUCCCUGUCAUUCUCGACGCCUCCACCGCCAUUCUUAACCGAUCUGUUGAUCAGAACUCCGCAAAACCCUUGAGAAUGUUCUAAUUCUAUGACAGAUUUUUUUAUAAAGGGAAGCCUAGGGGAAACCCUAAAUAGGGUUUCUGCGUCUAAAACCGUUUUAAAAGGCGGCGUUAGCGCUUUUCGGUUAGGUUUGGAUCUUAGUUUGUUGUAAAUUUAUCUAAUGUUAUUUAUUUAUUUAUUGUUUCGUGAUAGGAAUAGUUGGAAAAAAAAAUUCAUAAUGUUUCAAAAAUUGAAAUUGAGAGCAUGGUAAGAGAUUACAAACUAGAAAAUCGAAUCUGUGAAAGUUUCAGUAAUCAAUAAAUUGAAUCACUAUGAUUUUUCUAAAAAGUCAAUUGGUCUAUAGAUGUUGAUAAAUACUGCUGUAAAAAAGAUGGCCAAUGUUUCAAAUAAUGGCAAUUUGCUGUUGAAUAAAAGAAAAACCACACUAUAAAGAUUUUGGUGUAUUAUUUUUUAUCUUUUACGUGUAAAAACAAAUAUCUUUUAUAAGAAACGUAAAUAAUAAAUUCAUAAGGAACUAUAAAACUAAUUGACCCAUACCUCAACAAGGAUAUUGUAGUUAUGAAAAUAAAAAAACAAGAGAUUGUGAUUGGGUUGAUUCAGCUAUAUGUUAUUGAGACCCAGACCCUCAAAAUUGAACUUUUUAGAGGGACAAAUGCGAAUAUACUGAUUCAUUAAAAGAUACAGAUGAAAGAUUUAAAAAGGGAAGUCCCAAAAAAUGAAAUUAAAAUUUCAAAGGAAAAAUUUACCUAUCUACAUGGAUGCAGGGGGAGAGAAGCAUAAAGUUGGUGGCUCAUAUUUGUACAAAGAAAAGUAAAAAUAUUUAGUAGACUUCAACAUUCCAUUGCUCUGCCUUCUUCAAUUGCUUCUUGUAGUCCGCCCAGACAAUACCUUCAAAAGUGAAGCAAAUGUAAGCCUCGGAUCGAUAUCUAUAGGACAGUAGAUGAAGAUUCUACCAAAUUUCAACAUUAAGCCCAAGCAAGUUGGGGUCGGUUAUAUUAGUUCCAACUGAUUAAUGCAUAUUUAUAAUGAAUGAGUUAAGUAUAAGGAUUGUAUCAAUGUGUGGAAAAAAUGACGACAUAGUUUUGACAUAUGUUACCAUCUCUUUCAGCAAGAGCAGACAUAAUUUCAUCAAUUCCCUGCUCCAUGCCCUUGAGUCCACACAUGUAGAUGAAGGUGUUGUCUUUUUGGAGCAAAGUCCAUAGUUCUUCAGCAUAUUGAGCCAUUCUGGUUUGAAUGUACAUCUUUUCACCCUUUUCGUUCGUUUGCUCUCUGCUCACAGCAAAGUCCAAUCUGAAGUUUUCUGGGGCCUUCUCCUUCAUUUUCUCGAAUUCCUACAACAUGAAAAGUCCCAACUUCAAAAUAUGAUCAACUUUGCCAGAAAUACUUUGAUUCAGCUGAGUAAACUGUGGAGAUAAAAAAGUAUUGAUAUGCUAGAAAAUCACCUCCUUGUAAAGUAGUGAGCUGCUGGUGGGAACACCCAAGAAAAGCCAUGCGGUACCGUUGAACUACAUAACACCAAAUCUAUGUCAUUCAGCAGAUUAAUGAUCGGAGGUAAGAAAAUGCUACAUAUGACUACAAUGAAAUUCUGCCGAACCUUUGGAUAAACUAUAGCGACAACAACAUACCCAAUGUAAUCCCACAACCUUUGAAUAAACCAAUGUUGGAUAUUUUUAAAUGUUUAAGAACCAUUCAUCCUCGACUCAGACAACACUUUAUAGUUCACCAUUUCGUCCAUCUAAAACUCUCCACUUUUAUACCUAACUUUAUCUCAUUUGAUACACUUUAAAGAAUCAUCAGACUGGCCAAUUGUUUCUGGAGCUUUAGUUCACACAAGCAAAAGCUUUUGCCUAUAAUCAAGCAGUGUUCCUUUAGUUCUUUUCAAUUCACUAGCAUGUCCAUGAAGCCAAUCAAAUUAGAAUGAAGAGAAACUAUCAAACAAAUGUUUAUUUUCUGUACCUUGUAGUCCUCGUGUUUCUCAAAGAACAUUUUCCACAGGAAUGAACGGAAAGGAGCAAUUCCAGUUCCAGUGGCAAGCUGAGACAGAAAUUCAAAUUAGAAAAAAUGCAUAGUCAAAUUGAAAGGCAGCAGAUAUAUCUUAGAUGACAAUAAUGUAGCUACAAAUAAAAUUCACCAUUAUAACGGUGGCAUUUGGAUCUUUAGGCAUGAGCAUUUCUUUGCCUACAGGUCCAGUAAUCUUGACCUCUGCUCCAGGCUUCAAGUCACCUGCAAUAUGUAACAUUUGAAGUUACAUAAGGAUCAAGUACAGGCCAAGCAUCAUUCAGUACUCCUACUAUAUAUAACGAACAGUCAAACUAAAAUAAAACGAAUAAACCUUAACAUCGUCUAUGAAAUAAGGGAGUCGUGGAUUCUUACAUAAGAAGUUUGAGCAAACUCCUUUAACUUCUUCCCCUUUGUCAUUGGUGUACACAAGCCUCUUGACACACAGGGAAACCUGAAUAAAACCUCAAGUUCAGAUACUUUUGUUCACCGUAAAACUUGCAGGCCCCUAAACUAUGAGUAAUAUUUGGACGGCUGGCUUAUUUUAGGUGCUUUUAAGCAGUUUUGAAGUGUUUGGUAAAGUUAAAAAGUGCUUAUGAGCUCUUAUUUUUUUAAGUCAAAAUGACAAAAAUAAGCCAAAAGUUAUGAGUUAGAAAUACUAACUUUUGACUUUUAGCUAUAAGUCAUAAGCCAAAAGUCAAUCCAAACAGGCUCUAAUAUUCUAAUGUACCCUAUAGUAUAUAAUCUCAAAUUUCUACAGUUACAUUUGUUGGUAGACUUGCAGACCCCAAAACAACUAUGAGUAUUUUGGAAUUUGAAUAAUGUAUCACCGAUAGUUGUUGGAAGAAAUGAUAAUUGCGCCAAUAUUUAUCACAGUCAAAGCAUAUGAUUAUCAAUCUGUUAAGAGUUAACUGUAAUAUUUGAAAAAUUUUGGAUAUAUAGGAACUCAAAGCUUACGGUUUUGGAGUCACCGAAGUCACCAAGGGCACUGCUAGCAAUUGAGUACAAUCUAAGCUUGUGAGGCUUCCCAUUGGCAUCAACACCAUCAGCAAUCACACCAAUGGAUUGUCCUUCUCUAUAUGGGACCUCUCCUGAUCAACCCAUUAAAAUUAAUUCAGCUCAAGUAAAACUCACCAAUUUAUACAACAAUAACAUACCCAAUGUAAUCCAACAAGUGUACGCAGCCUUACCCCUCGCCCGAAGCGAUUUACACAACAAAACAAAAACUAAUGAUUUGCUAGAUUAAGAGCAUACCCUCAGUGCUAAAAACCAUGUGCCAAGUUUCACCAGGUGCAUCAUCACCAGUGAUCUUAGUGUUUAGUAGACAUCUACCAACAUAAGGUUCCUUUGGCCUGAAUUUAUUCACAAUCACACCUUCAUCCUGUUUCUUUGAAAUCUUCUCAACUUUAGCAGGAGCCUCAGUGGUCACUUGGGCUCUGAUAGAAACUAAUCUACUACCACCAGACACAUUUCUGUAGUACAAAGGCACCUGUCAUCACAAAUUAAUCCAUAGUCAGUAUUAAAGUAUAUCACAAUUUGCAAAAAAGUAAAUUGAGUAAUUUACCUUGUUGAAGUUGAUUUUGUCAGUGGAGAUGAUGGAGGUUCUAGAGGAAAAAGAGGUGGACUUGGAUGAAGGAAGAGAAACUGCAGCACUUACUGCAGUAGCCAUGUUUAUGAAUUAUGAAUACAGAGAAUUAAGAGGGGGGAUUGGUGAAGAAGGAAAAAUAAGGAGAAAUGGGAAUUGGGAUGUUUUUAGUAGAGAUUGGGUAGUGGAUUAUGAAUUGGGUGGAGGAGAUUGGAUGUGAGGAUAAGAGAAGUGUAUGAUUCUACAGCCCUUAGCCUUUGCUCUUUUGGCACUCUGUUUCUAACUAAUUUGUGGCCAACAACGAUCUUCUUGAUAUUUAUUAUUGAUUCCAACCAAAACAGAUAUUUCAUGUAACAAUUAAACUUAUAACUUAUAUGCACACUAAACACUGCUGGAAGUGAUUCACCCUUAAUCACAAGUCAAUAUGAAGAAAAUCUUGUUCAGAAGCGCCACCCCCAAAUGGGCCCUACAAUGCGCGAAUCGGAUUUCAUCGGAGCUCCAAUGUGGACUCCGAUCUCGGAAAACCAAAAAAAAAAAAAAAAACUUAUAUGCGCAUAUUGUGAUUUAUGAGUUGUGACACUAAAAUGAAACUUAUAAUAUCUGGGAUAAUAUAACUUGUCACUUAUCAAUUAUCUGCUAUUACCAAAUCAAUAUUACAUGGUAAAUAAUUUUUGCAUAACCAAAACAAGGAGGCAAACUAUAAGAUUUAACUAUCAUUUGAUCAUAGAUUUUGAAAAAUUAUUUUUUAAAUAUUUAUUUGGCCACAAGAUUUGAUCAGAUUUUAAUAUUUUGUAAGUUCUCAAAAAUUGGUUCAAAUUGGUUUUCCACUCACAAUGUUUUUAACAAAAUCAAAUAAAAUGCAUAUUCAAACACAACUUUAAAUUUCAAAAAUCAUAAAUUUAGAAACUUAUUACUUUUUAAAUUUCAAGUUUCACGCAAGUAUCAAAUCUGUAUAUUUUUUCAAGAAUAUGAGCUAAGCAUUUUGUAAGGCUUUGAAAUUGAUGUCCAGUUAGUAACAAUUAACAACAUGAUUUUAAGAUGAAAGAAGUUAUGGUAAAAUAAGUUUAAGAUUAAAUCAAACAUUGAAUUAGGUGAAACUCUUCGUAUUAGUAGUAUCCUUUUUACAUUUUACAUAUUGAGCGCAAAGAAAAGAAAUGUCUUUUAUUUAAAACAUAAAAUGGAAUUGCGACGUAAAUUAAUUUUAAUUUUAAUAAGUUUGAGAUUAAAUCAAAUAAGAAUUAUUUCAUAUUUAGUGUUAACACUUAACAACAUUCUGAAUUAUUUCACCAAUUCAAUGUUAUAUUUGUUGGGUCAGACUUGUCGAAAAAGUUUUGGGCUUAACAACAUUUUACCAUGACUCCGUAUAGACUCAAACCCGAGAUCUCUUGAUUAAGAAUACAUGAAUACUUACCACUUCACCAUAAUUCUCAUUCAUGUUUAUUGUUUACCAUGAGUUAGUUGCAGAUGUACACAUCCUGUCAAAAGUAUACAGCUUAACACUAUUUUAAUUUCAGCUAACAUUACAAGCAAUUUGCAGCCAAUGGCCACUAGUAACCACUAACCAGUCAACACUAAUUAAUUAGGAUGAGACGUAUUUUAUCUUUGUAAAUCAUCUUUUCCUAGUUAUGAAUGAGAACUCUAAGGACCCAUUUGGCCCCAAAAAAAUUUAGGAAAAUUUUGAGAAAAAACUUGGAAAAUGGUGUUUGGCCAUACAAUUUGUCAUUACUUGGUAAAUAAAUAUUUGGCAAUAUCCCAAGGAACUUCUAAAAAUUAAAAAAUAACUCCAAAUUUUAUAUUUUUUAAAAAACACCCAUCAUUUAUUAAUCCAACUAAUAUUAUCUACCUCCUCCGAAAAAAAUUGAGUUAUAAUUUGAGUGACAAGAUUGAGAAAAAAGAACAAUUUGUUUAAAUGAGUUAUAAUUCAUUUGAAUCAAUGACAAGUUUGAGUAUGCGAGUAAUGUAUUGCUCUUGCCCAUAUUGUUAUUUUGUUGUUGUUGAUUGUUAUCAAUUAUAUUAUAAAAUUAUGGAACAUGUUCAUUAUAAAAUGAUACUAAUACAAACUUAAAGUAUUUUUAGUAAUUAUUAAAACUUACAGGUAAAAAAAAUAUCAAAUAUUUCUCCCAAAAUUUAUUGCCAGAAACAUGAUGAAACUUCACACAAGAAUAUUUGAAAAUUUGGAGCGAAACUCAUCUGAGCAUGACAGGUUUUCGCGAUUGAAGCGUAAUCUGGAAAUUUGAAAGUUUCUCAACUCUCAAGUACUUGGAUGAGGUGUGAAUCCUUCAAUAUUUUAUCCAAGCAAAGGAAAAAAAUAUGCGGGCAAAAUCUUCUAUGAUGACACCUUUUUAAUCAAUGUGAUUAAAAGCUAGAUAGAAAAUGUUGGAAGCCGAUUUUUUCAGUUACAAAUAGAGUUUGUGAAAGCUGGCUUAAGUUAUCUUUUUUAUAAAGUAUGCAGUCACCAACUGUAUAAUACAAAGACAGGCUGAAAACAUCCAGUAUCCAGCCUGGGGCCUUUGGUGCCCACUUUGAUUUCUCAUUUCUGAAUGAAUUCACUCUUCUGCUGAAAAAAAAGAAAAGAAGAAAAAUACUCUGCUGCAACAAGUUCAUGGAUUGCUGCUCACAGGAGCGGAGCCAGAACUUUUGACAUGGUGAUUUGAUAGCGUAAAAAGAAUAGUCUUGCGCGCAACAAUGAGCUGCAAAUCGUAUUGUGUUAAGGGGAUUUAAAACUUAAUGGAUUAACCUUAUAUAUACUUGUAGUUCCGCCUAGAGGUGGCAAUGGGGCAAGUUGAGUCAAAUUUGAGUGGGUCAUAAUGGAUUAAGACAACAAUUGGGUCAAAAUGAGUUAGGUAAGAGGUUAUAGUAACGGGUUGGGCGGUUUGGGUUUGAUUUUGCCACCCUUAGUUCCGUUCCUGAUGGCUCAUUACUCCCUAUUCUCUGGGAUCUAGAAAGAAUAAAAAGAAAAAAGCUCCUUCGUGAGAAGGCAGCUGUGUCUUUAUUGAAAUGUCAUGGGUCAAGAAAGGUGUUUUUAGGUUGGAAUGAGUUUUCUAGAUAGGUCCAAUCUUAAGUCUUCAUUUUGUCAAAUUCAGGGCUUGUUUGGCUGGGUCAAUCACCUCAGCAAAAGAAGGUGGGCAUCAACCAAAUCAGCUUUUUAUAAUGGAAAAGAAAAAGUCAUUUGCUAUUCGGGGUUUAACACAAGUCAGCUGCCUUUGUAGGGUAGACUUAACAUAUGAUAUUAGUUUCAAAAAAUCAAGGGGGCAAUUACUUAGUCUCUUUUUUCUUUUUAUAAUCGAGAAAUUCCCAAGGGUCAUUGCGAAUUACUUGGACCUCCUCUAUACCAUGGUGAAACUAUUCAUCUACUCUAAUAUGAGAAUUACCAUUACUGAGCAAACCUCUUACUUAAUACAAAGAUAGGCAGGCAACUUUCUUAAGUCUUUUCAAGGAACAACAAGAUCAAAAUAGAAAAAUAAACUUUACAAGUAUUGAGCUAAACUCAUUGACCUACCUCCAAAUUCAUCAGCAUUUCUCUCACAACAGUUAGCCAUAACACAAUUUAUCACAAUUGUUAAAUUAGAGGGAGAAUCUUUCAGUUAUUCACCUUGGUUAGCAUACUAGAAUUCAAAAAAUCAUUGCUUGUUAAGUUUACUUUCAUUCCAUUCAUAAAAAGUUUCAUUACUUAAACUUAGUCAUCAUAAUUCACUCCUCAAAUUUCUCUUUUAACAAAGAACACCUGAGUCUUAGUCUCACCUUAGAAACAUUCAGGAAUUUUGAGUCGCAAUAGCUACACAGAGAGUAAAAUAAAGGAUUAUGUUGGCAUAGGGUCUUUUCCAAGGCCAAGUGAGACUGUGAGAGGCAGAGAUUUCCUUGCAAAAUGAGAAAUGCCCUUAAGCAUCACGAACUAAAAACCGGAAAUUUGAGAAAAUGAAUAUCAAUAUAACCAAAGAAUAAGGUAUUCUGUGUCCUAGAUACAAUAAUACACCUUGUAGAACUGAACAAUAUUACAAUGGAGCAAAAGUCAUUUGAUUUUUGUAUGGGGUGAACAGGGUGUUCCACUAUAUCAUUAGGGCAGACAAAAAGACCUAUCUUAUGUACACUCCCAAGACCAUAGUAAACUGAGAGAAAACUGUAAAUAUAAAUAGAAACUUUUCAUCUAACAACUUACAAAUCCUGCACAUUGAGUUUUGCAGAUGCAAUUAAUGGAAUCCCCUUGAUCCUCUGGACUGAUAGAGUUCCAGCCUGCUUUUAGAUUCCUGCAGUAAAGACUCCAUAUAUUCAUCUUGAAUCAAGUAUGACUGUUUUGAUGCCCAUUCAAGAACUGUAAGCACCUCAGCUUGAGCAAGCUCUUCGCUAUCAGGGACGUGCAAUGCAAUGUAGCAUAGCAAAAGCAAUGCAGGACUUUGAACUAUUUGUUCACCAAAGUAAACAAGUUGGAUCAGAUGUUUUGCCCCUCCAGCACUUAUGAUUGCCUUGGAAUGAUCAAGGUGAAGGUAAUUAUCCGAGCUAGCAAAUUUUUUUAGGGCAAUGGCAGCUUCCUUAGAAAUAUCUGCUUCUCGCUCAUCAAGCAGUUUUACUAACGGAGUAAUCAUCCUUGUCUCAGUAGCUCGAAAAGUCCUAGCCAAACUCCCAAUAGCUUUAACACAUGGAACAAGCUGAUCUGAAUCAGCUUGUUCAAUGAUUCUUAGCAAUUGAUCAACAACAGCUUUGCAGGCAGGGGAAUUAGGCUUGAAGGCUGACCUUCUCAACUCAGCAUCUACUUCCGCCACAGAUGUUAUUUCCAUUAUUGCCAUAGCAGAAUCAUACUGAGCAUCUUCAGGUCCUUUCUCUAACAGUACUGCAAAACAAAGCAGUGCUCUUGAUUCAGUGAUACUACGACAAAUGGGCGAAUUUCCCUUGGCAAGUUUCCAUAGUGCUCUUGCAGCCAUUGCCUUCAUAUAAGCCUUAGUAGCAGGGUCCUCUAGUUCUCUCCCUUUAUUAUUCAGCCCAGAUGAAGAAAGACUAUGCUGACUGUGGUGGUGCGCUUGAUUUUGCUUCUGACUGUUAUUUCCAUUAACCUUGGUCUGAUUUAAACUAUUGACAGGAUUCUGCUGAGGCUGUUUUAUUUGACCCUUCAUUGCUGUAGCAACCACACUGUGCAUGUGAUUAGGCUUCUUAUUCCCCAAGGGAUGUGGAAGAGUGUGAUUUUUGUCAUCAUCCUCAAUCAACUUAUGCACAGUAUCGGCAGCGCUACCAUUGGUAUUACUAGCCAAGACAACAGCGUGGUGCAUCGAUGUGGCUUUGCUGACAAUGGCGUAUUUACUAUGCUCCGGAACCGUCUCGAAAGCAAGAUGACUAACCAGCAAUCGAAUUGUAUUAUGCUGGUGAAAAAGAUCUUGACAUUUGGGAUAAUGAGCAGCAAGCUCAGAUACUGCCCAAGCCACCACUGCUUGAACCUUCAUAGGACCUUCUUUGAGAAUUUUCGCAAACACUGAGCAAACCCCAGCAUGUAUCAUGUGUUCAACGCUUUCCGGGUCACGCCCAAGAAGACCAAUUGCCCUAGCAGCAUUCUCCUGACCUUCUGAUUUCCCUUCCUUCAACAAUUUCAGCAAUGGUCCAACUCCACCUUCUUCAAUAAUCAAUUUUCCAUACCGGUCAUUGUCUCUGGCUAAAGAAACAAGCGAAUUAGCCGCGUCUGAUCUGUCAUCAACACUCCCCGUGUACAAAAUAGCGAUCUGCUCCCAAAUUAGGCAUAAAAUUGGCUCAUUAGCAGCAAUAGGAGGGAGACCCAAACAGUCAUCAGCUCGUUCAUCAGCUGAAGCCGAAACACGGAGAAGCCAAGACACGUCACCAAUGGAGUUUUCCAACUGAGAAGACAUUUUACGGAAUUGCGCAGCAGGGAUGAUGGUAAAAACUCGCUUUACAAGUCCAUGGGCUCUGCACUUUAGCACAAGCGCCGAAGCUUUUUCAAGAACUUGUUCAGUAUCGUCAAUGAUCCGACGCGUGGGCCGUUCAUAAAGGUCGUUGCCGGCGCGUGCAGCCUGACGGAGAAGAGCCACAAGUUUCUCAGUUUUAGACCUGAGAUCAGUACAUUCUUGCUUGAAGGAACUUGCCUCAUCGGCUGCCUUUAUCACCUGGUCUGCUAACUGGAUCGGCUUUGUCAAGAUCUGCUUCACUAGGUCCGCCAUGAAACCCCAAAAAUCCAAAACCUCUGAACUACAGCAAAACCGUAGAUCAGAAGUCUUUAAAUAACCCCAAACUCAAAAUCAACACACUAACCGGAAAAGUCACAAAACAGAGUCUUGAAAUAAUGUUUUGUUGUGUAGAGAAAAAGAAAUGAAGAUGGGGGAGAAGAAAGGGGAAUUGGAAUUAUAUGUUUUAGUAGGUUUGAAAGGGAUUUGUUUACAUUGAAACUUGAAAAGGUCUUUCAAGGUUUGGCAAUGGAGGAGUUGGGGUUGGGUGACUGACUUGGACAGUCUUACGAUUUUUACGAGGUCAAACGCCGUGUUUUAUUGAAGAGUAAUAAUAAUAUAUUCUUCUUUCCUUUUCGACUUAUUUUUAUAAGGUUGGACUGCGCUGCUCUGUUGUAAUUAGCUGUCUCAAAACUAUAAUAAUCUAAUUUCAUAUCAAUAAAUUUUUACCGUUAUAACAUACGGUAAUAAAUUAACCAUCCAAAUAUCGGAAUAAUUUGUAAAAGAUUAAAAAAUUGACAGUCGAAACUGUCGUAACACUGCUAAUACGUAAUAUUGUUGCUCUCUCUAUCCCAUUUUAUACAACUCACUUAAUGAAAUGAUUUAUAGUCACUCAAAAUUCUUUCUUUAUCAAAUUUCAUAUGAAAUCAAAUUAACUCAUAUAAAAUGAAACGAUAGAGUAAUAUACAAAGAGAAGAGUUGUUAGUUGUCACUUUUAAUUACCUACUAUUGGAAAUGGUCCAUUUGUUGGAGAAUCAAAAAAUAUUAGGAACAACUGGGUGUAUAUAUCAACAUAGGGAUGUGGAGAUAAAAAGGUUUUGGGCAGGAAUUGUAAUGAGAAAAGCAGAUCAUAAGGUAUGUGGGGUUUGUUAUUGUCGCUUUAAGGACUAAAUACAUCACAUGCCUCCUUCAAUGCCAGAUUAAACGGCUACCCUUUUUUGGUAUAAGACCAAAAUACUUAUUUCAAAUAAUUAAAUUUAAAAUUUCAAUGUAUCAUUAACAAAAUUAAUUUAGUAAAAUACAUUUAUAACUAAAAUCUAUUUAAGUAAUGUGUUGGAUCAACAAAAAUCUAAGUAUCUUUGUCCCGAAUUAUUUGUCCAUUUUGAUAAAUUAAGAAGGGAUAAAUUCUUUUUACCUAUUAUACCUUCAAUUAAUUAUUUUAAAAAAGGUAGAACUUCUUAAAAAUAUUAAAUUUUUUAAUUCACCCAUUUCAUAAUUUAUAGGGGUAAAAUAGUAAAUUCAUUAUAUCAAUUAUUUUUUUUAAAUAAAUAUGUCAAUUCAAAAGUGGACAAGUAAUUAAGAACCAAUGGAGUAAUAUGGAACGAAAAGAGUACUAUUAUUUCAUGGCCAUAGACUUUCCUCUCUCUUUUUUCUUUGUACUUUGUUAUAAAGCUAAUUAAUGAGCCAAUAUUGAUCUUUGGUCAAGUUGCAAUAUUGUGGUUUGGUGAAUUUGGAAUAUCUUCUCUGUAAUUUUGGGCGCAGACACCAUCGCCGUUGAAAGUACUACUUUUAAGUUAAAUUCAAAUAAUUGUUUUCAUCAAAAUUUUGAGAAAAAAUAAGGCAUGCUUCUCUCACAUUUUUACCUUUUUGCCUUCUUCAAUGGAGCUAAAGCAUUAGUUAUGACUUUAGUAAGACUCAAUUAAUUUAGCUAAUAUAUUAUAUUUGUAUUAAAAAUUUACUUAAUUUAUAUAAAUAAUUUAUUUAAAACUAAAUAAACUUAUCUCUUUUUUUCAAAUCUGUAGAUUCGCCUCUCCCUAUUGUCUCUAUCUCUCUACCUUAGUCACAAUGUUCAAAAUUUUAGCAUGAAGGGAUAAGAUUGCAUAUAUUCAAGUAUUCAACCACAAGGCAUAAGUUUUUGACUUUAUAAGUAUGAAUAUGUUAAACGUGUUUGCCUCACUUAAUCAAAUGAUUAUACUAAUGAUGAAUAAAAUAACAAAUUAAUUGACGCGUGGUUGCAUUAGUGAUAAAGUCAAAGCAACAUAUACGAAAUCAUGUAGGCAAGUAUGAUGGUAAAAAUUACUCAUAUGAGAAAAAAUGUAUGGGAGUUGUCAGUUGCUUGCAGAUUUCAUUUAAUUACCUGAGCGCCAUCAAUGCCGCAACGCUAUGGCAUAAUUUUUGAGUCACAUAAUUGAGUGGUGACCACUUUUCCACAAAUUAUGCUAUAUUCCCACUCAUACUUUUCUCUUAAAAAUACCUUCUCAAUUAUAUUCCUUUUUAUUACUCCGAUCUAUUCGUUCACUUUUACAUAUUCAUAAUAGACCUUAAAAAAUAAAUUAUAUAUAUUGACUAUUAUUAAUAUUAUAAAUAAUAUUAGAAAAUAAUUAUAAAAAAUAAUAAUUAAGAGUAAGAGUAAAGCAUAAAAUAAUUAUUGUAUUUCUUAGUAUAUUAAACUGAAUAAAUAAAUAAAAAAAUUAAUAUAAUGAUUACAUAAAGUGAAUAGUAUGAGUGGUACGGGGAUAUAAAGUUCACGAAAAAGAGUAGUAUUCUUCCUUUUUUUUAUUGGUUCUAGAAGUUUCUUAUAUCCUCAUUUUUAAGGUAAUCAAGUCAUCUCAAUCGCCAAGUAAACACCUAAUCUACUUCGUAAAUUAUAUUGCAUCAUUAGUGCAUAAACUCAAAACUGUUACCUCGUUAAAGUAAUAGAAUAGAUUUAUUUUUGGAUAUUCUUAUACAGUAGAGUAUAAUGUAUAGGGUUAAAGAAUGACUUAGGUAAUUUCACGAAUAGUUAGUCAAUUUUUAUUUUAUUAUAUUUUUUAUUAUUAUUUUUGUUGCAUCAAAGUUGAUUAAAAAAAUUUUAAUACAAAAUCACUCAACUAAUUUACUUAAGUAUCACAUAAAAUCACUAGACUAAUUUUUAGAGCAACUUUGACAUAUAACAAACACAAAAAUCAUAUUUGUAUGUUAUAGUUAUAGUUUGCAUAAUUGCGCUUCAUAGCAAACAUAAAUAUAUAUAUUUCGCUAUACAUAUACAAAAGAAAGCAGUUGUAUAUAAUAUGUUUUUGUUUCAGUAUACAUAUACAAAAGAUCAAUUGUAUAAUCUGUGUUUGUAUAUAGCGAGAAAGAGAGAAAGGCAAAAGAGAACUGGGCAGGGGAAUAUUUGUAUUGUAUAAUUAUAAGUGUAUAGGACGAAGAUAUGUGUAUUUGCAUGUGUAUAUACAAUUAUUUCUCGCUUUAUACAAACAGAAACACAAUUUAUACAUUUCUGUUUGUAUAAGCGAGAGAGGCGAGCGAGAUCUUGGAGAGUGGCGAGCAAGAUCUGGUAGAGGGGAGAGAGGGAAACGAAAAUAUAUGUAUAUAUACAAUUUUCUCUCGCUUUAUACAAACACAAAUACAUUUUAUACAUUUGCGUUUGUAUAAAAAGCAAAAGAGGUGAGGGAGAGAACGAGAGUGGCAAGCGAGAUUCACCAGAAAAGAAGCGAAAUAGCAACAGUUUGGUAUAGGAUACAAUUAAAUCAAACUAUGUUUAUAUCAUUUAAUUUAAAUUAAUAAUUUGCUAUUAUAUAUAAUUUUCCCUAAAUUUUAUAACCAAAAAAGAAUCAUUCAACUUGGACUAAAUAUGACAACACGUCAUUAAACAAUCUUUAUAAACCAAAAAGUAAUUCCACUUGUUUACCCAUCGUAUAAAAUAUCCUUUAUGUUUCCUCUAAUGAAUUAUGUAAUAAUUAGAAAAAAUUAAGUGGCAGUUAAAAAAAAGUUUAGUGAUUUUUGUGAUACUUGAAUAAAAUUGAGUUUUUUUUUUGUUAGAAAAGAUAAUUUAAUGACAUUAAUCCAAUGAAUGAAAGUUGAGUGAUUGUUUAUGAAAUCAACCCACAAGACGAUUUCACACUGUGGGAAUAAUAUUAAUUGUAUUAACAUAAAAUGAAAAGAAUUGAAACUUUCUGUUUUUUGAUUAGCAAUGAAACAACCAUGAUCAUUUUAGGUACUCAGUCAAGUAUUGACUUUCAAUAUUUAUUUUACAGUUGCACUUAUCAAAAUCUUUCUUAGCAAAUUGUGGGGACAAUUUGCAUAUAAUUAAAGGAUUAAUGGCAAUUUUUAUCUACGUCUUCUAUUAAAUUAAAAGAGAGUAGAUGUAUACUAGAACUAAUUAAUCAUACAUAAUAAUCCUCAAGAAAGCUACAUGUUGCAUCGAUUCAACUACGUUUUCACUAUCACUUGAUAUCAAUUUACCGAUUCAAACUUCAAUAAUUUAAUUGAUUUACUUUAUUUAAUUAAUUUCUCGAAAAUAUAUAUACUCAGCUAAAAUAAAACUGAAUUAUUUGAGUUGUCUUUUGAUGGAUUUUUUUGCUUUAUUAGGUAAAAUGGAGGGAAUUAUAAUAAAAUUUUUUUGUAUGUUUCAAGUACCGAUUGAAACUAAAAAACGGAAAUCAUGGGACAUUAUAAUUAGUUGGCCCCAACAUAAGGGGAAAAAAUAAAGCAGGUAUAAUUUUAAAAGGGAGAAAAAGAACAACUACUACUGGUAGAUUCUCUAUAUAUAAAUUAUUGAUACUGUAAAUUGUUUAAUAAGUUGGUGAAUCUUAAUUAUCAAUUAGUUGGCAAACCAUAUUUUGGAAUAGUGGCAAUCACGAAGUACCCAAUUUAUACAAACUUUAACAAAUGAAGAAACGGUCACGCGUAGUAAUGAAAAUUUGGAAGAGUUGUUCUAUCUUUUGGUUUAUAUAUUAGUUAGUUCCAAUUUAUUUAUCUAUCAUAGCAUUUAUAUUAAAAUAUCAUGAAAUAUUUUAAGUUAUGAAUAAUUUUAUUUAUCUCACUCCAUAUUAAACGACACCUAACGGAUAGUAGUAAGAGAAAACUGCGUCUAGAUUCAUUAUGAUAAAAGUGCACUCCUUUAAAUGGCAAGUUCGUACUCUAAACAAAAACAAGCUUUUAUAGAAUUGUUAACAACGUGCAUGCAUCUAUCUAGGCUUAAUGCAUGCAUCAUCCUCUCUCACACAUAAAUAGUUGGCAAAAAUACAUAAACAGGGCGUCUCGACCAUAAGGCCAUUAAAGCAAUCGCUUGGAGCCCUAAUAUUUUUGGAGCCUCCGUUUUCUUCCAAAUAUAUAUAUAUUGAUAUAUUGUUAAAAAAAAAUCUCAUAUAUUAUAAAUUUGAAAAGAACUUUUUGGAUAGAAAAUAUAAUAAUUUUUUUACCUCAUUUAAUAUAGAGAUCAUUGUAAUAAUUGAGAAACGGAAUAGCGUGUAGUUAAUUAUUGUAUCAUUUCUUAUGUGCCUAUCUAUUUUGUUUCUUCAUUUAUAUUCGAACUAUUAUCAUAAACCAACAUUAUUAUUCUUAUAUUUAUUUAUUUGUCCUCUUUCACUAUUUAUAUUCUUUCGUUAUUGAAUAUUCUAAAAUCUCUCAAACGUUCAAACCUUUUACAUUAUGCAAAAUAUAUUGUUGUGUGUUUAUAAAAAGAUCAAAUUUGAUUUUUGGUAUCUUCUUCAAUUUUCAAACACUAAAACUAAUCAACACGAUUUUAAUAUUACUAUAUCAACUUAUCAAAUUCAGCGCAACACUAUUUCAACAUAAUUAUAUAAAAAUUUAUCAAUGUUUUGAGUCGAGUUUUAUUAUUCUAAAUUUAUAUUAUAUAUUUUUCAUUGAAUAUGUACAUUAUUUGCAUUCUUACUUCAUAAAAUUCCUGUAUAUUCUACCUCUCCAGACCAUAUUUGUAAGAUUACACUAAGUACGUUAUAAUUAUUCAAUUUAUAUAUGUCAACUAAAAAAAAUAAAGCCUCUCUGUGAAGUUUAGCUUUAGGCCCCCAAAUUUGUUGAGACGGCUCUGUACAUAAACAUGACACUUAACUUGGUGUCAGCUGACAACUAUAUAUGAUCUUUAACUUUGGGUGUGCACAAAUAGACACUUAAACUUGUAUAAAAUUGAACAAACAGACACAUUCAUCCUACAUGGCAAUGUUGUGUCCUACGUGGAGUCCUAUGUGUAUUAUGUCAUGUAGGACAUGUGUGUCUACUUGUGCACACUCAAAGUUAGAGGGCAUAAUUAUUUGCUAAAGGCAAGUUAAGGGUCAUGUUUAUGUAUUAUGCCUAAAUAAUUCCCUUCAACUAUUUUUCUUUUCUCUAUCUAGCUAGCUAUAUGAUAAUUGAUGAAAAAUAUUGGAGCCUCGAAUAUUUUCUUUUAAAACAAGGAAAAUAUAUUCGAUGGACAUUGAGCUAUUGCAUAGGAGGGGGGUUUUACUCUGUGCGCACCCAAAGAGUAGCAGCUGUGGGUUUUCCUUGUAAUAAAAAAAAAUAUUCGAUGGACAUUGAUGUAACAUUUGGUUACACAAAUUGCAAUAAUUGUACGUGAUCUAGAGAUGCCAUUUCUCCCGAUGAAUUUCAAUUGCGUAUUGCUUAAUAUGGAAGGCAUUGCGAAAAUAAAGUUAAAUAUUAAUUACUACUUUUGUUUCAAUUGAUAUGACAAGUUUUUCUUUUUAACUCGUUCCAAAAAGAAAUGGAGAGAGUAAUACUAAUACAUAGACACCCUGAUAUAUCAUAUAAGAUUCCUUUCUCGAGGCAAAAGCAAACAAAAAAGAAUAGGUGAAAAGUUUGAUAAAUGCAUUUUCAGUUUAGUGAAAGGAUAUCACAAUUUUUCAACUUUAAUUUGCUGGCAGCCGGCAGGUAUUUGUAGGUACAAAAAUGGUCCAUUCUGAAAGAAUAAAUUAAACAAAAAGCAGAUUCAUAUUAAGCUAAGCAACAAAGAAGGAAAGAGAUUGAGAAAGCGAGAUGAAGUGUAAAUUACUUUUCACAUCUCUAAACACAAAAUCUUCUUUGGACUCUGCGAAAAGUAAAAAAAAAAAAAACAAUUUUCAUCUGAAAGAACUUAUUGCUUGAAAUUAUAGUUUGCUUAUGAAAAUUGUGUCGAAUAUAUUUAGCAAAUGCUUAUCGUACUUCGUUAUGGAGAGAAUUAGUACAAUUUCGACAUCAUUCUGCUUCUGAUAUUUCCAAGAAGCAUCACAAGCAAUGGCAUAUUUGAAAGGAUAUCUUUUGAACACAGGGUAAAUAAAAACAAAUUAAAUUCUGCCAUGAAAAAUGAAGAAGAAAAAAAACAGAUUUAUACUUGAAAAAUUAUGAACCCUUGGUUUCUAGCAGAAUAUAUUUGUAAUCCUCGAACAUUGUCUACCAAUUCUCAAUCAAAGUUCAGCUGUAUUUUCAUUUUUUCUUCUUUUUUCAUGAUCACAUUCUUACAAGAAGUAGGACCACAUGCACAAGAAUGUCCAACAUUAUUAAUUGGGAAGAAUCAAUGAAUAUAUAGACUGUUGUCUUGUUAUAUUGUUUUUGGGUGAUCCUCAGCUCAUGGCCUUAUGUUUGAGGUUGAUUUUUUUUUUUUAUGGUAUUAAAGUCACCUUUUUCUUGAUUUACUCAAUGUUGGGACCUGGGUCCCCGUCAUAUAUAUUAUUAUGUUGUUUACGCUCCAAAUUAUUUGAUGUUGAUUGUCCUGUAUUAGUUGAGGGAAUAAGCUGUAAUCUCCUUAAAUCUAUUUACCAAUCUGAUCCCUAAGCAAAAAAAAAAACUCAAAGCUUUAUAGAGAUAGAAAUAAAAGCAACACCACAAGCAUCAACAGUUUGGUCUAAUAAUUUUUAGAUUGAGAAAUUGAAUAGUAGUAACAUAUAGGAAGAGGUCAAGUGACAAGAUAUGCUUUCUUGACCUAUAUCAUUUUGUCGAAUCAAUAAACUUCAAAAAAUAACAAAUAUAUUCUUUGAAGAAUCAAAAGCAAACAUGUCAUGAAUUCAUUCCUAAACAGCACCAACCAAGAUCAAAGAUCAAAGAUCAAGAUCGUAUGGGAUACUUUUUGGGAUCCAUUUAUCACCUUGCAAAAAAUUGCGAACAGUAAACUUAGACGCCUCUGUUUUAUCAAUAACUUUGGACCAUUGUACUCUCUUGCUAGUAUCAGAGCCUGGUCCCCUAUUAUUAUACUCAGCCAAAUAUAUCUGCGUCACUUGUGGAUUUUCACUCCACCCUCUUGGGUCAAUGAAAUCACUAAUAUAACUAGACAUAAUUACUGCCUUCCCUCCAUUUUUCCAAGGCCAACCUAAGAAACUUUCCACUUGUGUCUUGUUAAAAUUUCUUGUAGUUGAUAUGUUACAAUUCUGAAGUAUUAACCCCGGAUUCGAAGUAAUGCUAUCGGCCCCUGGAGCAAGUAUUCUCACUCCUUGUCCAUGAUUUGGCGGUCUUGCUUUAAGACGACUAUUUUGAAAAAUAGCACGUCCGCUACCAGUGAUAAAAUCGAUUGUACCAAAAAUUAAACAUUCUCUGAAAAAUGAAGUAUCUGAGGAAAAAAUUGUAUCCUGGCAACCCAAAAAACUACAUUUAUAAAAUGAAGCAAACCCUUUAAAAGGAGCAAUUGUUAAUGCAGCUGCUUGACCACCUGCUGCUCCAGCAGUAUUUCUGAUUGACAACGAAAUUCCAAUAAAACCACUGCCGUAUACUUCUGUUCAGUCAAAAAUUAUUUUAUAACGUUGUUAGACGCUCGUAACAUCUAUAAGUUAAAAAUACGAUUAAUAGAUUUACCUAAUGUGGCGGUAUUAGGCGUUGGAUAUCCUUUACUGCUUUUACUUGCUGUAAUUACUGUGGCGUCCAUACCAUCACCAACAAGGGCUAUAUUUGGUUUGUCAUUCGGAAUAGUGAUGUUUUCAUUGUAUUGUCCUUUUUUGACAUGUAUAAAGUAUGUUUUUGAACUCAUUUUUGGUGCUGCAUUUAACGCUUCAGUGAUUGUUUUGUAAUCGCCUGAACCAUCUUGUGCAACUGUUGAAUCGAACGUCAUACAAUUCACUACACUCCACCAGAGCAUCACAAUUACUGUCAAAAUUACUUUGUCUUUCCCUUCCAUCGCCAUUUUUUUCCUACAUUAACAAAAAAUAAUAAUAUUAACAUCCAAAAAUUUAAAUAAAUACAAACUAGAUAAUUGAAUGCUAGUAAUUUAGAAUGUGUUUGGGUUCAUUGAAAAAAAAUUCAAAAAAAACAAGUAAUUUUCUAGCGAUAAAGCAUUAUCAUAAAUAUUUUCUACUAAAAAAUGUUUUUCCUUAGUACCGAACACAUCCUUAGUGUAGAAUUGCUAUAGUCCAUCCUAAAGUGCCAAAUUUGAUUCUCAAAUGGUUUUUUUGUUUCUCCUUUCCUUUACCUGGGCUUCACCCACGAUAGUUGACGUAGUCUAAAACUUAAUAAAAUCUCAAUAAAUAUUAGAUCUAAAUUCAUAAUAGAGACGAAAAUCUCAAUAGUUGAAUCUAUUAAAUUUAAAUUAUAGAUCUGUCUCUAUAAUUCUCCAGCCCUAAAAAAAUUGAAACACGCAUUAAAGUAGAUAACUGAUUUAGUAGAGAAAAAUUCACAAAAAAUGCUAAAGUACUAAUAUAUCUGAACUAAUACUAUAGGAAUUGCAGGGAUAGAGUUCUGAAAUAAUUAGCAUUAGCUUACCACGAAAUUAACAAACUUUGAUGGAUGCUUAUGUGAGUGUAUAUUCAAAAGACAAAAAUAAUUAAUUGAUGAUUAAUACAUUGUGAAUUUACAACUAUAAAUGUGAUUAUGAAAAAUUGAUGAAACAUUUGUAGGUGAAAUAUGAAAUUGCAUAGGCCCUUCAUCUUCAUUAUAUAGGGGCACAAAUGAUAAAAGUCAAAUUAAUUCAUUAAAUAUGGAAUAAUUAUUUUUAUUUUUAGAUGUAACGGUUUAGAUGCAUAUUACAUGUUACUAUAAAGUCAAACUUGCGAAAGAUUUAGUUUUUAAAUUUUGACUGGUAAUUUCAAAGUGGAAUAUUUAACAUUAAUUACCUAAGUAGGUGAAUUUAUAUCUUCGAGUUUUAAGUAGCAACUUACAAUUAAUGGCACAUAUUAUACAUCUUUGACAAUGAAUUUGGAAAUCGUCUUAAGUUUUAGGAAUAAAAUUAUAUAUUUAAAAACCACAUAAGAAACUAUUAUAAGUCGUAAUAUUAACAAUUCAAAUUAUUUUAAAAUAAAUUAAAAAAUUACGAUAAAAAAUAAAGUUAUUUAAAUCAUAAAAUCUGAAAACUCACAUUAAUUGAGACAAGUAUAGAUUUAACCAAAAUUCGGAAUAGUAGAAAGACCGAGGGAUAGCGUUGGCGGUAGAAUAGAAGGCUUCUUUCUUAUUUUUUUUCUUUAGGGGGGGGGGGGGGCUUGGGGGGGGGGGGGGGGGGGGGGGGCGGGGGGGGGGGGGGGGGGNNNNNNNNNNNNNNNNNNNNNNNNNNNNNNNNNNNNNNNNNNNNNNNNNNNNNNNNNNNNNNNNNNNNNNNNNNNNNNNNNNNNNNNNNNNNNNNNNNNNNNNNNNNNNNNNNNNNNNNNNNNNNNNNNNNNNNNNNNNNNNNNNNNNNNNNNNNNNNNNNNNNNNNNNNNNNNNNNNNNNNNNNNNNNNNNNNNNNUUUUUUUUUUUUUUUUUUGUGGGGGGGGGGGGGGGGGAUAUUGGGUUUGGGCUUAUAGAUUUAGAGCCCGUUUGGAUUCGCUUAAAAAGUACUUCGUAUUUGAGUCAAAAAAAAAAGUCAAAUUGAAAUUAACUUUUAAGUCAAAAAUAAAAAAUCAAAUUGAAAUAACUUUUAAGUCAAAAAUAAAAAGUCAAACUGAAAUAAUUUUUAAGUCAAACAAUUAAAAGUAUGGGAAGACCUACUUCUGAUUUUUGACUUAUUUUAAGUCACUUUUGACUUUGUCAAACAUUUCCUAACUUAUUUGAAGUCAUUUUUUACUUAUUUUAAGUUAUUUUUUAUAUUUGUCAAACACUUCGAAAAGUCAAAAACUGACUUAAAAGCAAGUUUAACCAACUUUAAAGCCAAAUCAAACACCCUCUUACUACAUUUACAUACUCCAUUAUUAUAUAUACUCCCUCCGUCCCAUUUUAUAUGAUGUACUUUGAUUUGGCACAAACUUUAAGAAAAAUGGAAAGACUUUUAAAACUUGUGGUCCAAAAUGAAUGAUAGAAAUUUGUGUGGUUGUAAAUCAUUUCAUUAAGGGGUAAAAAAAGACAUUUUCAUAGGCAAAUUGUUACUUAAAAUAGAAAUGUGUCAUUCUUUUUGGGACUGACUAAAAAGGAAAGUGAGUCAUAUAAAUUGGGACAGAGGGAGUAGUAUUGUUACCUAUAUUGUUCAAAUAUUAUUUAUAUUAUCAUUAAUUAAGAGUUUCCUACUAUAUAUUGAGGAAAAUAUAUAUAGUAUUGUUACCCAUACUUUUCAAAUAUUAUAUAUCUUAUCAUUAAUUAAGAGUUUCCUACUAUAUAUAUAUAUAUAUAGUAUUGUUACCUAUACUUUUCAAAUAUUAUGUAUCUUAUCAUUAAUUAAGAGUUUCCUACUAUAUAUUGAGGAAAAUAUAUAUAGUAUUGUUACCCAUACUUUUCAAAUAUUAUAUAUCUUAUCAUUAAUUAAGAGUUUCCUACUAUAUAUUGAGGAAAAUAUAUAUAGUAUUGUUACCUAUACUUUUUAAAUAUUAUGUAUUUUAUCAUUAAUUAAGAGUUUCCUAUUAUAUAUUGAGGAAAAUAUAUCUAUAUACAUGUAUUUUUGCUAUCAGAUACACUAAAAUAAGGAAAGAAGUGAGCAAAAUUUGUUAUGUAUCCUAGAUACAUGUGAAUCCACUUGGAUGCAGUGUAUCUAGAACAAAUUUCACCUGAUUUUUGUUGAGAAUAGAAUUAACCAAUAAAAGUGUGUUCUCUCUAAAAGCUUAAUCUUUUAGAUAAAAUGAUUACACACUUCAACAUAGUAUCAGAGCGGGUAGAGGUUUCUUGGGAUCAAAUCUCACCGCCACCCAUAUAAAAAAAAUAAAAAAAUCAAGUGUUUGGCCCAUGAAAAAAUAAUCAUACCUACAUGUGAGGAGGCGUGUCGAGAAUAUAAUUAACUAAUAAGAGUAUAUUAAAUUUGUGAUGUUACAAACUAGAGUGCAUCUAAAUAAUUAUCUCCUAAACUAGUGAAAUUUUUAUACGUUUCCCAUUGUUUAAUGUCAAUUUGGGUCAUACAACUUGGGUUACUUUACAAAGUAAAUAUAAAUGGAAUUAAUGAAAACGGGCCUGACAAUUGGGCUUGGUGAAAAGGUAAGUGUGGGCCAAAAUUUGUUACUCUAUUUAACACAGAUACAACUUUUUUAAAACGGGAACUUACAUAAAUAUAUCAUAUUAAGAAAAUAUUUACCAUUUAUAGCAAUAACAUUUUUUUUCACUUGAUUACUUUGAAUACAUUUAUAAUACAGUUUUAAUGCAUAUUACAAAGAACAAUUUAUUAUUCACAUAUAAUAUACAAGUUUUAUUGAUAGAUAGUACAUUUAUCACACAUUUUAAUACACUUAUAAUUCAAUGUGUCAAUUUCUUACCAAACAAGCAUAAUAUAUUUAAAAAACAGUAAUAAUGCAUAUAUAUUACAUACAUAAUUCACUUUUAAUAUUUAACAUAGUAUAUUUAUAUAUUGCUAUAAAUGAUAAUAAAUAAAAGGUAUCGCUAAAAUCGAUAAUAAAUUAUUAAAAGGUAUCAAUCCAAGUAAUUUUUCCUUUCUAAAAUGUACAUAAAAACGCUUUAGCUACUUUGUAAAUAGGCAAAAUGACACAAAUCCCCCCCUUAAGUUUACUUAUUACUAUUUUCCCUUAAUAGUUUUAUUAAUCCCCAAAAUCCCUCUUUUUCUCUUUUAAGUCAAAAAAUCUCACGGAUACAAUAUUGGGCCUUUCCUACACUAAAAACCAGAGUUCAUUCUUUUCUUAUUUCUCUCCUAAAACUUCUGCACAUUUUCUUUGACAGUUGAUUUCUCCAAUAUUCUUCAAAAUCAAGUAUCUCUCUGUGUAUACUCUAGGUAAAUUUGAUACUUUUCUUGUAAUCCUCUUUUGUUUCUGCUUAUACUGUUGAAAUACUCUUUUGUCUGUUCUUCUAACUGUUGAAUCAGAUGGAUGAUGCUAACACUAAUCGGAUAUAUGACUAUGAAGAUACUGGUUGGGAGGAGAACAUUUUUUUGUUAGUUAAUCAAUUUAUGAUACAAAAAAUGCACAAAUUCAGGUCUCUUAUUUAAUGUAUCGUUAUUAUCUGUAAUCAAUUUAUACACUAACCCUAACUAAGUCAAAUUAUGAUGUAUUUUAUUUCAACUGUUAUAACAUACAUUGUUCAGUAGAUCUCAGUCAUUAAUGUAUCAUUUGUGUUUUGUUUAUGGGUCUGUGUAUGUGUAUCUGCUAUUUCAAGUUUCAUACUAAAUAUUGUAUCAGUUACAUAUAAUGUGUCUUUCAUAGUAAAUGUUGUAUCAGUUACAUAUAAUGUGUUUUAUUUAUGGGUCUGUAUGUGUAUCGUACGUGUUUUGUUUGUGGGUAUGUUUGUGUAUCUGUUAUUUUUUGUAUCUCAGUCAUUAAUGUGUCUUUCUUAACAAUGUGUUAUAUUUUGUAUCAUCUUAAUAACAGGUUGUUAUUUUUGCAUAAUAUUCUGUUAUGAUUUUGGAUUCUUACAGACUAUGAGUUAUGUUAUCAAGCAAAUCCUUACACACUAUUUGAAAUAAAAUACAUUAUAAUUUGACUUAGUUUGUGUUUUGUUUAUGGGUUUGUGUAUGUGUAUCUGCUAUUUCAAGUUUCAUACUAAAUAUUGUAUCAGUUACAUAUAAUUCAAGAUUUAAUGUAUCGCAACUUUCAAUUUUUUCACCUGUUAUAUAUGAAGUACAUUGAUGAACAAUCUUGUCGUAUAUAAUUUGAUACAAAAAUUAGAUAACAUUCUUGUAUCAGAUACAUUAAUUCUCAAACACACUACAACAUUUAUGCUCAUUACUUCUUGUAGAAACUGAUACUUCCACACUUUACUAAUCCAAUGUAUCAUAUUCAUUAAUUCAUAAAUAAACGAAUUCAUUCAUUUUCAUUGCUUCUGAUAGGAACCGAUACUUUGACACUCUUUUCAUGCUCUGAUAAUUUUGCUCAAAUUUAUCAGCCGAUUCCUUUGCACUUUAAUAACUCAAUGUAUCAGAUUCAAUAAUUCAUAAGGAAACACAACUUUACUAUUCUGGUUGUUUAGGUCAAUUUAUCCUCAUUAGUUGGUGGCUCAUUUCACUUAACUUAUGAUACAUUAUAUAAUUGUAAAAUUGGAAUACUCAAACUGAUACAAUUUCCACAAUCAGAAUAUAUUGUACAUUAUUAACAAACAAGUGAUGAUACAUUAUUUCAACACCUAUUUUGAUAUAUUGCAAUGUUUUAUCAAGGUUAAAUUGAAAACUAAAAAAAAAACUGAAAGCACAGCGGAAUUUAAAAUAUAAUGUAAACUAAUUUGGCGUGAUUUAUGGGAUUCAAUUUUUGAUUUUCCAUCUUUAUUUUCCAUUAAAAGCGCAACAAAAAAAUAUCCAACCUUUAAUUAAUAAUGUAUCCGCUCCAUAUAUUUAAUGUACCAGUGCUGAAUUAUUGUAUCCGUGUUUUAAAUUUUUGAAGGAUUUCAGUCAUUUUAAACUUAUAAGGGACAAAUGGUCAUUUUGGUUGUAAAGUAUGUGAUUUAUGUCCUUUGCCCUUGUAAAUAUUACAUAAAUAUAAUUUGGGCAAAUUAGGCCCUUCGGCCCUUCUUCUUCUUCCUCUGUUUCUUUUUUAAAAAAUCGGCUUAUUGCAAACGUAAAUCAUUUCGAGAUACAUAUAUAUAUCAGACUCAAAACUUCAAUAGGAUUGCAUAUCUAUAAUUUGAGACAUUUGGAGGUAAUUUCAAGUUGAUCGUGAUUGAAUAGUCAAUGUAUAUUUUAUGUACAGUUAAGUUAUAUUCGAUUUUUGAGUGUAUCAUAAUAGAUAGUAUGUGUAUAAUAUAUAGGUAUAUGAUAUUGUAUAGUCAAUGUAUACUUUCUGUGACUUUUGACAAGCUAUAGUCUAUAUUGUAUAUAUUUGAAAUUAGCUCCUAAUUCGAGAAAUACGCUACUAACUACUUUCGAAUCAUGGAAAAAAUUUAAAGAGAAGAAUCGAGGGAGGAACAUAAUUGUACACAUUUUGUUAUAUGAAUAAAAUUAUGUUUCUUCAUAUUUUUUUUGUUAAUGACUUAUUUUUCAUAUAUUUCAAAUUUAUUACAAACAAUAAUAUAUAUUAAGUAUGAUAUAUAAUAUAAUGUUAUGAAAAUAAUCAUGAUAUGCUAUAUAUUUAGAUAUACUCAGUAAUGCUUCCUUACUAAUUAGGGAAAAUUUCAUAUAUGGCAAACGGAUUUUAUGAAAUAACGCUCUAUAGGUGUAGUUUACAUAAUUACAUUUCAUGGGUAUAAUUUAGUUUGCUAUGGAGCUUUAAAUAUGUAUAAAAUAUUUUUUGGGUUUUAAAUUUAUACAAUAUUUUAUUUUUUUAAUGAAUGGAAACAUGAGCACUAAAUACGAUAAUAGUAAAUUUACAUAAUCCCGUGAUUUAAGUUAAACGUCCAACAUUCAUUUUUUUUCCAAAAUAGAGUUCUACAGCGAUAGAAAGACGAUACCAAUUUGUUUCCUCAUACGACUGAAGCAUCAGAUUAAUCAAUUUUUUUGUAUAUUCAACGAUAGGUAAAAUUUCUUUGAAAGAAGCUUAUGUUUUGAACUGCAAGAGAUUAUACAAUUGAUUUGUAUAGCGUAAACAUUGAAAUUUUGAAACAAUUUUUUUCUGUUGUGUUGAUUGUAAUGUUUUAUAAAAACAAUUUUCUAUUUUCCCUUAUUUAUACAAUAUUAUAUAAAUCCUAUAUUAACAAUUUCUUUCUAAAUUUUAGUUCAAAAAAUUGAAUAAAAAAUUGAAUGACAUGAGUUGUAUAUAUGAAUUGAUUAUAUGUAUAUAUGUGAGAAAUUGUGUAAAAUUCUUAUACAAUCUAUAUGUGUAGUUAAUUGUAUAAAAUUCAUAUGUCAAUUGUAUAAAUGACAAUCGUGCAUGAAUCGACAAAAAAGGUGUGCUGUAAUUUUUAAUUUCUGGUGUAAUAUGUUUGUGUAAGGUUUGUAUAUUGUACCAUGUUCAUACUUUUGUAUAUAUGUAUAAUUACAUUCUUUUAUACAAAACUAAAAGUUUGUAUAAAGAAAUUAUAUUUGUAUUUCCUUUGUAUAUAUCUAUAUAUUUUUAUGUGUAUUAGUAUUGUAUAUGAAUAUGGUACUUAAUUAUACAAAUAUAAACUGUCUCAAGCAAUUUUGUAUAUACUACCUUAAUAUACAACUCACUAUAUGCAUUACCUUCAAGUAAUUUGUAUAUAAUUGAUAAAAUAUACAAAUUACAAUAUACAAUAAUGAUUCAGGCAUAAACUGUACAUAGACUUCAAGUAACCUUUUAUAUAACUAACAAAAUAUACAAAUAACUAAUACAAGUGUGAUUUAAGAAUGAAAUAUACGAUAUACAUAUAUCUGUAUACAAAUAUGAUUUAAUCAGAAUAUAUAUAUAUAUAUACACACACACGAAUAUACAAAUAUCUAUCUAAAAUUGUGUUUUAAGCAAAUACAUGAUGUUCUUCAGAUUUGUCCAGAUCUGAUGAAGCAAACUCAAUCUCCUUUGAAUCGUUGUUUAUGACUUUUCUCUUACUUCCCCCUUCAACAAUUUUAAUGUCGCUUGCCUUCACAUUGGUGAUGACUUUUUGAAUUACAAUUGAGUCUUUUUUUUUCUUGGAUAUCAAUUCUUCAAUAGACCUUUCAUCUUGAACUUGUUUAAAUUUUGCCAUAGACCUUGCAUUAACCCCAAAAUUCUGAGUUAACAUCGAUCGAAAAAGAAGGUGGAUUGUCAACAACUUUGACAUGCAAAUGGUGUACCUCUCGCUAUCCUCUUAGAUGGAGAUGAAUCAUCCAUUUUGUUUUUGAAAACUGAUAGUCUGAUAAGUAAGAAAGAAUUUUUUUAAAAAAUUAUCAAAAAAAGUAACAAGCAUUAUACAUAUAUAAUUGUUGAAAAAAAAGAAAGAUAUUCACCCACGAUUUUGACGGUUAUCUGCGAAAAGUGAAAACACAAUUGGAGAGAGAAGGUGAAAUUCAAAUUUCAAAUUGAAAGUGGAAGAGUGAUUUUAGGAGAAAGAUAUGGAAUGAUGAUAGGAGAGAUAAAUUUGAUUUUGUAUAAAAUUAUAUACAAAAGCAUAUAAAGGGCUCUGUUGGUUCAGCUUCGGUAUACAAAGAGGUGGUGGGUCCCAUUAAUUAUGGCAAAAAUCUGAAACUAUACUUAGUGACAGUAAAUAAAUUAAACUAUACCCUUAUUAACUAAUAACCUAGGGAUGUUUGCCAACUCGCGUAAUUUUCCAUACUAAUAAGUAGUCUUUACGAGGAUAUAAAAUUUGUAGGGAUUAAAUUGAUUAUAUUAAGUAUUGUUCUUAUUUAGUCGUAUUUUAUUAAACACAAAAAUAUGACCGAUCAUAUUUAGUUUCCUCAUCAUUUACAGAAAACUGUCAAUUUAUAUAGAUGGACAUAAAAUAUCGAAAAUUGAAUUACCGAAUCGAAAUUUUAGUUAUUUGGUAUUUUGGUAUGGUAUUCGAAGUAGAAUUUUAGAAUUAUGGUAUUUGGGUUUUUGGAUUUGGUAUCAGACAUUAGUACCAUUUGGUAUUCCAUAUUUCCCGAAUACCAAAUUAUUUACUUAAGGAAAGUCAUAUAUCAUCAUAUCCAUUACUCAUUGGUACAAAACCAAAGAGAAAGUAAAGAACAAGCAUGAAUAAUCUAAAUACAAGUCUUUUAGUUGUAUCAAUUUGCUUUUCUUGAUGUUUUCUUACUUGUUGAUCUUGUAUUAUAUUGUAUGUCCACAUAAAAAAAUAGAAAUGAUUGGAGAAAUAGUAUUAACUUUGUAAUACAAUUGGUUAUAACUUCAAUACGAUAUUAUCGAAUACUGUACCAAAUCGAAGUUUAAUUUACUCUUUCCCGAAUUACCAAACCAAAAUUUAAAAAAUUGAUUUUGGUAUCUACUUUUAACUACCAAUUACCGAAUUACCAAAUUCGAAAUUUGAGAAAUCUAAACCGAAUACUGAAUGCCCACCCCUUAUAUAUAUAUAGUGGAUCAUGUAAUUUAAUUAAGGGAAAAUAUAUAAAAGGGCCAUAAAAUCCAAAAUAAUUACAAGUUCAUACCCAAACCCAAUGUAAUUCCUAAAAUACUCAUUCUCUCAUGAAUAAUUACAGCCCAUACCCCCAUUUAUUAAAGUUGAUAAUUUUCACUUAAAUGAUACUCCCUCUGUCCCAAUUUAUAUGACUUACUUUCCUUUUUAGUCAGUCCCAAAAAGAAUGACACAUUUCUAUUUUAAGUAACAAUUUGCCUAUAAAAUGUCUUUUUUACCCUUAAUGAAAUGAUUUACAACCACACAAAUUUCUAUCAUUCAUUUUGGACCACAAGUUUUAAAAGUCUUUCCAUUUUUCUUAAAGUUUGUGCCAAAUCAAAGUACAUCAUAUAAAAUGGGACGGAGGGAGUACAAAUUUGGUGUCAUGAAGACAAGAAACAACAUAAUAAAAAAAUUCAAAAAAAGAAAAGAGAUGAGUAAUCAAACUCGUCAAGGUGCCUGAAGGAUGAUUUAAAGUGAUGAAAAAAUGAUACUAAAUAUAGCUUCAAUUUUUUUCAUGGAUGACUAAUUUGGAAGAAGUAAAUGAAAAACAAAAGAGAAAAGAAGAAGAAGGAGGAAUAAAAGAGUAAAGAUAUUUUUGUAAUUAAUGAAAAAGGGGAUAAAAAGGAAAAAAUAAAUAUAAAUAAUAAAAAUAACAGCUGGCAGCGAGUGGGCAUCACUACAUGUUGAGAAUGUGGUUGUCUAGUUUUAGGGUGGUAUAUAUUUUAUUUUUGAAAAAUUCAGGGGGGUAAUAGGACCCCCGCAAAGUAUAAGUGUGUAGUUGAGAAUUCGAUAAUAGGUUAGGGAGGCAUUUGUCUAUUUUCUCUNNNNNNNNNNNNNNNNNUUUAAAAUAUAUUAAACCAAUUUAAUAAAUUAAAGUAUGAAAAAUCAUUUUUUGAAUUGAUUGACUAACCUUUUUUGAGAAAAUGACUAAAUAAGCAUUAUUAUUUUAAUUAAUUGAAAAGGCUUUUUAAAAGUUUAUUUGGGAGAGAUCUUAACUUGAAACAAUUUUAAACGAACUAAAAGUGUGUUAAGUAAAAAAACAUUAAAUAACGUUCUUUUUAAGAACAAAGAGUUUUAAUUCAAUUAAUGAUAUAAGAUCUUAUUAGUAAAAUAAAUGAACACAAAAAAAAUAUAUAUAUUAAAAGUAAACCAACAUAACAAAAAUAACUCAUCUUUUGGGGAAUCUAAUUAAGUUAUUUAAAGUUAGAGUUAAAUAAGAUUAGUCAACACGUAAUCAAAUCAUUAGAAGAGUACGAGAGAUAAUGAAAUUGGGCCCCUUCUUGGGCCAAUUUCGCUAUAUUUUUAAGCUUUAAUUCAAUUCCCGUUUUUGGUAUACAGCUGAUGUAUAUCAGUGUAUAUCGGCAUGUAUAUCAGCCCUUUUCAUGUAUUUCUUGCUUCCGAACAGCUGCAUUUUGUCUUAGCCCUGUAUUUUUCAUUUCUUGACCUGCAUAUCGACGUAUAUCUGCUGUAUAUCGUUGUAUAUUUGCCUUUUUUCCACCUGCGUUUUUGGCUUCUAGGAGCUCUAUUUCAGCUUCCAAACUUUAUAAAGGCCGACUCAAUAAACAAAAGAAGUGUUGGAUUUCAACCCAACUCGCAAAAUGGGAGUCCAAGCAACUCGAUCAAAGGAAUAUAUGCAAAAAAAAAGAUAAAGACGACAAGGAUUAGGAUAAGGAGGAGGGUCACAACAAUUCAAUAUUUUUUAGAAAAAAUAAAAUAAAAUUACAAACAUAUGGAGGCAAAAUAAUGAAUCCCAGAUUAUAAACCUGACAUAAUUUUAAGGUAAUAAAAUUAUUGUUGUAACUAGGUUCAAUAGUUAUGAGCAUAAUUAAAAAAAAUAAAAAAUAAAAAAAAAUGAAGUGCCGACAAAGUUACACUAAGACUAUAUGGUCAGACUUACUAAGAAUCGUAUUUGUGAAAAUUAAUCAUUGGAAAGGCAAUAACUCAAGUAAAGAAUUCAAUCAUAAAUCCAUAAAUAUUUUGACACAUUCUUAACAGCAAUUAUUGUGACAGAAUCCAAACUAUCACAACAUAUUAAUACAUAACUUAGCUAAGUUAAUCAUGUAAUAAUAUAAAAAUCUGAUUCCAAAGACCAAAGAGGCUUGACAAACACACAUUGAACCUUAAAUGGCUACAUGAACGACAUAUACACUUGAAGUUUAAAGCAUUUUCUAUGAAAAGUUUAUUAAUGCAAGCCAUAGAUAAACACACGUACUGGCAUGAGAGACCGAGAAGUUAAUUUGGGCCACUAUAAUUUUUUACAUCUCAAAGAAAUUUGAAGGCAAAAUGCAUUCAAUGAAUCAUGGCUACAAAUCACAAUCUGUAUUCUAAACUAUUUUCCACAUAGCCUACACUCAAUCUUGGGGACUCAAUGGCUUAACACACAUCAAUAUUUGAACUCUAAAAAAAGGGGGUAGAUAACAAUAGGCAACAUAUACACAAUCUACGCUUAACUAUACAAAACUGAGAACCUUCAUUGGAUUCCAAUAUCGAGGAGGCAUGUUUCAAACAACCCAAAAUCAGACCAAAAUAUACUCAACCGGUAGGCACAACAACAAAAAGAAAUUAAACAUAUAAAUGAGGCAGUAAACUAUUCCUUUCACAUUAUUUAUACUAGUGGAGGUGCAAAAAUAAAAAUCAGCCCACAACAUGAAGCAUACUACUUAUAGCGACUAAAAUUUAAAAUUUUAAACGGAACCACAAACCAUAGACAACAAGAGAAGGUUAUACAAUGGGAUAAGAAGGCAGUAAUACAAAAAAAAAUCAUAUCGACAUUAAAAUGGGAUCAACCAAACUUUGAACAAAAGAAAAUAAAAUUUUUUUUUAUUAACUGUCAAUCUACAAUAAGUCAAAAUACUCCCGAAAUACUGGCAUCCUAACAACUUAGAUGAUUGAGAAUCAAACGUCAAUGCAUUAAGAACAAAAGCUACUCGAAUCGAAAUGAGUAUUACCUUUUAGGGGGCAGCGAACUGAGACAAGAGCGAGCAGGGCAGCAACAAACUUCUUCCAACACCACAAAAUUUGAAUCUCGAGCAGCUAACUACGGAGUGCAAAUCGGACUCGCGCAAAGAUUUGCUCACAACUUAGGAUCAGAGAAAACGUAUGAUAUUUCUUAAAUAUAAGAAUGAUUGUUCUCUAACAAAUUUCCAAACCCAAAAUCUCUCUUUUUCAAAAGAAAUCCCCCCCAAACCCAAGACAAAGAUGGAUUUUAUAUAGGAGAAAAAUGAAUUCCAUUAGAGGGGAAACGGAUUAAAAAUUUCAAUUUCAAAUCCCUUUUUAUCCGGAAACAGUAGAAAGGAUGGGGUGAGUAUGGGCGCUGCAGGGUAGUUGAGCGAGAUUUCCAAGUUUGCAGCGCAAUUUGCUCGCUGAAUUUCGGUGUUCGCGUGAAGAAGAAGAGUAACAGGGUCGGGUACUGUUUUGGAGUGGGUUGAGGCGGCUGGAAGAGGCUUUUUGUAUUGUUAUGUAUGUAUUUGAUGUAUGGGAGUGUAUUAUUAUAUUGUUGCAUGUAUGGGUGGGCUGGGAAUAUUGUGGAGAAAAGGAAAUGGGCUGAGAAGUGGGAAUGUUAGGCCGGCUGAUUGCUGGAUAAAGGUAGAAAAGGGGCCCAAAACUUGGUCUUAAUAAGUUUAAGGUGGGGUAGAAAUGGGCUAGAAUUAUAAAAAGAAAAUGGCCAUUUGAAUUUCAACUUAUAGCCAAUUGGGAUUAAGAAAUAUAGCCAAUUUUGAAUUAAUUACUGAAAUCGGCUAAAAAUUAAAUAAGACGAAUUUAAUAUAAAUUAAUUAAUGAGCUUCUUAAUCUUAACGAAAACAAAAAUAAAUUAACUUAAUUAUAAACUAAUUAAUUCAAUUACAAAAACUAAUUAACUCAAAAUUACAACUAUAACUUAAAGCAAAUUAAUAAAAUAUUUAACUAAAAUGUAAAAUCUUUUGUGAUAAUUUUCAAAUAUUUAUAAAAUAGCGUGAUUGCAAAAAUAUACAUACUUAUUAUUAAAAAGUGAUAAAAUUAUUUUAUUUUUUUUUAAAAAUAACUUGAAAGUAUUUUGAAUUUCAUAAAAUUUAUUAAAUCAAAACUAUAACCAUUCCUAAUAUUUAAAAUAUAAUAAUAAUAAUAAUUAUUAUUAUUUUAUUUUAUUUUUGACGAUUUUCGAAUAAUCAUAAAAUAUACUAAUUAUAUACAUAAUUAUGUAAAACAUGUACAUCAUCUAAAAUUUAUGAAAAGUGACAAAACUAUUACAAAAAAUCUUGCAAACUAUAUUAUUAUUUUUUUUGGAAACUUUAUAAACCUAAUUAUUUUAAAUCGUUUGAAAUUGGAGAAGCUCGAAAUGAUUAAUUUAUAUUGUGGAGGGUCAAAAGUGGGUGUCAACAAAUACUAUAAAGUAUAUAUUAUGGUAUCAUUAAGGCUUCAUGUUCAAAAAUUACUCAUUACUCAUUAGUCAAUGAUACUAUAAGAGUAUAUAUAUACUCUUAUAGUAUCAUCGACUAAUGAGUAACUUUUGAACAAGAAACCUUAAUGAUACCAAUAAUAUAUAUAUAUAUAUAUAUUGAUUUAGUAUCAAUCAAGCAAAAUUAUCAGUCUUAAUGAUAUCGAUACAGUAUAUGAUACUGAUUUAUUAUCAGUUAAGCGAAACUAUCAUUCUUAAUGACACCAAUACAAUAUAUGAUACUGAUUUAGUAUCAGUUUAGCGAAAUUAGUUGGGGGUAUAUAGUGUAAUUAUUUAGUGGGGUAUGAAUGUAACGAGGUAUAUGUUUGUAAUUGUUUUGCUUUUAUGGGGUAUUUCCUUAGUUUCCCCAAUUAGUACUUCCUUCGUCCUUUUUAACUUGUCAAAUUUUGACUUGACACACCUAUUAAAAAAAUAUUGAUUGGUAAAGUGAGUUUACCAUUGGAAAAAAUUCGCGAAUAAGCUUAUAUAUACUAGUUAAUUACUUAACAUAGCUAUAGUUUGUCUUAAUUACAAUUCACGACCUACUUUUAGCUAUAAUUACGCGGCUCAAUUUUUUAGUUUUAUAUAAUUUGCACAUUUGUAUAAUUCAAAAUUUGUAUAAUAUAAUUUGUAUAACUUUUGUAUAAUUGUUUACAUUUUUUAUGUUUGUAAUUGUAUAAAUUAAUUAUUACAAGUUUAUACAAAGUAAACUGAAUUAUACAAAUGUACCCGCGAAUUAUACAAACCAGCGAAUUAUACAAAUCUGUGAAUUAUACUAGCGAGACAACUUAAACUGUAGCUACAACCCAUAAAUAUGCAAACUAUAGUUAUGGUGCAUAAUUAAGUUUAUUAUAGUGACUAUUUGCGAAAGUUCCUCUUUAUCAUUUACUACUAUUAAUUGAUAGGGUCCUAAAUAAAUUGAAGGUAUAAUUGAAAAAAAUAAAUUCUCCUUUCUUAUUUGUCAAAAUGACGAAUAAAAAGGUAUAUCAAAUCAGGAAAUAUUGACAAGUAAAAAAAGGAAUGGUGGGAGUAGUUGUAGAUUAUGAUUUACUUUACUCAUUCAUAUGUCUUUAUGAAAGUUCCCCUUCUCUUCUUUUGUUUAUUUUUUUAAAAAAAGUUAAAGCUUCUAGAAAAUUUUCAGUGCUACCUUGCAAGUUGCAUGGAACUAGAAAAAGAGAAUAAAAGAAUUAUAAUGGCUCCAGUUAAUUAAUUCCUUUAAUUAUGGAGAUCUUUUUGUGUCGAGGGGCUGCAUCUUUCUAACUAACUAAAUAUUUUUUUUGAUAUUUAAUAGGGGGCCUGGCAAUUGGCAUCAUGACUUAACGCACUGUUAUUUUGAUAGAUAUUUAUUUGCACUAGGAAAAAACUAAAUCAAAUUAACAAAUUAUGAUUAAAUAAUUUAAUAUUUUGAGAAUACAUACUAAUUGAUCAUUGUUAAAUAAUGUAAGUCUACGCAUAUGCGAACACAUCGAAUUCUUCUUUUGGAAUAUUAAUAUCGAUAAUCGGGUGCAAUUAAGAUUUUAUCAUAUUAUUAUUAUUACGCAAGAUUAAAAAGAUUCGAAAAGAUAUUUCAGUAUAUUUUUUCUUUAAGAAUUUUGUCAAAUUUUUGUUUCUUUUAUCGACAAUUUGACUAUAAGAUGAUGGCCCCGCUGAAUAUUUCUGAUACAAGUAAUAAAAAGGUCAAACACUCAAAUUAUUAUUAAUUGGCCGGUAGAGAAUCAAGACAGCCCAUGUUACCUUUUAUCGGUUGAAUAAUAAUGUACUCCAGUAAUCAAUUUGCAGGUAUAGUGUGACAAUAGUUUUUUGUUUAUUUAUUUUUAUAUAUAAUCUAAAACAUAUUUAGUGAUAAUUGAAUUAAUGUCAUUAUAUUUAAAGUUCUUAAAGCUUUUAGCGAUAUAUAAAGAAUGUUCUUUAUAAACAUUAUAUUUAUUAUUAUUAUUAAAUGUAAAAUAAUUAUAUUAUUAUCGUUAAAUAAUUAGAAAAUUCUUUAUUUGUUAUAGUGGACUAAUAACCAAAUUUAGUAAUUACCAGUUUACAUCUAGCAAGCAACAACUUUUGGUCAUAUUUAUAAGUAAUAUAUAAAUAAUAGUGUAAAUCAUAGGCAGAUAAGUAUUUACCCAAGAAACAACUUUCGGUCAUAUUUAUUAGUAAUAUAUUGACAUAUUUAUAAAUAAUAAAUAUCGUAAAUUACGAGAAAAAUCAUUAUAAUAGAGUUAAAAAUAUGAAGGAAGUCUCUUAAAUUAUCUCAAAAACUAAUUAUAGUCUGUAAGUAGUUGUAUAUAUGGAUAAUAUAAAGAGCAGCUUUCACAUAUAGCAAAUACAAAAAUCAUAUUUGUAUGUUAUAACUAUAGUUUGCAUAAUUGCGCUCCAUAACAAACAAUAAAUGUGUAUAUUUCACUAUACAUAUACAAAAGAAAGCAGUUGUAUAUAAUCUAUUUCUGUUUCGGUAUACAUAUACAAAAGAUCAAUUGUAUAAUCUUUGUUUGUAUAAAGCUAGAAAGAGAGAAAUGCAAAAGAGAACUGGGCAGAGAAAUAUUUGUAUUGUAUAAUUAUAAGUGUAUAGGGCAAAUAUAUAUGUAUUUGCAUGUGUAUAUACAAAUUUAUCUCGUUUUAUACAAACAGAAACACAAUUUAUACAUUUUUGUUUGUAUAAGCGAGAGAGGCUAGGGAGAGACUGGCGAGCGAGAUCUGGGAGAGGGGAGAGAGGGGAACGAAAAUAUAUGUAUAUAUACAAUUUUCUCUCGCUUUAUACAAACACAAAUGCAUUUUAUAAAUUUGUGUUUGUAUAACAAGCGAGAGAGGCGAGGGAGAGAACGAGAAAGGCGAGCGAGAUUUACCAUAAGAGAGGCGAAAUAACAACAGUUUGCUAUGGGGUAUAAUUAAAUCAAACUAUGUUUAUAGCAUUUAAUUUGAAUUAAUAGUUUGAUAUUAUAUACAAUUUCCCCUAAUAUAAAAGCAAAAUAAAUUAAAAGGGAUUAACCUGAGGCCUUGCGUUAUUAGUAUUAUACUACUUUAUUCUUUUAAAUAUUCGUUAUAUUUUUUUUUUAUCUUUUCACCAUUUUUUAGGAUCAUAAAAUUUAAAAGUCUUUUUUAUAUUUUUUGAAAUUCAUGAUAAAUCAAAAAUGGAGGUUGAACCUGGAACUGCCACAUAACUACCUACAAUUUUUUCUUAUAUUAAAUGAUGAACCAGUCACAGCUAUAGAUUCUCUAGCAAGUCUGUUAUGUCCCUUAUAAUUCUCUGUUUGGUUUAAGAGGUGAUAUUUUUUAAGUUUCAUGAACCGAUUAGGAUAAUGUAUUAUAAACUUUAUAUAUAACCAGUAACGUAGCAAUUAUUUGAUGCAAAUGAUUGAACAUUACUUAGCAGCUGUCUGUAAUCAGGAAUAAUUUUACUGUCUUUGUGACUCUGUCCUAAUUUAUAGAAUUUAAGGAAUUAAACAGUUUAAUUUCAGUACUGAAUUAAGAUAUAAAAUCUUAAAUUUUUUAUUGUUCAUUGCUUCUACUUAAAAUAAACAAGUCACACACAAAGCAAAUCUAAUUAAUCGCAAUUCACAAGGGAAGUACCUAACUUUGUCUUUUCACAUCGGCCAAACAUUAAUAAGAUCAUGCAAAUUAAAGAGGCAAACAUAUAGCUACCCUACCAAAUAUUAUCGUACCCAAUUGAUGUGUUGUUUGAUUGAUACAAAAAAUUUAAAAGAUCUUUUUUUUAAUAAUAGAAAUCAUUCUCUUCUAGUUAAAUAACAAAAUUAGAAAUUUUAAAAUCAGAAUAUUUUUUAAAUAUAAUAAUCGAUUAAAAAAACUAUUUAUCAAUCGAUUAAAUAAAAAUAUGUCACGUAAAUAAAUUGGAGCUGAUAAAACCAAAAUUAUGUCACCAGUUGCUAGGUCCAUCUAAAGUGUUAGUUUAAAGUCAGACACUUGCCCUAUUUUUAUUUUUUUUAUUUUUUUGUUUUCUUUUCAAAAUCUUGGAGUUUGGCAAAUCUAAAUUGUGGAAUAAAGUCUGUUUAGUUUUUUUUUUUCUCAUGAUUCAAAAUCAAAUACUCUAAUUAAGAAAGAAACAAUAUUAUUAUCUCCUGAUGAACAUUUUAUUAAAAAUAUUUGUCUCAUAUUACUUAAUCACUUGCUAAAUCAAGAUAGGCUUUCCAUUCUACCCCUACAAUUAAUAGUAUUAGGAAGUUUAAACUUUAAACAAAUUUUGAAGAUCUAAGAAUUUCUUUUUUCAAGAGGCUAACGAAUAUGAACAAAGGGCAAAAUAGUAAAGUUGAUAAAUCUAUUAAUGAUUUCUUAAUUAUCAUGUAAAAUAUAAAGUGUCCAUCUAAUAUGGGAUGGAGGGGUAUUCAAUACACCACAUUUUUAUGAUAGUCCAUUAGUUUAGUUACUAGUUUUAUAUAAGUUGACCACCUUAUUAAAAACACAUGUCCCAAAUUAUUUAUCCACUUACUAAAUCAAAUAAAAUUAAUAAAAACAAAUCAUUUUACUUCUAUAUAAAAUAAAAUUUAAAAAAUAUCCCCUCGUUCACUUUUAUUUGUCACUGUUUGACUUGACAUAUCUAUUAAAAAAACAAUUAUUGAUAUUGGUAUUAUACCAAACUAUCCUUAUUAAAUGAUAUUUAUUAUUAAGUCUUGAAAAAUGAUUUGGAGAAUUAGUAUUUAAUGCUGUGAGUAAAAUAUGAAAAAGUAUAAUUAUCUUUUCUUGAUAUGUUAAAAGUGAUAAAUAAAAAUGAAAAUCUAUUUUAAGAGUAAGUGAAUGAGAGUAAUUAAAUACUUUGUAUCUAUUUUGAUGAUUCUAUUCGUAAGCGUUAUGUUGUUAAGAAAUUAUGCUGAUAUUUUUAUCAAUAUAGAUGAAGAAUAAAUUAAUAAAUCAACUAUGGUGUAAAUAUAAAAUGAAUCAUUUCAUAUGAGAGGACGGAGUAUAAGUUACAAGAAACAAAGAGUGCAUCCUCCAAUAGGGACAGCUUUUAGUGCAAUCCGUUUACCCGAACAUAUCGAUGUUAAAAUACAUAUAUGACUUUAUUAUUCCAAUUUAAUAAAAUUCCACUACAUUACAAGAGCAAAACCUAGUGGCAGCCUGCAGUUUUGCGUUAUGCCAUAGUUUACAAGGAUUUACAGUAAAUCAAUUGGACAUAUCCUACUAAAAAAAUAUUAAAUUCAUAACACUACGAUUUUUUUUUUGAUUAAUUAUAAUCACUUGAUUAGUUACUACUAUUUGCAAUGUCAUUUUUUUUUUAAUCAUGAACCUUUUAUAGAUUUUUUUAAAGAAAAAAUCCAAAAUACACUAUAAUGGAUGAUGGAGUUUUAGAAUAUGUUAGUUUGCUUUAAAAAAAAUCGAUUUUUAUGCUUGAAUUUACAUCAAAUAUUAUUAAUUUAACCCUCAUCUGAAUCAAUCCCCAAUGAAUGUAAAUCCACAAAAAAUUGAACAGAGGGAGUAUUAUAUAAGUUUUUCUUUGCAGAGUGUUUUCUUUCAUUUAUUGGUUAAAGAAGAAAUUAUCAGCCUUUUGCUUUGUCAAGGAUUUAAAGAUUAGUUUUUUUUAAAAAAAAAUAAAAAUCCAAAUUAUAAAAAUGGAAAUAUGUAAAAGUAUGGAGGUUCCAAUCUUAGGCAUAAUUAUCGACGAAAAUGCUUAUUGAGCAAUUUUUUUAAAAUUAAAGAGCUCGGAUCGAAUCAAUAUUGUUAUCGGAGGGCUUGUGGCCUCUCUUUAUUUUAUUUUUUGGUAGUAUAUAUAAUAGAAGUUAGAAGAGAGAGAAAUUGUAGAGUAGUGGAAUUCUGAGAUUUGAAAUUCAUGUUAGUAUUAAGUUAUAAUAAUCAGCAUAUACAAAGUAGAAACUCUAAUCAGAUAACAGUAAACAUAGCAAAUCUAGCUAAUUUUCUUCUUUUUGUUUUUUUCUUUUUCCGUUUUAAAAAUCUCUUUCCCACUAUGCCUCACAAAAAUAUACAACAGGCUUUGAAUGACGGAGAGAGCUACCAGCACUGAUCUGUUUCCCAGUUCCUGGUAGUAUAGCCGGUGAAUCCCGACAUUGCUGAAGGAGAACAGCCGCCGGAGUACAAAUUGACACUCCGGCGCCUUCUGAGUAGGCGGCGGUCAUAAUCGGCACGUUUGUCCCGGAUCCGACAAAGUAGAAUAGGCAGAAUGAAUCUUCAUGAAAUCGUCCGCCGACGUGUCCUUCUGAUCAAUUGCCGCCACAUCAGGAUGGCAAACUCUAGCUAAUCUCCGAUAAGCUGCCUUGAUCUCCUGGAUCGUAGCGCCGAUCGGAAUCCCUAGAAUCUCGUAGAAAGACGCCGGAGAAGCAUGGACAAGGUUAGAAGGCAGCGUCGAGUACCUUGAAGCCGAUGACGUGGUAGAUUCAGUUUCGACGGAAGCACAGGUCGCCGCUGCGGCGGUCGUGAAGAUACCGGACUGACGGAAUCUGACGGAAGACGGUGAUAGAACAGAAUUGUCGCCGGAGGAAAAUAUAUUCACCGGCGGUGGCGGAGUUUGAAGAAACGAACGAGGGGAAGUAGAUAGCAUGGGCAUGUUUAGUUUUUUUUUUUUUGUGGAGUGUAAUGAGUCAGAGAAGGCGAAGGGGCUAAAGUUAUAUAGAAGAAUGGGAUGAAGUUUUAACUGUGCUGUGGCCAAAAAGAGUAACUGAAAUGUGAAAAGUUGGGGGGACCAAAAAGAAAAGUAAAUAAUGGAGGGGGCCAAUGUGUAAUUAUGUGGACAAAGAAGUUAUGGAAGGAAGGCUUAUCCGUUUUAUGUAUUUGGUGAGUCAGCACUUCUGCUUAUCCGAUUCAUCAAUUCAGUGAGUUCUCAGUUUGAUGUCAGUAUCCACAUAUUAGGUUUUUGUCUCGUUUGAAGGGUUAAGAUGAAUUUAAAAGUAUUAGAGUAAAAUAAAAUAAAUAAAUAAAUACAUAAUAUUUAAUUAAAUAUUUUUUUAAUCAUAUUUACUAAGUAUAUUUUAUACUCCCUCCGUCCACAAUUGUUUGGCAGGUAUACUAAAAAUAGAUGUCCAAGAUUAAUUGUUAAUUUAAACAAUCAAGAAAUAAUUAGUCACUUUUUUCCAAUUCUGCCCUUAAUGAUAAUGUAGUUCAAUUGAAAAGUUACGUGGACUUUUGGUAUUCUUGGUAUAGUAGGGUUAUAUUAGUCAAAUUACACCUUGUACUUGGUGUGCAUGACCUUACCCUGACAAAUAAUUGUGGACGGAGGGAGUAGUAAUUAUAUGAGUAUUAUUUCUUUCUCUCUCUCCUCUCCUCUCUCUAGCUCUCUUACUCUCUCCCCUUUUUUGUUCAAUGGUGAUGAUAUUUACAGGCAAUGAAUGAACAUCCUUGUAUAUUUUGACAUCGAAUAUAUAGGAUGAAGUUAAUAUUAAAUACACUUAAUUGAAUUUAAUUUUGAAUAUGUUGAUACAUAAAAUGGUGACGAGAGAAGAAGAGAGGCGAUUCAUAUAAGAGAGAUACAUUUAUGAGAUACAGUGUAUCUAGAAGUAAAUACUAAAGAUAAUUCAAAUAAAAUUUAUAAUUAUUAAAACUGUCUGCAUUGAAACAUUAUUUUCUGUUUCUUGAAAAUGUUUUGGUUUGAUAGUAUUUAAAUUUUUUAUUUUUUGCCAAACAGGGUUAAGCUUGUGACUUUGAGGGUCGUUAUCGAAAAUAUCAAAGAAGAAAGUAACAAAGAAAAAAUAUAUAGUGUAUUAAUUAAAGGAAAUCUUAAAAUUGGAAUGGUUGUAAACCGCUGAAACGGAAGCGGGCCCACACUCUUUAGCUGACCACAAGACAUCAAUUAUCAUUUUCCACCGCCGCUCACGUCAAUUAAUUCAUAAACAUUAACGUUAUUUUAUUUUUUAACUCUAGUUGUGAUAUACUCUUAUUCAUCAACACUACAUACUGCAAUUAAGCUUUUCAUCUAUAAUUCAAGGACAAAAUGAAUCAUCGAUUAAAUGCUCUAACCAGUAAUCAUGGGAUACACAAAUCAUAAAAAUGCAUAAUUUCUCCUCAAAAACUUAAUUAAUACUUGAUUGGAACGAUGUGGUUUGAAUAAUUUAAUAAAGACCAUAAUUUAAUUUGACAAUAAAAGGUGUGUUUUUGAUCACACACAUUUCAACAGUAAUGCUUUCUCCGUUCAAUAAUAGUUGUCCACUAUAUUAAAAAUAGUUUAGAAGAUAAAGAGAUAAUUUACAUUUUAUGUCUAUUUUAUCCUUGCUAUUAAAUACUAUUUAUCAUCUAACACAUUUCUCAAAUCAUUAAAUUUAAUAAAGUCAAAGGAUAAAAUAGUUUUUUCGAGAAACAAAGUGAAAUAUUGACAGUGACAAUUGGUAAAUUGAACCUAACAAAAAUUGUCAUGGAGUAAGAAGUAAUUAUUUAUCCUUAACCAUAUCACUUACCAUUGAUAAUCUUGUGUGUCUACCUUGUAUGCAUGAUGGGUUUAAGUUUUAUGUAUUAUUCUUGUAAAAAUAUUCACGCAAUUUAGUUAUAAGUUACAAUAUUUUAAUUUUUUAAUAAAUAUUAAUUGAUAAUUUGAUUUUAAAAUAAUAUCAAUAUGCUAUUAUAAAUCAAUAUUUACCAAUAGUAUAAAGUCUUUAAUUUACACUAUUAAUGAUGAUAAUAAUAUAUAUAGCUUAAAUCCUUGGCUUCUCAACACAUGAUGGUUCAGUUAUUGACUUAUAUUGCAGCUCCCAUGUGAUUAACCAAUAAUUCAUCACUUUAAGAAGAUUAUCUCUAAAAUAAUACAAUACUAAGUGAUGUCCCAAACGGUACGCCACUUAAGAAAAUUAUGUUUAAAGAUAAGAGUGAUCCAUAUCUCUAUCAAACCAUAGUGGACAUAGACAACUACUCUUAUUGUUAUCUAGUGUCUGCUAAUUCAUAGCAAAGAGUUCUAUUCUAUCAAUCAAUUAUAAAACAUCUUUGAAAAAAUCAAACAAGAUAAAUUAUACCACAAAUUUUAAAAAAUAAAGAACAAAUUUUGAAACUAUCAAUUAUUUAUGCAUGCAUUAAUUUGUGAUCACCAUUUGUUUCCAGAAAACCUGUCAAAAUCAUCUCAUGGAAAAAAAUGGUUCUAGAUAUGGACAACACAUGCAAGCACCAAAAAAAGAAGAAUUAAAAGUCAUACUAUGCUUGCAACUAUUAGCUAAUUGAUGAUGCAUCUUCCAAUGAAAUUGAAUAGACCAUUUUUGUAAUAUUUAAAGGACUUUUUUUUGCAUACUAUCGAUCAACUUGGAUGGAGAGUUAUAAAUAUAUUUUUUCCACUCACAAAGUAAUAAAAUAAAUUUUAAGUGGAGUAUAUACCCAAACGCAAUUUGAACUUCCUAAUGUCAUUUAUUAACUUCAACUUGAAAUAUUUUUUCUUGCCUUUCAUAUAUUACUCAAAUUCAUGUCCACUAUGAUAAAAAUAGCUUUUAACGGUAAAAAAUAUGUACAUUAUUAAAAGUGAUAAUGUCUUUAACGACAUUAGUUAAUUGUCAUUUCAAUGUCGCGCUAUAAUCUUUAGAGACAUUUACAAAGAGUGUUAAUUGCUAUCAAAAAAUAUAUUUAGCAGCAAUUUAACUAUUACCUUUAAUUAAUUGCCUCUAAAGAUCAUUUUUGAUGUGGUGUUCAAACACCCGUUUAUUGAUUACUUUACAAGCUUUUUUAAUUUAAUUUAUUUUUAUAUUCCAGAUACAAUUUCAUACAAAAUUGUACAUACAUCUCAGAUAACGUAUGCAAGUAUUAACAAUGUGCAAGUAUUAGCAAUGUAAUAAAUUACUUAAUAAAGUACUAUAUUGAAUUAUGUGAUGAUGAUGUCUUCUUAUACCACUAACUAAACAUUUACAUAAUAUUAACUUUAUGUUACGAUUAUAUCUUUUUGUUCAAUAAACUAAUAAACAAUAUUGUAGAUUAAAAACAUAAAAUAAUGAUAAGUUAAUAACCAAGGUAUAGUAAUAAUGUGCUUUACGAGGUCCCAAGAGUCACACAACAAAGAGUUUGGUGUUUCUUGAAUUACUAAUGAGGGAUCGUUUUCUUCUAUGCUAAACUUGUGUUUCCUUAAUUUGACCCCACUUCAUAUUGUUUCUCUAUUAUGGUGUCUCAUUAAUUCUCUUCUCUUUCAUAUUCGAUUUAUGUUCUAAUUAUAACCAUAGACAAUUACAAAGUUAUUAAAUUUAUUUUCAUAACAUGACAUUAUCUUCUCACAUUAUCAAAAGUCACUUUACCAAUAAGUGUCUCCUAAUCUCUAAAAAGUAGUACUUUACAAGAUAAAUGGAUAAAGUUAGAGGUAUGUACCCUCCAUCUUUUCAGACCCCCACUUAUGAAUAUAUUGUUGUACCUUACAGCCUAGCCCAAAACACACAUGUGACAUACUUUGCGUUUUCAACAAAGAUGUCAUAUUUAAAAAUAAAUAAAUGUGUCCCUUUAACAUUUUAAAUUGUUAGAUGAUAUGAUCGCACACUUCAACAUAGAUAUUAGAGUAGGCAACUAAAGCAAAGCAGUAAUAAUGGGACGACAAGCUUCAAAGUUCAUCAAAAACAUAAAUAAAUUGAGUUGAAGAAUUCAACAAUCAGUCCCUUUAAAUCAAAAUCUUCAGAUUUUUUAUAUAUAUUUCAAUGGCAACUAAUUAGGAAUAAGGAGACGGAGAAAGUGUUUGUACCCUUUUUUUUCUUUAUAGAUAUGAUGAUACAAAAUGUAAUAUACUUGUUAUGUUUGAUAAAUAAAAAAAUACACAUAUAUAUAUUCAUUCAGUAAUAUAGAUCGAGUCUUAUUUAAUAAGGAGGAUUAAAAAUUUGUUUUGGAUAUUUGUGUGAGUGGGAUACCAAUAUUUGCAUCAGUGAUCCAUAUAUAAAUGAAUAUAUAUGCUCGAAACGCCCACAGACUUAGAAAUUAGCUUAUUGAUUAUAAUAACAUCAUCAUUUUAUUUUAGUAAUAUAUUCCAAAAGCAUGAUGGACAGUUAUAUAGACGUCUACUGUCCGCUGAUUCACCGGCCCAAGACUAUUCUUCAGUGACAUUUAUAUUUAUAUAUACUAUAAGUAUUAAUCAAAUGACUCAGAAACCACAUAUUAAGAGGGGAAGAAAAGAAUAUUCAAUGUUUCCAGAAAAUAUGUCAAAUCAGCUCAAGGACAAAAGGUUCUAGAAUCCAUGGGGACAUUUUAAGGCAGAAGUAGUGUCACCAGGCAGCUUUCCUGCUCUUCUUUUUCUUAAAAUUUCUUCUCUAAUGUCAACAAUCUUCCCCUUGUAAUCCAAGAAAACCCAAAAAAAAAAAAAAAAAAAGUAACACACUAUAGGCCAAAUUGAUGAAGCAACUUACAGUGAAAAUAGACCAUUUUGUAAUAUUUUAUAACGACUUAUUGUUGCCAAUAUGUUGAGUUACGGUGAAAGUAUAAAUAAUAAAUCACCGGCCCAUUACAAAAUUAAUCGAAGGUCAAUACCAGCUCUAAUAAUAUGCUUUACAAUAUCCCAAGAGUCAUUUCAUAACGAAUACCUCACUUAAAUUUAACACUCCUUUUUUCUGUUUUCUUCGGAUAAAUAUUCUUUCUGUUCCUAAAUAUUUGUUAUUUUUAAUAAAAAAUAAAUUAUUCAAAAUAUUUGUUAAAAAUCUCUAUUUGUUAUUAAAAGAAAUUAAGACAUAAUUAAUUAUUGAAUAUCAAUGUAAUGCAAAAAAAAUACUUAUAUCUUAAAUUAAUUUAGUCAAAUUACUUCCUACUUAUUGUUUUCUUCUAGAGCUUUCAGCCUGACAUACUAAACUUGUAUUUCUCUAAUUUGGCCCUACAUCUAUCGUAAGUAUCUGUUUCUUUUUUAUUACUCCUUUUUUUUUUUUUCAAAAUUUGAUUUGAAAUCUUAUUGAAAAAUAUUCCCUGUUCAAAGAAAUCGUAUCUAAAUACAUAACUUAUUUUACUAUAUUCUAUCAAAUUUCCUAUCAAUUGAAAUUUUUUACUAAAAUUUCUAUUCUCUCCUAUUCUUGAAUACAUCAUUGUACACGAUGCAUGUAUCGAUCAAAUACAUCACUAUAUGCACUGUAUCAGGACGUAAUACAUCACUUUACACGAUAUAUCAAUCGAAUACAUCACUAUAUACAUAAUGUAUCAGGACGUAUGCGUUGUAUUGGGACGUUGAGUAAUGUAUUUGAAUUCCACCUAAUUUAAGAGAUUUUUGUAAUUUAGAAAAUAGAAGAAAUAUGAUGUAAUUAGGUCUUAACACUAUGAAAUUUGUGUAAUUUCCUUAAAAAUAAUAUCAAUCUAUUCUAACAUGUUAUGUUCCAAAUUAUUUAAGAAUCAAUUAUAAGUCAGUGUAAGAAUAUACUUCUUCCGUUUCAAAAUACUCAAGUUUUUGAACGGUAGGGGCAUUAAUGUCCCAAAAAUAUGAUGGAGAGUAUCUGCAUAUCAUUUACGAUAAUUUGGGGAUAUAUUUAUCUUUUUUCCCUUUUGAGAAUCAAACUAUACAAAAUUUGACUAAUUUUAAGAUAUAUAUUUUUCAUCGUAUUGAUAGGAGAAAAUUGUAAUUUGCAGUACUUUUAAUACAAUUUUUGAAUAUAUAAAUUUUAAUUUUAAAAUUAAUCAAAUUGAAAAUGAAAUGUGACAAAUAUUUUAGGCCUAAUCCAUCAGUGGCCCCUUAAAGUUGGCACAAUGUUUUACUUAAACACCCUAACUGAACGAUGUUCAUUUUAGACAUCUUAUGUAAGAUCCCGCUGUGUCAUUUUGACACCUUGUUUAAUAUCAACAAAAACAUAUAAUGUGUGUGUAUUACCCUGGCGAAUGAUGUAUAAAGUGACGAAUUAAACCAUGACAUUUGUCAUUUAUGUCAAAGUAAUUUUUAAAUAAUUAAUAUUGAAUAAAAAUAAAAACUGACCAAUAAACUAAUGACAUGAAUAUUUUUUCCCAAAAUAAUUUAAAAAUAAAAUAAACUCCCCAAAUAAUAACAAAAUAAAACAAAAUUUAAACUAACCCCACAACCCCAAAUCACCUGCCCCCAAAUCCCCACCCCAUCGUCUUCUCCAACCCCCCCACCCCCAAACCCGAUCGCCUUCUGCAACCACCUCGCGCUUUCUCCUCCAAAUAUCCGACUCCUUUUUGCAGAACGUUGUGCAACCAGUUGAUAUUUUUUUUUUUUGAUCUUCAAAUAAAUCCCCGGCGCAAAGAAUUUAAUGAAUGAGUUUAUUAAAUUCUUAAAUUUUUUUUAAAAAAAAUCCAUCUUUUUUGUUGAAACCUUCAUUUACAAUGGGUGGAUUUAACUUGAGCAAAAUGGUGGCUGAAAAUGGAGAAGAAGAAAAAUAUAAUUAAAAAUUAACUAAAUAAUCACUUCACGCGCCUAUCAAUGAGUGUGAUAAAAAAGUGUCAAAAUGACAAUGUGAAAUUCUAUUUGAAGUGUCUAAAAUGAAUAUCGCUCAGGAAAGGUGUCUAAGUGAAAUGUUGUGUCAACUUUAAGGGUCAUCGAUGAAUUAGGCCAAUAUUAUAACAUGGAUGGGAUAUUAUGAAAAACAAGUUCAAGGAUAUUUGUUAUAAAGUUGAAUCCUUCAGUAAAAUAUCAUAGAGGUGCGCCAUUAGCUCUUAAUAUCCUCACUAUCUAUCUCAUAUACUUAAUAUAAAUAUAAAUAGGCAAAAUGGUCUGGUAGACCUUGUAUCAAUUUCUAUUGCGAACCCUUCUACUUAUUCAUUUGUCAACUAAACCCUAUACUCCAUAAAACAUAAUAUAUCAAACCCUCUGAUCAUUGACUAGUCUUAUGUGGCAUUAAUAUGAUUGAGUUGGCACAAAAGCGUGGCUACACGCGUUAAAGGGGCAAGUGAAGAUCAGACUUACAUCAAAAAAAUAUUAAAAUUAUAAAAUAAUUGAUUUUGUAAAUGAAAAAUAAAAUAAAAUAAAUAUUUUACUUCUUCUCCCCCACCACACUUCUUUUCUAGCAAUCAUCCCCUUUUCCCAUCAACCCCACACACCAUCCACGCUCCAACCUCCAUUUUCCUUCUUCAUACUUAAUGUCAUUGUCCAAUUUAUUCUCUCCUCUAUCUAUUGCUAGUGAUUCCAGUGACUAUUACAACUAGUUUCUAGGGGGUUUUGGGCAUUAUUUUGUUGUUAGUUGUACAGUUUUGAGAUUCAAGAUUUUAUUUUUAAGACUUCCAUUCUCAAUGUCCCUUUUCUUAGGUUGUUGUUUUUGUGGAUGUUGGAGGAUGAAAGAAAAAUAGUGAUGGUGUGCGGCGGAGAUGAAGAUGGGUGAGGGAGAAAGUAUAUGUGAUUUUGCCGGCAAAAAUGGCGACGACGGUGGCGAUGGCUUUCUCCGCUGGAUUUUGGUCCUGAAACAGUGAUAAUAGGGAGAAUUGGAUGUAUGAAAUUUCACUUUAAAAAAUGCCAAAAUAUUAUUUUACAUUUUAUUAAAUAAUUUUGGUUAAUAAUUUUAAAAAAUAGUUAUGAAAUAAUUAUGAUAUGACAUUGAUAUAUCUGACAUGUCAAUUAUAUAAAGGAGAGUGAGCUACACACAUGAUUGGAGGGACUUAAAAAUCUCAAUUUAAUUGAGUUUAAGGGUCCAGAUGACAAAUGAGUAAAUAGAAGAAUACAAACUAAUACAAGUACAAGGGUUCACCAGACCAUUUCGCCAUAUAAAUAUAAAUAAUGAUCCACUUUGAUUUGCUUGAAGUUCAAGUGUUCGAUAAUUUAUAUAUAUUUUGGGCGAGCGUCGAAGAACAACUAGUGUUGAUCAGAAUAAUAGUUUAUUGAAUUAGAUAUUUCGAAAAUAGUUGUCGUGUGAUCGUUUUAGGAAAACCAAGGUCAUUUUUUUACUGGAUAUAAAUUGUAUUUGUGCUAUAUAAUUUAACUUCGUAGUUCAGAACAAAUGGCCCAUUAGCUCAGUUGGUUAGAGCGUCGUGCUAAUAACGCGAAGGUCGCAGGUUCGAGACCUGCAUGGGCCAAAUUUUUUUAUUACUUCACAACAUCUUCUAAUUGGUUAUAGGCCAAAGAAUUACACAUCCACUAUAAGGUAUCGAUAGGUCAAUAAUAUAUCGAAAAGUAAAAUUAGACAUUGAUAUCUCGAUUGAUGUUCUUCUAGAUAUGAUGGUAUCCUCAGAGUUAUAUAUAUUGAUUCUUGACAAGAUAAUUUGUUUUACAUAAUGACAAGCUGGUUGAAAAAUAUUGACACGCUUAUAAAAAAGGUGAUACCAACUGACCUAUAACAUUAAGUCCUGGUGAUACAUGUAUAUUUUUAUCAUUGAUCAUAUAAUCUAUAGUGACGUUGUAUUACAUACAUACUCAAAGGGAACCCCAGAAAAACUCACAAAGAAUGUACAUUUAAAACGACCAGAUUAUGAACAUUAAUUGCUGCUGGUUGUUUAGGAGAAAGCAACUUCAUGCCAAAUGCUUUUCUGGCAAACUCUGCAGGAGCCGGAGGGGCGCUGGCUACACAAGGCCAAAUGUCUCUAAUCUCAUUCAUUUUAGCGACAGAAUUGCAGCACAUGAGAACAUGUAAAUGAACGUGAUUUUCCAACAAAAUUUUCUCAUGGAUAACUUUCACAUCUCUUAAACACUCUGACUAGAUUUUCCGAGAGCCUCUGACUGUAGGACUAGUCACCAUUCGUGAACUUAUACUUGCAGUUCUUAGAAGCCUGCGGAAUUCUGACAAGCUUAUCUUUCCAUCUUUGUCGAUAUCUGCUUCUUCUAGCAGUGGGUCUAUGGAGCCUUUUAAGCCGGUAUGCUGCAUACAAGUAAAAGCCAGAUAUGAGUAUUUUUAGAAUUUUGGGGCUACCAACGAAUCCACAGUCUCAACUCUUAGUAUUUCUUUUCUACUCGUCUUUUGGUUUUAUCUUUGCAGAGUUGCGGAACAGGACAGGGUUAAAAUUUCUAGAAAGCUAGCAUUUAUAUAUAUAUAUAUAUAUACACAACAGUGUUGAUCACUUGAAGAAGAAAAUACGACAUACUAACCAUUCUAAGUUCCUCUGGAGUUAUGAAUCCAUCUCUAUCAACAUCAAAUUUCUCAAAAGCAGUUUGCGAUCUUUGCUGCCAUUUUAACAAAUUAUGCUCCUCUAACUGAUGUACAUGUAGAGUCGCUGCAACAAACUCCGGGAAAUCAACAAGCCCGUCUGUGUUACUAUCAAUCUGAAAAAUCAAUGAACAAAAUGCUUCAGGAUUUUGAACUACAAGGAGAAAAAACUGUAGGAAAUGCAGUAUACAUAGGCAGAAAAAAAGCAUUGACAAUCGUUGAGUAAACCCUCAGAUUAUCACAUGGACUCAUAAGCUGGAAAUUUACAGAACUACUAUGUGACAUCACAUUCCUUUUUUCCUUUUUGUGGAUGGCUCUUUGGUGCAUUUGUCCUUUUCUUUCCUUAUUCCCUUUCAGAGGAGUGGGGACUAAAUUGGUUGCAAACACGUUCCAGCUUGACGCCAUAGAAGGUAUUUCAUAGUAAUAACUUAAUCUUACAUGCCAUAUUAUAGUGAUAUACUUCAUUCCUAGAUAUAUUAGCUUACCGCUUGAAGAAUCUCAAGAACCCGUGAUUCUUUCAUCUUCCAGGGGAGAUCCUUGGCAAGUGCCUGCAUUAGAAUUGGAUGUCAUAGGAGAGAAUAUAGUUGACAAAAAUAACAUUAUAUUACAGAAUGCUUUGUUGCAAAGACAGGAAUAUAAGUGCUCGCGAUGUUAGCCAGAAACUUAGAGAAACUGUACAGGACUAGACCAUGAAAUAAGGGAAAUACCUGUCUCAUUUCUUCAAGGCUAAUAACACCAUUUUUAUCCACAUCAAUUGCAGAAAACUGGUCCCGGACAUCUGCCAGCUCCUCCUCAUCAAGUGUGCUAGCCAAUGCCUGCCGGAUAACGAAAUCAACAACAACAACAACAACAACAUACCCAGUAAAAUCCCACUAGGUGGGGUCUGGGGAGGGUAGAGUGUACGCAGACCCUACCACUACCUCGUGGAGGUAGAGAGGCUGUUUCCGGGAGACGCCGGAUAACGAAAUCAACGACAACAACAACAACAUACCCAGUAAAAUCCCACUAGGUGGGGUCUGGGGGAGGGUAGAGUGUACGCAGACCCUACCACUACCUCGUGGAGGUAGAGAGGCUGUUUCCGGGAGACGCCGGAUAACGAAAUCACAUGAAGUUAAUGUUCUCUACUUUUUAUUUUGACCUUGCAUCAGAUAAGUCUAUGAAAGUAAGAAAGCUAUGAAGUUACCCGUAAUGCAAAUUGUUUUAAUCGACUGUAUUUGACAAACUGUCGCAUGUUGGACAAGACAGAAAUGUCUAGUGGAAUCUCAGAAGCAUCACCUCCUUCACGGACCCAUGGAUGUGCUGAAAUGUUCGUAUAUAUCAGUUUGAAAAAACUACCAUUUAUUGCAUCAACAAUUCAAAGGUGAUGAGAAUACCAGUAACAUCUAAUUAAGUGAAAACAAUGAAAUAAUUAUAUGAAAAUUAUUCAAUAUAAUUAUAUGAAAUUUAACAGAAAUAUGAAAGCUAUUUAGGAAGAACUGAUAAAAUGGACAUCCAACACCAAACAUUGCUAAUGAAGUGGCUGACUCAAAAUUGACAAAUUCAGUGUAUGAAUCUUUUGGACCUUGAGUUACUUCUCCGAUAAUCAUUCUUGGUAAUUGUAAAACCUAAACAUCACUUCAAAAGAUCGUACUAAAUCAGAAUACAAUUACUUACAUAGGGCCUGGGCAGCAGUAAGUCUAGCACGAGGAUCUUUCACCAAUAAUUUCUUAACAAAAUCUUUAGCACUGUUGCUUAUAGUUGGCCAUGGCUUGCGACGAAAAUCAGGUUUGUUUCGUAGGACCUUAGCAUAGCAGAAGCGGAGUUAGAAACAAUACUAAAUCAGCUAAAAUUAAAGCACAAAGACUUUACCGAACAUGACAAUGAACAAGUUACACUUCUCAAAGGAAUAAAAUAACACAUUUGAAUAAGAUUUUAUUUAAAUAAACACCAAGACAAUCCUUAUUCAAAGAUAUAGCAGUAGCUUCGAUGAACUCAAAAGAGAACAAGAAAAUUUCAGGUUCAAGAAAUUUUAAUACCGACUAUGGAAUGCAGACUAAGCUAAUCAAGAACUAAGAAUAAUAAAGCACAACUAUACAGGAAAUUCAUCAUCAGUACCAUAUUUGGAGUAAAAUUCUGAAAUCUCAAAUGUAAAAUUGGCUAAUCAGACACAGAAUUAUGCAUUUUUUUAAAAUGUAUUAUGCAAAGUCAAUAAUGAUAAACAUGCCACUUUGACAGAAUACAAAGUUUAUUUCCUAGUAGAGCUUAAAGAUCAUAAUGCAUUUCCACAAGUUUCCAAGAAAAAAAUCACUAUAUAAAAUGUUGCCCAGCUGCAGAGCUAUAAAAAUAAAUAUUAGCAGCUCACCUCCUUGAAUAUGCCAUCCUCUGUUUUAUCCCAGAAGGGCCGACGACCACAAAGCAAAAUGAAUGUAAUUACACCAAUGCUCCACACAUCUGAUUCAGGUCCAGAUUUACGCUUUAAUACCUCUGGGGCUACGUAAUAUGCACUUCCUACUAUAUCUUGGAAUUUCUUCCCUGCAUUUAUUAAUUUACAGUUAUAAGUUUUUGCUAUCUGAGGAAGAACCAAAAACAUCUUUGACGGCUUUAACAGAUUUAUGAAGAAUUGAAGUUCAUACACCAUAGCAAAAGAUCUUUUUCAAAUAAGAAAAAUGAGUUUAAACUAAAAUAUGUCAUUGAGUAGAUUUGUGGACAUCCAAUCACCUGGUCUUAUGAAGUCUGAAAGACCAAAAUCUGUGGCCUUUAGUGGUGAGUCCUCCUUUGGAGAUUUAAAGAGAAAAUUCUACAAGAAAGAAAUGUGUGUAAGAGAAGCAACAUGAAGCAGCAUUAAUAAACCAAAGGAAGUACAUAACUUCUUGCAAACCUCAGGUUUCAUAUCACGAUGCACCAAACCAUGUAAAUGACACUGAGCGGCAACUUUCAGCAUCUGACCCACAACUAUUGCUGCAUCUUUCUCGGUAUAACGGCUGUCCUUUCUGAUCAAAGGAAAUCAUCGAUAAAUUAUAUAAGUAUUCUUCUUAACAAGAAAUAAAUUAUAGAGCAAGCACCACAGAUCACGAGAUUAAGUAAACCUGGUUUAUACCACUUACUUGGCCAAAAUGCGGUCCAACAGUUCUCCGCCCUCGCAUAACCUACAGGAAAACAAAUUUCUAAUCCAUCAACUUCCCAUCAGAUAGCAUAAUCGAUUGUUAAGCAAAGAACUAGGACCUGACGAAUCCAAACAGAGCUCUUAAUAACGAAACUUACUCCAUUACUAUGUAAACAUAGUUAUCAUCCUCAAAUGCAUUAUAGAAAUCAACUACAUUCUCGUGACCAGCUAGGGCCUUCAAUAUCUUGACUUCUCGUUUUACAUCCUCAACUGCAAUUGGAACAACCAUCUGCAACGAUUCACUAGAGUUAUGCUAUAGUUGUAAUAAACUGGAACAUCAAGAAGUUCAAGGUAAGGCAAUUGAUCAUGCAAUAGUACUAAAACUUAACAAGCGUCAAAAAGAGAAACUUCUGCAAGUAUUCGUAUUUGCAUGAAUAACCCCAUCAUUCCAGAAGGAUGAACACAUCUCAACUGGUGUGCAGAGAUUAUACGAGACAAAGCUGGAGGAACCUUUCACCAAAAGAAAAGUUUUUCUCCAUAAAAGCCGAUGGUGAACAAAAUAGUUGCAUCAUGCAUCAAUAACCAAGACUUGUGCAGUAAGUCACAGAUAAGCUAUGUUGCUCGGACUCUUCAAAAUGUCAACGGGUGCAUGUUAGAUUCUCCAAAAGUAGUGUAUUUUUGGAGAAUCCGACAGGGGUGCAGCAUCGAAAGUGAAGAGUCCGCGCAAAGAAGUUUCCAGUGCCAAUUGACUAAAAACCAGCUCUCUCUCUAUAGUCUAAACCAGGUCAGGGAAGCCAUUUUCCAUUUAACUGUACAUAAUAACAACAAGCAGCACUAAUCACAGAAAACUAAGGUCCAGUGCUUAGGUGUUUCUCUCGAUAUGUCAAUGCUUAGAACCACAACCAUCAUUAUUAACCAAACAGCUCCCAUAAACCUAUAGUUUUCGAGAUAUUUACUUAUCCCAUCAGUCAAGUUUGUAUGUACCCACGCUCCUGUUUAUUAUUUUUUAGAACCUCAGGAACUAUCCUUUCCAGCUGCCCCCUCCCCCCCGGCUUUGCCCUUGGGUUUGUCAACCAACCUGGCAUGUUCAGACCGGGCGCCUCGAUGAUGGUCUCUUAAAAAGCGCAGCUUCACCGGUUAGCAAUCCAUUAAAAAUGAACUACAACUUAAAUUGGUACUUCAAAACUAGCAGAAGAUAGUAUUUUGUAACCACAAAAGCUAUACAAAUACACUGAUUGAACCAAAUAAACAGAGACAUGAACUAAAAACAAAAAGGAUAAAGCAUGCGAAGCAAUUCAGUAGUUUAUGGAUAUUCUUCUGAGUCAACCGAAGUCAAUCAAGACAUUUAAAAAUAAUUCAGAAGAGAUACUUGAACCUAUAAUUAGGAUUGAACAGAAAUUUUCAGAACCCUGAUUCCAAAUUUGGUGCACUACAUAACUCCAUAAGAAUUUGAUAUAGCAGGGGAUGGGGAAAGGGGAAAGGGGAAAGGGGAAAGAAGAGAACCUUUUUCUUUUCAAUUCUCUUGACAGCCACGCGAUUUCCAUUAGACUUAUCUGUGGCAACAUAUGUGUAUCCAAAUUGUCCAUGACCCAACAACUUCCCAAUUGUAAACUUCUUAUCAAAAUCUUUAUCAUACCCAAAAUCCGUUCUUUUCCCACAAGGAAUAACCCCACUUUGCCUCCUCGUAUUAUGCUUAACAUUUUUCGUUUGUUGCUUAACCCCACCGUUAUCCUUACCUUUCUGUCGAUUGUAAUGAGACCCCUCUUGUUUUCUUGAUGUAUUUGUUGUUGCAGAAACCGGUUUCGCUGAGCUCCGCCGAUUACGGUGGCCAUUCACGGUGGCGGUAUUGGUGGUGGAAGGGGUGUUGCUGUUAGAACCACUAACUUUUGAGCUAGAAAAACAUAUAUUGCCCAUUUUGAUAUAUGAUUAAAAUCCUCAAAGUUUAAAAUUUUCAGAUGUUUGAAAGAAAAAGAAAAAAAACCAAAUAAUCAAGAAUCAAGAUUAUGGAUAAUAUAGGGAGGAAAGAAAAGGGGCAAAUUAAAUAAAAGAGGAAAGAUUAUAGGAAAUAGGAGGAGGAAGAAAGGAAGAAGGAGAGGGGAGGUGAUGGACCAUGGUAAUGGUCAAAAAACAAACUUUUUCAAUUUUUUUUUGAACAAGAAAACCAUAAGCCCUCUUAUUUCUUAUUUUCAGUUUGGAAGAAUGGAGGGAGAAAAAACUGAUUAUUUAUAACUUCUUUCUUUUCAUUUUCUAUAUCUAACAUUUUUUUCUCUCUAAUAAAAAAUAAAAUAAUCGCCUCUCUCAGAUUGAGAUUUUUCUCUCACUUUUCUUUUUUAAUGGAACAACAGAAAAUAUAAAUGAGGUUUUUGGUGUUUUCUUGUGGAAUUACCAGUCCCUUCCUCUCCUCAGGUACGUAUUUCAUACCCACGUGCAGAAAUUUGGUAUCAAGACUACUAGAAAAGACAAGCUGACACAAAAAAAAACGUGGUAUAAAUCAUAAAUAUAUAAAUUUUAAUUUGGCCUUAGAUAUCGUUUAAUUUUAAAUGUGCACAAAUACAUAUCUAAAUUAUCAUAAUUUUAAAUAAAAAGACAUACAUAGAAGAAAUCACGUGAUAUUAAUUCAAAUUUUAGAGUAAAAUAGUUUGGGAUGUGCUCCAAACAUAUCAAUACGUACAAAGCAUUAAUUUGUCAACAUUCGAAAGGUUGAGCAUAAGCCUAAUCAAUUGACAACCAGUAAAAUGACAUAAGCCUAAUUAGUUUGAUAGAAAUUUAAAAAGCAUUUUUCCAUUGCAUUCUCACUCCAUGAUACGAGUGCUAAAAAUUUUCUAUACAUCCCAAACUAUUUUUGACCUCAGUUUUCAUUCACGUGAUUCAAACAACCAUUCAUAUAUAUAUUUAGUAUUUUAAAUUUAAAUCAUACUACAAUGGUAAGGAAAGAAAAUGAACUUAAGUUACUCCCUUCGUCCUCUUUUUAAUUAUCGCUUUAUAUAGUUAAAAAUAAUUAUUACUUUAGAAAUUCAAGAAUUGAAAAUUAAUAAUUAUUUUUAACUAUAUCACCGACAUAAAAAAAAGUGUUUCCCAUAUCAUAUGUUAACUAUUGCUAUAGCUCAAAAAAAUUAUAUCAAAUUAAAAUAAUUAUCACCUUAACGAUACAAAUUGUUUUUAGCUAUUUUCUUAAUAUAAAAGAAAUAGAUUUUUUUAAUAUAGAAAUGUUCAAUUCAAAAACAUUUAAUAAAUAAGAAUAGCUUAGUGAAUUAUACCUUAUAUUCAUUUCUUUUUUUUACUGGACAUAAAAAGAAUCUAAAGUGAUCGUAAAAUUGUAUAGAGGGAAUAGUUUAAUCACCAACUUAAGAUGAAUUUUAUUUUCUAAGGACACCAGUAUACCACAUAUAAUCCAUCAGAGUCGAGGAAAAACUCAUGGUGAUUAAAAUAAACUAAAGUUUAAGACAUCAUAUAGAUAAGCAUUUUGCAGAGUACAAUAUUGUUAGAAAAUGCCUCGCCGUCCAUCAGAGGGAUUAAUUAAAAAAAGAAACAAAAACGUUAACAGUCAUAUCAUAUAAUAUUAUUAUUAAAAUAUAAUUUCAAACUUAAUAUUAUAAAGGUAUAAUGAGUUUAAUUAAUGCUAAUAUCUUUACAAAUUUACUUCGAAUUACUUAGUUGAAAAGGAGGAAGAGGGAGUCGGUGAUAUGCGUUUGCCUAACUAAAUAUUCUGUGUACUUGAUUAGUUAACUAAGAUCUUUUAAACAAAGACAUAACUCUAUAUAAAUUAAGGAAAACAAAAAUGUCGAUUGCUCAAUAGUCUACGUACCGACAAGAGGAGGAUAAGAGAUGUAAUAAGGUGAUGAAAUGUUAGCCAUAUAAAUAAAGAUGAUUGAAGUGGUUUAACAACCACUUUUUAAUUAUUUGAAAGUGAAAUACUAUCUACAAAAUAAAUUAAAUCCCCCCAUGUUUGAUCGUCAAAUCCUCAAACAUUUCCCAAAUGUCCUCUAGGCAUCCAACACGCUAAAGAAUACAUAUAUAUUUUAAUAGGGCUCUCGUAAGAUCGAAUAUCCUACUAAAAAAAAAAGUCAAUAUCAGAUUAAAUUAAAAAUCUUUGCAAUGUGUUAACUAUUAACUAUGUUUAAAAAACUUGAAACUAAAUGUGAACUUUUUUUUACAUAAUAUUUUAAAUUACAUUGCCAGGAUUAGAGAAGAUUUUUGUUGCUAUAAAUUAAAUUUAUCAGUCACUAAUUCUGAUAUUUUUAAAAGCAGUGGACAAGUAAAUGCCUGAAGUGUCAAUCGAUAUCUGUCCCAAUCCUACUGGCUGAUCAAAGUUGAGAGUGAAUUAUGCCUAUGUUUGGCACAAGUAUUGACCUUUCACAUGUGGAGUAUUUGGCAAGUACAAGUCAUAUCAAGAAACUUUCAAACUUGAACUAUACAAGUGAGUGACUAAGUGUCUGUUUGGAUUGACUUAUUUUAGGUGUUUUUAAGCUAAAAUAAUUUUUAAACAGUUAUAAAGUGUUUGGAUAAAGUUAAAAAGUACUUAUAAACACUUAUUUUAAAGCCAAAAUAACAAAAAUAAGUCAAAAGUCAUUAAGUUAGAAAUCCUAACUUAUGGCUUUUGACUUAUAAGUCAUAAGCCAAAAGCCAAUCCAAACAGGCCCUAAUUAACUUCUAUAUAUGGUGAUGAGAUGACCAUUCUAGUUGAUACACUGGUCAUAAAGAUAAUGAAGAUUUAUUCUAAUUAAUGGCGUCAAUUGGGUUAUCUAAGAUUAGGAUUUGGAAACUUUCCUAAAAAUUCGAAACACGAAAAUAUCUUUGUUCAACGUGAUUUUAAAAUAGAUUUCAACAACCAAAUACAUUUCUCUUUUCUAAAAAAUAUCAAAAACCCAACUUGUAAGGGUUAAUUAUGGAAGUAUCUUACCCCCAAGAUGUAUCUCUUCAAUAACAUUUUCAGAAUUAUGUGUACUUGGUCGCGAUUCGCGCGGUUAUGAAAAGAAUUAAAAUAAAGUUACAUACUAAUAUCAAUAAUACUUUAAUAAAAGGAAUUUUUUAUUAAUCACAUAAUUUCAUAGAAGAGAAGCUAUGAAAAAUAUUUAGGUUAAAUAUGAAAUUCAUUAAGAAAUCAAUAUAUGUGAACUUUGAAAAGUUAAAUACUAAAAAUAAAUUUCAUAGAGAAAAAAAGAGAAGGUAAUAUUAGAACUACUGAAAUGUAAACUUGAGAUGUGAUCAUUUUUUUCUUUUUUAUUUGGGAUCUUUUUUAGUAUAAUUUAUAUAUAUUUAUGUAAACUUGAAAUCUGUUCAUUCUUUUCUGCUUCUUUGUAAUCUUUUUAAUUAUAUUCUUAGUAUAAUUUUUCGACAAUGUGUAACUCGGAUUGCGAUUAAUAGUUAUUGUCCAUGAUUAUACCGUUAGCCAACACUAUUUUUAAUCAUUAUCCACAAUUACUAUUACUUGUCAUCGUCAUCACCCAAUCAUCACAUAUUUUAAUUAUUUUUAUUGUACAAUAUUAGAUUAAUUUAAUAUUUGAGUAACUUUUUAAUAAUUAAAUUUUAAAUAAAAAAAGUUUACAUAUUUAAAUGAUGAAAAAUAACAAUCUUAAUUAGUUAGAUUUCAUAUCUUAAUAUAUUAUUAUUAUAUUUAGGUUCAGAUAUUUAAUUAUUUUUUGAACAACUUAUAUUGGGAAAACAAAAGAAUUAUGUAAAAUUUAGAAAUAAACAUAAAAGAGAACAAAAGAGAGAAUUAACUACGCAAAAAAGAUUCAAAAAAAUGACACAUACAAAUUCCUAUUUUUUUAAAUUUUUCUUGGCUUAAACACAAAAAUAUUAAAAAGUAUAUUUCACAUUUUAAAUAAAUAUUACAUUUAAUAUAAUAAAUUCCCGAGAAUAAAGAGUCACAAUAAUUAAGAGGAUUAACAAUGUGGCCUUGGACUUGUUUGUAACAUAAUAGGAGUAAUAUUUGUACAUUAUUACAUUAAUAAAGAACAUUAAUUAUAGAAAAUGAAAAGACAAUCAAAUUAGAGUUAUUGAGACAAAUGUUUUAUUAUAAGUAAAUAGAAAGCAAGGAAACCAACAAUAUUUUUUAAAUUAUAAAUUAAUCGCAAUUUUAAAAUAACUUGAGAACUCCUGGAAAACAACCAAUAUGAAAAAUAUAAAGACUGCAACUUGACUUAUUAAUAAACAACUUGAAAUCUCCUAGAAAACAAAAAAAAUAGAAAAAAUUUUAAAAGAAUUGCAAUUUUAUACAUUAAUAAAGAGUUUGUUUUUAAUAAAACAAACUGUAUUUUCAAAAUUAUAAAAUUAACUUUAACAUUCUCAUGUUCUAUCAUUUUUGUUAUUAAAAUUUGCUCCAUUCGGACUAUGGAAGUAUAUGUACGUAUUUCUUUAAGUAGCAUAUCGAUAUUCAUUUAGUCAUUUCCUGCUUAUAUGUUUUAAAAUAUUAUACCCCACAAACACAAUAAAUUAAUAUUAUCAACAAAAAGUGAGAUGAAUUUACCUGAACAAAUAAUCUUUUUGAAGAGUGUUAUCAUUAUAAUAUAAUCAAAUUAUCUAAGAAUUACAUAGAGGUCUAAAGAAAAUAAAUUAAAUAUUUUUUUAAAAAAAAAAACUUAGGAUUUAUAUCUUCACAAACACAAACAAAUAAUAUUAAAUGUAUGAUUUCAACAAAGAAAGAGUUGCAAUUAUAUUAGACAUAUCAAAUUAUUUUACCUUGUAAAAUCAAAUUAUGCAAGAAUGUCUAACAAUUUUCAUUAUAGAUAUAUCUCCUAUAAUCUGCAAAAUAUGAUUAAAUAAGUUAAAAAAUUAUCUAGCAAAAGAAGAAAAGGAUAAAGAAUAAGGAGAAAAUUGCAUUUAAUCAUAAAUCCUCCUACACCUAUAAUCAUUUUUAACAAAACAUAAAUAAUUCAAAAGGAAAUAAUAUAAUAGAAACAUUACUUCUUAAUCCCCUGAAAAUAAAAUAAAGAAUAAUCCAUAUAUAUAGCUCAAAAUCCAUUAAUCUCCAUCUCUAGAUGAUUUCAUUUCGUCCUAUAUACAAGAGUCAAGAAAAAUAAUAACAAAUAGAUUAUUAGUCCUAAAUUGAAUCUCAAAGACAACAAAACAAAAUAAUUUAUCUAGAAGAAACAAAAUUAUGCUUUGACAUAUUAGUCUUACUUGCUAAUUAAAAGUAAUAUAUGAAAUCAUAUUUGAAAAAGAUAAUGCACCUCAAACCUUACAAAUAUUGUAAUAUGUCUGCCACUAAUUCUCUAACCAAAGAUGACUACAAAUAACACACUAAUUUUAGUGUGAUUUUAUAGUGUUAAUAUAACCUUCCACAUUAAAUAAUUAGAGGUUAUAAAUAUGAAAGGUUUGAGAGGUUAUGAAUAUGAAAGGUUUGGGAGUUAUGAAUAUUAUUAAUACUAAUUUAAGAAUAGAAUUUAUAUAAUUGAAGAGGUAUAAGUUAAGAAGAUGAUUUUGCAAGAAAAAAAUAAUUGAAAGAAAUAAGAAAAAAUGUCAAGAAAAAGAGAAAAAAAAUAAAAUAGAAUGGAGGCCAUAGAGAGGUGCCACAUCACCUUCUCUAUGUUCCUCAUUUAUAUAUAUAGAGAUUUAUUUAGAUUUCUUGAGUUCAAAUCCUGCCAAUUAAAAAAAAAAUCGGAUAGUAGACUUUUUUUUAAUUAAGUAUUACACAAUGUAAAAUCACAUUAAUGAAGGCUUUAAUUCAAGUACCAAACCUAUUAAAAGUAUCUUUGGACGGAACUUAUUAGAAGAUCAGUAAUUAAAACUGGCUGCUCUAUAAAUAUUUUUAGAAUUAAAUAUAGAAUUUGUGUAAAAAAUAAUAUUAAAAACGUGUGAACUUAAUUAGAAUUUUCGAAUUGAUAAUUUCUACGUGUGAACAAAUUAAAGUAUUAAAAAAGACAUGAAUUUGGAGUAUCAAUGGAAUUGACUUGAGACAACAAGGAUUAAACAAAGUAUUAGGUCCUAGUAACAAACAAAUAAUUUUAGAAAAUUUAGUAGAAUGAACUACUUGUACGUGAUAGAACAAUUAAACAAAUCGAGUUUUAAAGAGUAUCUUCUCACUACUCUCAAUAAGUUCACACUUGGAAAAAAUGUAAAAUUGCAGAAAUUAGCACUUUUAUCGGAAUAUUCCAAGGCUUUUGGUUUCUUAUUUGGCUGUAUUCCUCAAAAUUCAAAGUUAACCAAAGAGAAUGGCAAAACAAACUAUAUAUGAGUAGUAGACUUGACUUGACUUGACUACAUACACACUUGCCCUUUUAUUUUCAUGUUUAUCGUUUAAAUGAUAAACAAUGUUUUCCUCGCCUGUUACUUGGUUUUGAUGUACUUGAGCUGAGGGUCUCUCGAAAACAGCCUCUCUACCUUUACGAGGUAGUGGCAGGGUCUGCGUACACUCCACCCUCCCCAGACCCCACCUAGUGGGAUUUCACUGGGUAUGUUGUUGUUGUUGUUAUCGUUUAAAUGAUAAUAUAUAUAAUAUUUUCUUUGAGAGCUGUGAAUUCAAGCAGAUACGUCUUUUGCUUUAAAGUAUUUUUAGAAUAAAAUUUAAAUAAUUAUUUCAUUAAUUCUAUUUAAAUUUAUUUAGUGUAUAAUUUUUCUGAAAUUGUGAAAAUCGUUUUAGCUAUGACCUUUAGUUUUAAAUUCAUAUCCUUUAGUUAUAACUUUAUUAUUUAAAAUGUCAAUAAUAUUUGUGUAAGUAUUAUAAUUGUUUUGCAUAAAAAACCAAUUGUCGAUGAAGAACAAUAUUUAAUUAUGGACAUCUUGAUAAGUCUCUUCGCAUUAUUUACUAUCAUACAAAUAUAUAUUAUAAUUUAUUUUAGAGCAAAAAUUUAAAAUUAUUUAAUCAAUAUCGCUUAAAAUUUAUCAAUAUUAAUAACAUCUAUCAAGUAUUUAUUUUACACUUCAUGAAAUACUGUAAUAUCAUUUAUCACCAUUUUAAAUACUAGGCCCGUGCACGGCAUGGAUAUUUCAUAACUAGUAAUAAAUACACAUAAAAGAGGAUGAAAGUAAAAUGUUACAUUUUAGUGUCACCUUUAGAAACGCAAAAGAAGACCAAAUCUUUGUAGUUUUUUGCGUUUUCGUUUAAACAACGACGCGUUAUUUGUUUUUGACCAUCACAAUAGGAAACGGCAGAAUUUGUACACUUUAUGCUCCAAAAAUUAAUUAAAAUAUAUAGUUUUCUAUAGUUUCAACUUUUACAAAUUAAAAAGAAAAUUAAAGAAGGUAUAUAUGAAUAACAAUUUAAUAGUUUAUUAUUCAUAUAUAUAGGUUACGGAAAUGUAACUAUUAAAAAAAACACUAUUUCUCCAUUGAAACUUUCUACUAAAAUGUUCAGUAGUGCUUUUUCCACAUAUCUUUGAUUGAAUUAAUGCAAAAGAAAAGAGAGGAGUUUUUCACACGAAAAAUAAUAAGUAUUUUUUUGUUUUCGUACCAUAUGUUUCUCAAUGAUCCGUUGUUCCGAUAGAAAAAUCACGCUUUAUAACACAUUAAUUUGAUCAGAAAUUUAAAAAGUCUAUAGUAUUCUUUUUAUUUUAAAAUAAACUGGUCUUUUUUUCAUUUUUUAAUUAAAAAGUAUUAAGGUUAAAAGGGUAAAAAUGUUCAAGAAGGUAAAAUAACAUAGUGUGAAAUAUGUUAUUUUACCAUUCUGGACAAUUUUUUUUGCCAAAAGAAUUUUUCCCAUUAAUUUGCAGCGGCAAAAAACUUUUAUUUCUAGUGACGCUUUGAUCUUAUUGAAGGUUGGGACUUGUUAUUAAUUAAAUUGGGUCCACUCUAAUUAGACAUGUUUAAUGUACCAAAUCUCUUUGUCCGUUUUCACACUCCUUUAUUUAAUUUCCAUUUCACACAGCAAAAGAGUGAGAUCAGUUUAUCGUUAUAUGAGUUGGAAUGUUGGAUAGUGCAAAUAAUGCAAUUCUCCAUUUGUAGUCUUAAAAUAACAUAAACCACUUAUAAUUAUAACAAAUAAUGCAACCUAAUAAUACAACUUAUGAAUUCUUCUUUUUUUAAAAGAAGGAGUGGGGAUCAGAGAGUCUCGAAAAUAAUCUUUCUACUUUUUUUUUUUGCCGGAGUUGUUCGACAAUUUUUCAUGCCUUGCACGCAGUACGCACCCAUUGGCCACAUUAUAUUUCAACUGUAGUCGCACAUAAGCUGCUGCCUUUUUGUGGAGCCUCUUUUCCUUUUUUUUUUUGUUUUCUUGGUGGGGGUGGGUUAUAUGUACCCAAAUAUGAAAGCAAGGUACAUAAUUGAGUGUUAAAAAAUAAAGAAACGUGCCCCAUUACGUCCAAAUAUUGGGGUGUUGUACGUCGGUGUUUGAAAGGCAAGGAGCCACUUACUAGUUCACUCCUAGAGUAUAUAAACUAGAUGACAAAAAUUGUUAAAUGAUUCUUUUGCUUCUAUCUAUAAUCGAUGGUGUGUAUAGAUUUGUUUCGUUUCUUUACCGUGAAUAGUUGAGAUAUACAUUAAGUCACCCAUACACUACUUUCUCCAUCUCAAAUACUUGUGGUAUUUUUCAUUUACAUACCCUUUAAGAAAACAUUAAUUAGGAGGGGUGCAUGUAUAAUGUUUAUUUUAUUUACUUAUUAGAAUAUGUUAUAAUUGAGAUAUAUAUUGUACUCUUGAAGAACCUUUACUAAGGGUAAAAUGGAACUAAAAAAAUACUUCAAUUAUCUCUUGAACUUCUAAAAUGAGAAGAAUUUUGAGAUAUACAUGUAUUUUUAGUAAGGACGAUAAGUAUUUUGAGAUGGAGAAAAUACUGUGAAAAUUAAUAAAAAAUAAAGAAAUAAACGAGAAAUAUGGAUUGAUUAGGUUUCGAAAGCAGGACAGCAAAGGACAAUUGUGUUUCUUGCAAGAAAGGUUCACGCGUCUAAAAGCUACAACUUUGAAUGUAUUAAUGUUCUUUUUAGAGAUUACUAACAGAUUUCUGUUGUAAACUAGCUGGCAUAUAUACUGAUUCACGAAUAAUAUAAACAUUUUUUAUGUAAAUUAACUGGUUAUGCAUGAUACUUUUCAUUAAAUUAAUUUCAAAUUUAUAACGCUUAUUAUUAUGUAAUUAUCUUUUUAAAUGACCAAUAUUUUCCACAACAUCAAUUUUUUUAAACUCUUUUCUUGUCAAUUACAAAGUGGUAGUAGCUCAUACUUAUACGUCAAGAAAUAAAACAAAUCUUUUUUUUUUCUUGUUAGUUAAUUGAGAAAGAAAAAUACUUCACUCCAUUUUCUUCCUGGAUUUUAAAAUUUAUUUUUUUACAAUACCGUAUAAAGUGGUUUUCUAAGUUUAAGAAAACGUGAUGCAACCGGCUAUUAAUAAAAGAAGGAAGGGACAACAUAUUUGAUCUUUGUUUAUUAAUCACACGGAAGAACAAAUGGAAGUGAACUCUUGUGACACGACUUUUUCACAUGUUAAGAAAAUAAAUAAAUAAAAGCAAUUCUAAACUCGGAAAAUUGGGCUAAAAGAAAGAAGCAUGUAAGUGAGCAACUGGGCUGUAAACUUGGGCUAAUCAUAUAUAUAGUAUCUUCUUUUGUAGGAAAUGGCGCCAUGUAUCAUCUAAAAGACUUAAUUUGUUUUGUAAUACUACUAGCAUUAAAUACAUUAUUGAGUUUCUUUUGGCAAAAAUUGAUACCACUUGUUGUGUCUGAGUAUCCCUAAUGUUGCAACAAGCACUACUACAAUUGGAGCUAAAAUUCUUUUCAACUACAAUUGAAGCUAAUUUUAGUUUAUUGGCAAAACAAAAUUGAGAAAGCAAAACUACUGAAAAAACAAUUAAAUCGUAGUAGAAGUGAUGGUAGCACGCGAAUAAUAAAAUUAUUGGACUAUUAUAAAAAUAUUCACAAGAACAUGAUUUAUUGUUAUUCAAGACAAUACUGAUAAAAGAAAUUACACGCGUAGCCUCUUGUUUCAAGAUCCAAUAUUGUAAGUGUUAAAAUUGUAAAACUUAAGCAAGAAUUUCCUCAAUGGGCUUGGACUCCAACUUGGCCUCUUCAGUCUGUUCCUUGGCCAGUUUCUUGAGCCUAGCAAGCUCAAGAUCCUUACUCAUUUUCCUCCUGUACAUUUCUGCAAAUGUAAUCGGCUCAUCCAUUAUUGCCUUCUCUCCUUCCCUAAUUUUUAACGGAUACACUUUUGCAUCCGGUGCUGGAUUCUGAAAAGUGGCUAUCGAUAAUCUGCUGCUAUUCGAAUUCACAACUGCUUGAUGAUCAGCAUUCUUGAACCUCCCAUUGCUCAAAUACUGUCCAAAAUUCACAUAAUUAAGUGUCAAUUAGAAAACAUAAUUUUAUGGGAAUAUGUAGUAGUACCAACUUACAUGACCAUGAUCACCAAGAUUAACAACAAAAGCGCCUUCAACGGGCUGAACAGUGAUCCAAGUUUUGCCAUUAUCUUUAGUGGCUUGAAGCCCACCAACUUGGUCUUGUAACAAGAGGGUGAUGGUUCCUGGAUCAGUAUGUCGUUUCAGCCCAAGGGUAAGGUCAGGCUCUGGACACUUUGGGUAAAAAUUGACAACUACUUUUUGGUCCAUAUCCACACAUGCCUUGGUUAAAGCCUCUUUCUCUAAGCCCAUUGCCUCUGACAGUACUUCUAAUAAUUUGCAAGCUAAGUCCAUUAAUUUUUCACUGUAUUUCUCAGUUACAGCUUUCCAGCCUUGUGGUUUGUCUGGCCAUCUAGAGUAGUCUCUAGCUCGAAUUGGGUAUGAAAAGUAGGUCACUAUUUCACGCCAGUCUUGAACCACUUCACCCUAUACAAAACAACUUUCUUUAACAAUUUAAAUCUCUUCCCAUUCCAUUCCAUAGUAAUAUAGUAUUUGGAUAGAUUGUUAUAUCGUUAUAUAAUGUUACACAUCCAUCACAAAGAAAAAAUAGGGUACGAAGAGCUACUAAUAAAAAAAACAGUGUAAAAAAUAACAUAGAAUAACUAAAUAAUAAAUAAAGACAAAAUGAGGCUCUUAAGCCUCAACACUUUAUUUUUUUUAAAAAUAAAGACAAAAUUAGAUGAACAUAUUAAGAUAAUGACAUGACCAUACCAAAAUGUCAUUAAAGAAAAUAAAAUUUUUCAUCUAAAUAAUGCAAUACUGUAAAAUUUUAAAUAACAAUUAAAAAAACAUUAUAAUUUAACUACGGAUAACUCGGGGGGGAAAUGGGAUCUGUUACAAACACUUUUUACUUUUUAGUAUAUCUUUUCUAUAUUUAGAAAUUAAUCACUAACUUCUUAAUUUAUUUCUAAAUGAUGACAUGCACCUUAUUAGUAAAAAAUAAUACUAAUAAAUUGUCGUGACAUGCAUAUCUCUAUCUAAAAAUACGUGUGAAAUAAUUGUUACCUGUAAAUGGCUUGAGACAAUAAAGCCGCCUUUCUUGCCACCAGACAUGUCAAACCGAAGCUUUUCGUCAGGAGGCAAUUCGAAAAAUUCCUUUGCCAAUUUUGUCAUUUCUGAUAUUAAUUGAGCAUCGACCCCAUGAUCAGUUACCUGAAAAACACCCCAAUCUUCACAAGCAUUUACAAUUUUCUCACAUAUUUCACUUCUUCGACUUCCAUUAAUAUCAUCAAUACCUUGCAACGAUAUUACUGGAAUUUCGUCACUAAAUUUAUUGUAAGCCACUUUUGGACGUUCUUCUUCAUCCCUAAUAAAACUUGUUUGAAGGGUCUUUUCAUUAGCUAGAGCUGUUAGUGUUGAAGGUGCCAUUUUUUUUUUUUGUUCAAAAGAGUUAUGAGGUGCCUUUUUAAUGUUGAGAGUAAGGUGAAAUAAGGGGUGGAGAUUUAUAAGGGAGUGUUGGCGUGGAGCUAUUACUACCCUUCGUGCCAACUAACAACAAUUCACGUGUUUUCUUUCUAGAAUUGUAUUUUGCUUACGAGUUGAAGGGUAGAUACCACCAUACUUCGGGGAAAAAAAAUGAAAAGACGUUGAACGUCGAUUUAAUUUAUAUGAUAUUGUUUGAUUUGAUUUUCUUUUUAAAAAAAUUAAAGUUUAUUAUUUAGAGUUAAGUUUAAAUAUUUAUUUAGCUAUUAAUUACUUCAUUUGUUUCAUAAAGAAUGGUCUAGUUUGACUUGACACGAAGUUUAAGAAAAUUAAAGAAAACUUUUGAAUCUUGUGGUCCUAAAUUAAAGUUAUGUCAAUCGUACAAAAUUAGUUUUUAAUCUUGUGGCCUUAAACAUGUCAUGUGAAAGCUGAAAUUAAAAUGUUACCAAAAAAAAGAAAGAGGUCAUCUUUUUGAAACAGACUAAAAAGGAAAGGAGGUCAUUCUUUUUUAAAUGGAGGGGUAUCUUAUUAAAAGUAUUUGUUUUAAUUCUCUUAAAAUAGAUUAAAAUGUAAAGUGUAACACUAAAAAUGAAUAUUGUUUAACUUCUAAAAAGGUAUUAAUACUUUUGUAUGUAUUCUGUAUUAUAUUGCUCUUCCGUACCAUCUUAUAUGAUAUAUGAAUUAAUUUAACUUGACAUGGAGUUUAAGAAAGAAGGAAAAACUUUUGAAACUUUGUGGUGUAAAAUAGGUGAUAGAUAUUUGUGUGGUUUUAAAUCAUUUUCAUUAUGAAUAAAAUAGACAUUUUAAGAUAAAAUUUUAUUUAAUAUAAAAAUAUGUCAUUUUGUUGGAAUGGACCAAAAAAGAAAAUUUAGUAGGAGUACUAGUUACGAUUUUAGGGGAAAAGUGUGGUUGCUUUGUUGAAAAGUAGUUACUACUAAAGUAUUUUGCUUUUUAAGAAAAACAAACGCAACCAAAGAGCUGUUUUUCCAAUAUAAUAAUUAGAGUUGUCAAUAUGAGCUAGAUCCGUUAGAUUAGUCUGGUCUAAUCCGUGAUUUGAUAGGGCUGGGCUAUGAUUUUUGGAGCCUAUUUAAGAAAAUGGUUUUUUAGCCCGGCCUGAAUAAGUUUGCCGAUUUGUGGGGCUUGACAAAUAUGGAUAGGACCGGCCCGUGGGUCAAAUAAAAAUUAAUUAAAAAAUAAAAAUAAAAUAGAGUAUUAAAAAUAACAAGAGCAUAAACUCAAUAUAUGUUUAAAGUUUGAAAUAUUACAAUUUAAAUACAAAUUUUGUUUAUAAAAUAUAUACUACAUAAAAUAAAAAUUUCCUAAAAUUUCUAGGAAAAAACUACAUAGGUCAUAGUUUAUGAAAUAUUGUCAUAAUUUUUGUAUUUUAUUAUGAUUAUUGAAAAACAAUUAGGUUAAUAUUUCUAUUUAACUAUUUAUGUUUUUACUUGAAAUCAAACUUAACAAAUAUUAUAAAGAUAAUUUUAUUUGUGUAUUUGAUUAACAAAUAGUAACACUAACACCAUGUAAUAUUGUCUUGUCGAUAUUUAUGAUAAUAUUUUUAAAUUAUAAUUUAAUUAAAAAAUUAUAAAAAAUAUACUUUUAAGAAAAGAGGGUUGGCCUAGAAAAGUCCGUAGCCCACGUACUUGUGGACUGGGUCAACCAUUUUCAGGCCCACACAAAAAAUGAGUUAGCCCGGCCUAGCCCGUCAAAUUUCAAAGUCAGUAUGAAUUAACCCGAAUGAAGUGGGCCAACCCAUAUUGACAGCUCUAAUAACAAUGUUACCAACAAUCGCUAAUAAUAUUUUCUUUAAAAGUUUAAAUCACACAAUAAUUGCUAAUAAGAAAAAUUCACCUUUUCAACUAUUAAUCGCAUGUGGGUUUAUUAACAAACGGAGGGUGCAUGCAAUUGAAUGUUGGUUAGGACAAAUCACGUGGCUGGUACCAACCAGCGUUGCCUAGCUAAAAAAAAAACAUGUCAAUACUUAAUCAUCUUGUGUUAAAUUUCUGUUAUUUAUUACUCCUCUCUUAAAUUAAUUAAAUGUCGUUGCUACUUGCUAGUUGCUUCUUAUAGAUUUAUCCUAAAAUUGAGUCAGAGGUAAAAAGGGUCCAACGUAUCCUUUAAAUAUAUGAAAUACAUUAUCCUUUCAUUAAUAGUUGGGAUCAAAUAUGUUCAUAUUUUUAUUCUAAUUUUACCCUUAUUUUUAAAUGAUAAAGUUUAAUAUCAAUAAUGUUACAUAUCCCUCAAUUAAAGAUUAUUAUUUUUGAAACGGAAGAUAAAUUUGUACUGGCCUUUUGCAUAGUUCAUAAGCAAAUAUAACAAAUAUGACCUUUUUUUCCAACAUAAUUUUGAGUUUCAAAUUUUCUUUAUUACUCCUUUAUCUUUCUUCAUGUAGACAUUGAAAUUUAUUAGAAAUCUACCAGACGCACUCAAUUCUAAUUGAAACUCUAUAAGAUGUAUUUGAUUUCAGUUAGAGAUUUUGAAGGCUACUCUACCCUAUCCCCAACUCAUGCCUAUAUAAAGGUAAUAUAUAUUCCCUUGAAAAGGCAAGGCCUCCAAAAACAAUUUAACAAAAUUAGUAAAACGAAGAUUGUGCUAAAAUUAGUCGGGCAGUAAAACUUGUGAAAACAUACUUUAUUAUAUGGACAUUUUUAAUGUGUAAUAAGUAGGGUACUUUUGCACAAAUUGCUUAAAUGAUGCUAUUUCUGCAAGUCCAGUUUUUUUUAUUCCAGAUAGGGAUCUUCUAAGGAUUUGGCUCAUGGGCCUUCCCAACUUUGAUUUGUCAUUACUAAUAGUAGUAAGUAAAGGAAAGUUACGUAAAUGUAUUCUUUGGCCAUCUAGUUUAUCAAUAUGGUCGAAGUAUACAUUAUUGGUACACGUUUGUUGUAUACUUAGUGUAUAUAUGUAUAUUGUAUACAUUUAAUAUAAACUAUAUACAUUAUCUAUACAUUGUGUAUAUAUUUUGUAAACUAGAUUUCUGAAUGAUAUUUUAUUGUAAUUUUUCCCUAAGUUAAAUAGAUUAGUCUGUUGUCAUAUUGUUAAAGAAUGACAAAAGUCUCACAUCGGUGGUUAAUGAGAUGAGUGGACUCCUUAUAAGGCUUGGACAAUCCUCCUCCCUUUGAGCUAGCUUUUGGGGUGUGAGUUAGGCCCAAGACCUAAUUUAACACAUAUAAAUCAAGAAUUUAAGUUAUAAUAUCACAUAAAUAUUUUUUGCAUUGAUUAUAUCACAAGAAGAGAUAAGAAAUUGUGUAUUUUUGUUGAGUUUUUGGUUUUCGAAAAUAGAAUAGCAAAACGACUUAUGAUAUAUAAUAAACCAAAAAAGUUUGAUCAUAUAAAACUUCCGGUGGAUUAUUAAUUGAUAGUCCUUACAGCAGGUUCCGUAUAUAAAAAAUUUAUGAAAAUAUAAAUAAACGGGUGUCGGACAAGUUGCCAGCUAAUAGUAAAAAAUAACAAUUCAAAUAAGGACUGAUCAUAUCGCAAAUUUAAGUUUUAAAUUUCAUAAAAGUGAAUAAACUUGUACUCAUUCUACGAAAAUUACGAGCUUCCCUUGAUAAUUUAGUGCAACUUGUAAAUUUUUAUGUGUAUUUAAUCUUAGUUUGGAGUAUCAAAUCUUAUUAAUGGUCUAAGGUUGAUGCUUUUUCUAAGAUUAACUAAUAUUUUAAUGAAACUCUAUUUUCGAAAUACUAGUGCACUGUGAAGUUAGGCUGGCAGUGUGACUUUCUGAGCAUUUUCCCACUUCUUGCCAGGCCCAACACCAUCACUUAGACAAGUAGGCACGUUCCCCCGAUGCCGAGGUUAAUACUAACUUAACUACUGUAUCUCAAAUUAAAUUACAUUAUCUGUGUAUCAUAUUAACCCAAAUUCAAAGUUCACACCCCAUGAACCAGAGGCUUGAUCCCGCGAGCAUCGAAAUGGGGUUCCUUCUUUGUCACUGAACCAACAACUGUUAAAUUAGGUCUUAGGCCUAACUCACACCCUAAAAGCUAGCUCAAAGGGAGGAGGAUUGUCCAAACCUUAUAAGGAGUUCACCCAUCUCAUUAAUCACCGAUGUGGGACUUUUGUCAUUCUUUUAACACCCCACCUCACGCCCAGUGCUUAGCAUCUGGUGCGUGGGCAAUUUUGAUUUUGGGGGCCCCAACAUGGGGUGAGACGGACCCUGCUCUGAUACCAUGUUAAAUUAGGUCUUAGGCCUAAUUCACACCCCAAAAGCUAGCUCAAAGGAAGGAGGAUUGCCCAAGCCUUAUAAGGAGUCCACCCAUCUUAUUAACCACCGAUGUUGGACUUUUGUCAUUCUUUAAAACAACAACUCUUUCUCAAUAUAAAUGCAGGAUUUAGGCAAUUGCAAAAUUUACGGGAAUUUCAAUAACCCCACUCGAUAUCGUAAUCCGCCCCUGCCCUGAACAACCUACCCAAAAAAAAACAGGAGCAAUUGAAGUUAACGGUAAAGGCAGAACGAAUUAGUAUUGGUCUAGAGUCUAGACCUUGUUUUGUGUUAAAAAAUUUAAUUAACAUGUAGCCUUUAAGGAGUAUAUGAAUAACUCAAAUAAACAAAAGAAAAUUGUGUGCACUAGAAUCAAUAAACUUAAAAUCCUAAAUCUAACCACGGUCAAAAGGGGGGUUUAUUUUCUUGUGCUAUAAAUUCUAAUGCAACACUCUUAUUUCUUAAGAGCUAGCUCUCUGCUUUCUCCGUCAUAUAUACACCAUUUUGCCUUUUUUGUUUCUGAAAGAAUGUCAUUCCAAAAGGCAUUUGCUGCUAUGCUUAUUGCAUCCUUUCUGCUCGUCCAUUUCGCUUAUGCCCAAAAGGUUUUUCAUUUUUAAGUGGAAUGUUCAUUAUCACAAUAAGUAGUCGAUUACUACAGUGCCUCACACACUAAUUUUUCCAAAGACCAUAUCACUCGCAUCAUGUUUUAACUCUUUAAUUCAUGUUUGUUGGCGCAGGUUGACUACAGCAAGCCACCAGCAUCAGCCCCUCAAGGUCCACAGCCACUAGGUAAUCUAUCAUUAUUUUAUAUUUGUAUAGAAACAUGUACUAAUAAAUAAAGUUGUGUUGGAAAUGAUUGUACAGAUUGCAUAGGAGCUUGUAAAUAUCGGUGCAGUGAGUCGUCUAGGCAAAAUCUAUGCAACAGAGCAUGUGGAAGCUGCUGCCAGAGAUGUCACUGCGUGCCACCAGGGACUUCUGGAAAUUAUGAAGCAUGCCCUUGCUAUUUCAAUCUUUUGACUCAUAACACCACCCGCAAAUGUCCUUAAUACAUCCCUUUUUAAAUUUGUUCUCCAAACGGAGUCAGUUCCCAAUAAUUUUGUUCAUUUUGAAAUUCAAUUCAUUGCUCCUUCUGUACGAAGCUUGUGAUGCAAUAAAAGAUGAUUUUUUCUAGCAAGUAGCCUGGUCUUUUAAUAAUCUGGCUCACUGUGUAGGGAAUUACAUGCCUGCAAAAAGGAGCACACUACUUCCAUUCUUUAGACUGUUGAAAGUAUGUAGUGCUAUAUAUACUGAGGUGAAAAUAUGGAGUGCUAUAUAUAAUAUAUACUAAGGUGAAAAUAUGUGUCCGGAGCUAAAAGGGCAAAUAAAUUGAGUAAAAUUUUCGGAAGGGCAACAAAAAUUGAGGAUCAAACCAAAAGAACAAUAGUUGGAUAGAAGGAUGGAUGCGGUUAAACCGUAGGUUAAAGGCUCAUGUCAGAAUGAGCCUUACAAGACUCAUGUUACAACAUUAAAAAAAAAACAGCGCACUUUUAAAAAAAUAUUCAUAUUUCUUUUUCAUUAUUUAUUCAAUCAUUUUAUUGUCUUGAAAAUAUGGAGUGCUAUAUCUUUUGAUGUUUUUACUAUUAGCAUUUCUUACAUAUUCUCCAAAUAAUUUUUCAAGAUCGAUCUAAGACUAUACAUCAAUUAAAUGGGUAUUAUAGUAAAAUAUUCAUAUCAAUCUUUAUUUCUUAAAAAGCAUGUAAAGUCUAAAGGGGACAAGUAAAAAUGAAAUGAGGGGUAUAUGUGCUCUUAUCCUUACUAUUUUUUUUAAGGAAUUCUACUGUCAACAUACUUACUUAGGGCCCGUUUGACCAUGCGAUAUGAUAUUAUCAUAAUAUGGAAUUAUGAGAUGAAAUUGAGGUUUUGUUUGGACAUGCGCUAUGAAUUUUUUGUGUUGUAUAUUUUCUUAUAAGCAUAAGAAUCCCAUAAGUUGUAAAACUAUUAAAAUAGCCCCAAUUUUAUUCAAUAUUAUCAAAUAAACAAAAAUUUAUAAAAUCGCAUAAUAAAUUACUACAAAGCUAUUUGUUCUCUACUUAAGUAAUUAUUUCAUCUAACUUUAAUUCAAUAAAAAAAUUGAACAUAAAUUGUAGUGUACUAGUUUUUAAUUUAAUAUAAUCCUCCCACAUAGUAUGAACAAUUUCCUCACAUCGAACUUGCAUUUCUCGAUCAUGUGACCGAGAAGACGAACCAACAUUGUUACUUUGAGUUGUAACAAAUACAAUACUGUAGAAGUAAUAAAUUAGGUGUUGGAGUAAAUGAAGAGAACAAAUUUAUUACUGAACAAUCGGUUGGUGUGAGUUAAAGAGACUAUAUAUUGAUGAGAAUAAUAAAUUUUAAAAAGUAAUGAUGUGAUUAUAAAUUUUAUUUACAUAUGAAAUAAAUGGUUAAUAGAUAUAAAUGUAAGGUUGUUUUAACAAAAUAUAAACUUGUGGAUCAAUUUUGUAUUAAAAAUAUCUCAAAUCAUGAUAUGGAAUUCCCAUAUCAUGGUUUUUGGAGAAUAUAGAAUCACAUCUCAUGAUAUGGAAUCAUGAGAUAGAAUCAGCGUAAAAUUGCAUGUCCAAACGCUGAUUCCAUCUCAUGAUUCCAUAUCGUGAUAUGAUAUCGCAUGGCCAAACGCCUACUUAGACAAUUAUAUUAGGAAAUUAGUUGGACCCUGCAGUCAUGGAUGACGAAUAGUUGGCAUCGUUAAUGGGUAAAAUUUCUCAUUACAUAUAUCCCCAAUACCUCUGUAUUAGUUUGUGUGUUGCAUGUUACCCACUGUUAAUUAUACUCAAAUAUACUUAAAAUUCACAAAAGGUUGCAUAUAUUGGUAAACCUGCAGCUUUCAUAUCUAAAGGUUGUCUAUCUAUCUUAUACUAGCCUUGGUACAUAAUUUAAGUAAGUAACUUUUUAAUUUUUUUUUUUUUUUAAAAACUUAACCUAAAACAAAAAUUUCAUGUAAAAAGAAUUGCUUAAAUUGAUGGAGUGACUUUGUAGGUGAAAUAUCAAUAAUUGAAUAACUAUUUAUUAGUUGAAUGACCAUCUCGAUAAAUAAUUUGUCUUUAUCCAAGUAAAGAUAAAAAGAAUUAGCGGUAAAUUUAGAAAAUUAUUUUCCAAAAACAUGCAUAAUGAAGUGGACAAGUGCCAGCUACAUAUAUAUGACCAUUUGAACUAAAGAGAGAUGCUGUCUAAGCAGUCCAGCUGUGCACCAUUUAGUAUACUUAUCAUUUUUUAAUAGUGCAAACUCUUUUAAUAAACAAAUUUUAACAGUUUAUUUUAACAUUUAAUCUAGUAAUUUAUGUUUUAAGGUACAAGUUUCAUUUUUUAUAUGACUUAAUAGUAUGGGAAAAUAUUCUCUUAGCAAAUUAAUCGAUAUCAAACACAUCUAACUUUUCUGCUGUUUCUUAUAAAUAUAUAUAUCCUCCAAUCCCGAUCAACUUUAGUCAUAAUUUUUGUUGUAGUGAAGAAAUUCUUGUUUUACUUUUCUAUCGUGACUAAAAUCUUAUCGAUAUAGCAAGAGUACAUUAUUUUGACCUUUCAACUAGGAUAGAGUCAAAGAGGUAGUCCUAAAUCAUUUUUAUAUCAUGAUUGGCCGCUUUUCAAGAUUAAAAGUGUUUCUGUUACCUUUUUUUUUAAAAAAAAUCAAGAUGUUUGAUCAAGCUUUUAGGAAACAAAACGUAUUUUUGAGAACAAAUAACUUUCCUCAAAAGUAUUUUUUUGAAAAUCACAUUCUAGAAAAUACACUUAGAAAUAUAUUUUAAAAAUUUAGUCAAACAUUAAUUGUUGCUCAUUAGUACUUUUCAAAUUGAUUAUCCAAAUACAAAUUAUUUUUUAUCAAAGUUUUUUUCUUAAAAAUAUCUUUCAAUGUUUCAUCAAGCCACUUUUGUCAAAUUUCAUUGACACAAUUAUUUAUGGACCUUUUUUUUUUUUUUUAUCAUGGUUCUAUUUUUAAAGUAAUAAAUCAAUAUUAAAGAUAACGGAUAUUAAGAAAUGAAAAUAGAAAAUUUUAAUUAUAAUUAGUUGAAAUUAAUUUUAUAUGUCCUGGAGUAUGAAAAUUGAAAGGUCUUCUAAGAGGACAAUAUAUUGAAACUGACAAAUAGAAAAAUAAGAUAUUCAAUUUGGGUAGAAAUGUAGCAAAUAUUAGUAUUUGUUUCCAGAUCUAUAAUUUACGUGUCCAAAUGAAUAAACCAAUAUGAGGCAAGUUUCCACUAAAUAGUGAAAACAAUAAUUCAAGUUAUAAGGACCAAUCAAAAUCAUAAAAUUUAUAAACAUGAAUAAAUAAUGUUUUUCAAAACCACAGCUUUCCCAUUAUUUAAUGCAACUUGGGAGAAUCUCUAAUAAAUUAUGUGCUUGUAAUCUAUGUUGUUGUAGCAAAUCUUGCUAUUUUAAUGCUAUGUUUUUGGUAUAUAAAAAAACACUUUUUAGAAUUUUUAUUUUAUUUUUUCAUGAUCGACUUAAAUAUUUUAUAAAUAGACUUAUAUUUUUCUUAAAUUUAAAGAAAAUGACUUUCUUCCAUAAAGUAAGAAAAAACAUUCUCCAAAAUUCUCUUUCAAUCUCACUGUAUGAAUCCCAACCCCGCCCAAAUUCAGCGUCCCUGUCCAAACUCGAAUUAGAAUCCGGGUCAAAAGUCAGGUCUUAGGUCUAGAGUCUCAGGUAAAAAAUUGAGUCAAAUUAGGGUCAAAGUCGUGAAUCGAGAUCGAGUUAGGGGUCAGGGUUCGGAGCUUCGAGUAGGUACAAUGUCAAAAUAUUUGCCCAGAUUAUAUUUAAUGCUCUUGAAAAAAUAUUUUCAUUCUUACAAGUCCUGUAACAUGAAAGCCUGCAUUACUUUUAGUUAUUGAAUUCUUUUUUGGUAAAACAAUCAUCUACAUAAAAUUAUUUUUAAUAUAACAAAAAACUAGUGUGAUUUUUCUUUUAAAUUUGGCCUAGCUCUUUUUUCUAGAAUAGUGAUGCGAAGCUAGGCUGGCAGUGAGAGUUUCGAAGCUACUUCCCAUUUCUUGUCAUCAUCAUCACUAACACAAGUUGAUUAUGUGGAGGCAUGAAAAUUAUACUUUCGCAAUUGUAUAAUCAAACAACUACUGAAUGGUUAUUUAUACACAAUUUUUACCUAGUGAAUUUAAAAAAAAACUAGGGAGUUAUUCUUAACGUUUUCGAAUUCAACCUAUAAUUUCUUUUCAAACCAUAAUAAAUCUGCUAAAUGUCGGUUAUAGUUACUAACAAUUAGCAAGUACAUAAAAAGAUAAAAUGAAAGAACUUACUGCCAGAAAUAGGAAAUAAUAGUAUCAAUUAGACCGAACGGUGGUUGAAACAGAAGAAUUUUGAGGCUUAAAUUGAUGGGACCUAGAUCAGCGCAUGUAUUUUGACUCUCUUGUGACUUGAUGGAAAUUGUAAUUACCUUCAAAGGUUGUGAUGGGUGGCAAAUAUCUAUUCAAUUUUAACUAAUGAUUUAUUAUUCGAACUUCAAGAAUAAAACUAACUUUGUUAGACAACAAUGAUUUUGAUAUUUUUUUUCUUAAAUGUGAAUUCAGAAUAGUUAGAUGUCAAAGUGAUAUCGAAAUAAAAUACUAAGAAGUAGAAAUAGUACUACUUAAUAUACUCCCUCUGUCCCAAUUUAUAUGACUUACUUUCCUUUUUAGUCAGUCCCAAAAAGAAUGACACAUUUCUAUUUUAAGUAACAAUUUGCCUAUGAAAUGUCUUUUUUACCCUUAAUGAAAUGAUUUACAACCACACAAAUUUCUAUCAUUUAUUUUGGACCACAAGUUUUAAAAGUCUUUCCAUUUUUCUUAAAGUUUGUGCCAAAUCAAAGUACAUCAUAUAAAAUGGGACGGAGGGAGUAUUAAUUUAGGCCUUUGGCUUGACCCACUGACCCAAAGAAAACGUGGGUUGGAUGGGGAGUGUCUUUGCUCGUGCUAUAAAUACCACCUCUCUCUGUUUUCUAUUUCACUUCCAUAGUGUAAGCCAGCUCAGAAUUCAGAGUUCUCAGCUUUCCUUCUUUUUUGUAUCUAAAAUUAGAAUGGCAUUCCUAAAGGCAUUUGCAGCUUUGCUCAUUGCAUCACUUGUGCUUGUCCAUUUCACUUAUGCCCUUCAAGAGGUUCCCCUUUUUCUUAAAUUAGCAUGUUUAUUUCUAAUUAACAUCUUGAAAAUAACGUUUGAUUUUGAAAUGUUGGCGCAGGUAAUUAACAGCAAACCACCAGUACCAAGUCCUCAACCUCUAAAGCCAAUAGGUACGUACUGUAACAUUUUAAGUAUUUCCGCUAUAACUUUCGUAACUGAUUCUAAAUUCUGAAUUCGUCUUUGUUACAGAUUGUACGGGAUCUUGUAAAACGAGGUGCAGCAAAUCGUCUCGGCAAAAUCUAUGCAACAGAGCAUGUGGAACCUGCUGCCAGAGAUGUCAGUGCGUGCCACCAGGGACUUCUGGAAAUUACGAAGCAUGCCCUUGCUAUUUCAACCUUACUACUCAUAACAGUACCCGCAAAUGUCCUUAAAAUCCAUAGCAUAAUUUUGUUCUUCUGCAAAUUCAAAUGUACCUCUUAUUAAAUACUACUAUUAUUAUGUUGUGUACUAUGUCAGCUCUUGAAUUUGAAAUUUAAGGGUAAAAUUGAGGUUGAGAGUUUUUAAUGCAAUAUUAAUAUGGGUAUUAUUAAAUUGAUUGAUCUGUUUACUCUAGUCGUCCCAUUUACUGUGAACAGAAUUAAGUGAGUCUGGACUAAAUGUUGAUUGAAAUAGCUACAUUUAAUAUCUUUCUUCUUUUUGCGUAGAAAGCGAGAAAGAAAAAUUUUAUUUGUACAAAACAAAGCUAGUAGUUAUGGAUAUACGAUAGCACAAUUUUAACUAUUCCAUGAUCGAACAGGUUCUUGGUACUCACUUUUAAGUAACAUGAUGUGAAAUAUUUGUAACGCAUUAUUAUCUGCAGUACAUAAUAAUUGAACUCAAAAGUGUACUGCCUUAGUCCCAUGUGUAUUUUGGACUCUCUUAAUAAUUUAUUAAUUAAAUGUUUAUUUUAUUAAAUUAAUUAUACUUAAGAGAUUUAAAUUAAUUAAAUACUAGAACUCAAAUUAGUUUGAGAAAUAGUUACUUCAGUGAUAUUGGUGAAGUUGGAAAAUAUAAUUGAUUUUCUCUUAAUUUUUUAAAAUGAACAAUAAAUAAAUAAAUAUAUUUAGGGCCCGUUUGGCCAUGCGAUAUGGAAUUAUGAUAUGGAAUCAUGAGAUGAAAUUGAAGUUUUGUUUGGACAUGCGAUAUGAAAUUUUUGUGUUGUAUAUUUUCUCAUAAACAUAAGAAUCUCAUAAGUUGUAAAACUAUUAAAAUAGCCCACAUUGUUUAUUCAAUCUUAUCAAAUAAACAAAAAUUUAUAAAAUCGCAUAAUAAAUUAUUACAAAGCUAUUUGUUCUCCACUUAAGUAAUUGUUUCAUCUAACUUUAAUUUAAUAAAAAAAAAUUGAACAUAAAUUGUAGUGUACUGAUUUUUAAUAUAAUCCUCCCACAUAAUAUGAUUUCUUCACGUUGAACUUACAUUUCUUGAUCAUGUGACCAAGAAGACGAACCAACAUUGUUGCUUUGAGCCAUUUGUUGGUCAAUAUCAUCCACAACUAUAUCUUCAUGCUCAUAGACCAUAAAUAUUUCAUCAGUACUUUGGUAUUCUCGCAAAUAAUUAUGUAACACUGCACAAGAUAUGACAAUUUUCAUUUGUGUAUCAAUAUCAUAAUAGUUCAUGCCUUGUUUCUAGUAUUCUAAAUCUAUUUUUCCAAGCUCCAAAAAAUCCAUUCAAUCACAUUGCGCAGAGAUGAAUGCCUAUAAUUAAACAGUUCUUUGGCAUUUUGAGGCUCUCUUUCACUUCCUCAGUAAUCUUGCAAAUGAUAGCGUAGUCCUUUGUAUGGAGCUAAAACGGUUGGAGUAAAUGAACAGAACAAAUUUAUUACUCAACAAUCGAUUGAUGUGAGUUAAAGUGACUAUAUGUUGGUGAGAAUAAUAAAUUUUAUGUUGGUUAGAAUAAUAAAAUUUUAAAAAGUAAUGAUGUGAUUAUAAAUUUUGUUUACAUAUGAAAUAAAUGGUUAGUAGAUAUAAAUGUGGGGUUGUUUUAACAAAGUAUAAACUCGUGGAUCAAUUUUUGUAUUAAAAUAUUUCAAAUCAUGAUAUGAAAUUCCCAUAUAAUUUCAUAUCAUGGUUUUUGGAGAAUAUGGUAUCACAUCUCAUGAUAUGGAAUCAUGAGAUGGAGUCAGCGUAAAAUCGCAAUGUCCAAACGCUGAUUCCAUCUCACGAUACCAUAUCGUGAUAUGGUAUCGCAUGGUCAAACUCCUACUUAGUAUAAUUGAGAAGUGAAAACAAGGAAACAAAGAGAGUAAUGUACAAACAACCAAAAGUUUCACGGAAAAUAGUCUUUUAUCUCAAUUUAUGUGUACUUUUUUUUUUUAGUGAUGUUCCAAAAAGAAUGUCACAAUUCUAUAACUAAAAGUGAUCUGAUUUUAAUUUUAAAAUUCACUUUUUACUCUUAAUAAAUAAUUUAUAGUCAAACAAAUAUUUAUAAUGUGAUGCUUAACCCCCGCCCCCAACUACGGGGGAAGUCACACUUUAACUUCCUGCCUUGACCUAGGCCUCACAUCGAUCGUUCUGUCCACUAAACUCAUCAAUCAAUCUUGACCUUGACUCUCACUAUGUACUCCAACUCUAUCUAUUAAUGUAGACACUUUAUCUAAUGAAGCAUGAAGAAGACUAGGAAAGCAAUCGAACAGACAAGGCUCUGUAAGAGAAGAGCUAACUGGAGUACGCCUUGAAUGACGAACGAAGAGUAUGAGAAGAGAGUUUCGAAGGUCAGAUCGAAUUCGCUGAUAAAACUUGUGUUUUAAAUAAAUUUUUGAAAUUUGUUUUUCUUUUAUAAAUUUUAAAAUGAUGUCAAAUGAAUUAGACCGUAACGAGGGAGCGUUACUUGAUCCUAUAAAGAUGACAGAUAAUAGCCUAAUAUAGUUUAAAGACACGCUUUUCGUCAAGAAUUUGGAAUGAAGUAAAGUUGACGGGUCCUUGCUGUACAAAACACUCAAGCAAAGUACGUCACUUUUGGACAUAUAUAUUGUUAAAUUUAGUGUAGCUUUAGUUCAUAACUUAAGGACUAGUCACAAACAUUAAUUUGAUUUGCAUUUUUCACACUUUGAGAGCCUUAAAGUGUGUUAAUUUUUUAUUUUACACUUCACCUGUUCAUCUUUACUUGUACAUUAUACUAAAAUUAGUUGUCUAAAAAUAUUUAUCAAAUUUGAAAAAUCAAGAGAUAAUUUAAUUUUCGUGUUUGUUUUAUCCUUGAUAUUAAAUACUAUAAUAUUUACUAUCUAAUUUAUUUUCUUAAGCAUUAUAUUUAAUAUAUUUAAAGAUUAAUAUAGUAAUAUUAUCUCUGUUAUUUAUUAAUUUUAAAAUAUAUUGCAAAUCAAUAUUGGACCGCUAUUAUUGGUAUCGUAUUAUUUGAAUGUCUUUAGGAGACAAUUAUGAAUGGAUUUUAGUAAAGAAUGUUGACAAGUCAAAGUGAUUAGCUUGACUGUAAUGUGAGUUAGGUGAGGGUAUCCAAGUUGUGCUCACUCCAACCAAUGCAUUCAUCAAAGCCUACUCACCCACAGCUGGCUGCCUGCCUGCUCCCUUAGUAAUGCCGGUGCUUCUUUUAUCUUCCUACAUCUAUUUUUACUUUUAUAUGUCUCUUAUAAUAUAUAUAUAUAUAUAUAUAUAUAUAUAUUAAUUUAUUUUCAAAUACACUUUUUAAUGUGAUUAUGAUGGGAUGUAGGUAAUUAGUGCAAUCUUUUGAUUAAAUGUGUGCAUGAAAAUGUUCUUUUGAAAUUUUACAACAUUUAUGCAGCAGGUAAUUACUAUUGUUUACAAUUUAAAAAAUGAAUGAAUUUUAAUUAAUGUUAUCUUGAUUUUCUAAAUUGACAAGUAGUAAUUUAAGAUAAAUAUAUUUAAUAAUGUAGACAAAUAAGUAAAUAUAUAAUUAUUAGCAUAUGAUAGUACAAAUCUUUUUAGUAAUGUGGUUAUGUAAAAAAUGUAGUGAUAUCCCACCAAAGUGAGGAGAGCUCUGAUCCCACCAAAGCUACUGAAAAUCAAUUGAAACUGUGAAAGUGCGGUAUUCAUGAACUAACUGGAAAAUGUAAUUGACAGUUGUAGUCUCCACUGCCCCAUAAAUUAAGUUCCUCAUUUUAUCUCAUAAUUAAAAUAAAGUCGGGUCAAGACUCAACGGGUUCUAGGGAGUUAAGUAAAAUAACAACCAUGACUAAUCCAAUGUCCUUUUUUUUUGGAGGGUGGGUGAAUUGAAAUAAUAAUCAAUUUAAGGUAAGUAUAAGUAUUUUAGUUUCACCAAGAGCAGUGCAAUUAGUUGGAUAUAUAGUAGUAUAACCAAUGCAUGCAUGCAAACAUGAAUAUGAAAUCAUUAGGAGUAGUUUGGUUCAAAAUAAUGUUACCUCAUGAUUAUAAUCAUGGAACUACCAUUAUACAUCAUUCCAUCUUCUAUAGGUGAUGAUACAUAAUCUCAUAAUUUUGAUAUAAAUUUUGUCAUGUUUUUAGUUUAUACCCACAACCAAACACUAGACAAAUUUAACCUUAGGUUCCUCUAACAAAUGACCCUUGAAGGAAAAAUUCCAUAAGUAGUGCCCAUUAGAGCAACAUGACUUUCCUUUCAAAACAUAGCAAAACUCAUAAAUAUAUGAAAUGUAUAUAAAGUGUAAGUCAUAUCAUGUACGUAUUGUAAACCAUCACCUAAAAUAUAUGGCGAUAGAUAACAAUGAUUUUCUAGAAUUGAAACUUCAACAACAGCAAACGAGUGACAGUGACAACUAGGGUUUUUAAAUGUACAGAUAUGUGUAUAAUUACGCUACACCCUAUAAUAAUUAUUUUUUUUCCUUAAUAAAACAGGGGCUAAUCACUUGGGCAAAUGAAAACUUUGAUAUUGGGUUGAUCCUAGUUCAUAUAGAGGUGGGCAUGAAAUGCACCAAAAAAGCCCAAGUCCAUGUUUCAAAUCCUAACGGCUACUUUGUUAACGCGCUGCCUGCCUUACAAGAAUGUUCUAACGGUCACUUUAUGUUUUCCCAUUGUGAAACCCUAUUUCCACAACUAUAAAGUCCUCUUCUCUCUGCCCAAAUUCCAUCUCAUUGUCUUACUACUCUCUGUCAGUGAAUUUCUCCUCUCUGCAGUUCUUGAUCUGAAUAAGAAUUUCGGUAUACAAGUAACCCAAAAAUCAAACUUCACUGCAAUAUUCAUCAAUGGAGACUCCAUCAUCAACAAGAAGGGUGACAAGAUCACAAGCCUUGGCUGUGGCUAACAGUGCUAACAAGAUCCCUCUGUCAACUAGUAAGUUUUUAUUGCCCUGUUUUCAUUUUCCCUUUCUUGAAAUUUAAUUUGAUUUCUGAAAAGUUAUUUCUUUUCCUGUUCAGAGAAAAUUGAAGAAUCUGAGAAGAAAACAGUGGCGAAAUCAAGAAACAGAACUGGGAAACAAUCAGCAUUGAUUGAUAUAACGAAUGAUUCCCCCAUUGUUGGUCUUGCUAUGGGGAAUUUGGGGACCCCAUCUUCAGAGAUGUCUAAGAAAAGGACUAUAGGUCUAGCCAAAUACUUGAGUACACCUGGAUCUGGCGAGGAUUUAUUGAGGGGACAAGUUAAGACUUUGUUGCAAAAGGUUGAAGAAGAAGCUGUGCUCUCGAAGAUUUCGCUGGAAAAUAGGCCUUUCCUUCAUCUCAAAGGAAUUAUCAACUCUCCCAUGGGUCUUCUUGCCCCAACUCCUGCAAAUACACCUCUUAUGGAUUUCUCUGUCAAUGAAUUGCCUGCUGUUACUGCAUCCCCUGUUGAAGACAAGUUUGUCAUUUCUCAGGUACAAUUUCAAUUACCUGUAUCAAUUAGUAUCAAGAAAGAUUCCUUCUUUAUUACUUGUUUGAUUUCAGAAAUCCAAGAUUUGAAUUAGCUGAUUGUAUGUUACAGAUGAUCAAUGAGAUGUUUGAAGGGGGAAAACAGGGGAAUCUUGAAUCUGAGAAAAGUUACUUAACAAGAUCGCUGCUGCUGGAUUUUUAUGAGAAACCAGAAGACUCGGAACAAUCUUCUGUGUGUUCCUCUGUGCUGACAUACCAAGGAUGUGAUGUUGAAAGCAAGGAGAAGACGACCCCUUCAGAUGACGACAAUGCAUCUGUGUGGUCGAUUCAGGUGAAUGCAAGUACUAAGGAUGAAGAAGAAGAAGAAGAAGGUGGACUUGAAGAAGAUGAAUAUGAUGAUGACAAGUAUGAUGAAAUUGAAGAGGAUGGAAGUGAAGUUGACGAUCUGUGUGAAGCGAUUAGCAAGAUCAAUGUGAAUUUUGAGGGGAAGCAUACGCGUUUUGUGUACAACAGUGAUGAUGAGCUUGAAGGUGCUGAAGAGUGCAAUGUUGAGGCUGCAUCAUCACCAGGUGUCUUGCACUUGAAGGGGUUGCCAACUCCAAAAGGGAAGCAUCUUCGCUUCCCUGAAGAACACUGAAGGAAGAAAUUUCUAGGCUUAUAUUGAUGUUUCUGUUUUUGACACACACCUGCUCUGUGGUGCUAUAAUACUUGUCAUGAUCUUUUUGUCCUUAUAGUUACUUCUCUUUUGCUGCUGCUACAUUGUAUUCUUUUGGUUCAUAUCUGAUUUGGACCUUUUGAAAAUUGGCUGUCAAAUUGAUGAUAUAUUUCAAAAAUCAUCUCUUUCCAAUGUCUCUGAAAGUUGUUUAUUACAUUCUUUUGGUUCAUAUCUAAUAUGGACAGUUGAAAGUUAUGCUUGCUACUUUCUAUAGUCACUUGCCACGAUUUUCUAUGAUAUUAUUUGAUUACUUUUUUGAGUUUAUUAAAAGACAUGCCUAGUAAUAGAAUAGGAGGAAGAAAGUGAAAGCUGGACGAUAGAAGCAAUGGGUCAAACUGAAAAAGAGUAGCAACUGUUUGAAUAAUAAUAAAACACCAACCCUAAACUGAUUUGAUCAAAUUCAAUUUUACCAAAGUGGACCUUUAUCCUACGGCGGCUAUAGCGGCUCAUGGGAGACAUGUAUACACAAGAGAUCGACUCGUUAAAUGCGGAGUGAGUGACACAGGAAAUUGACUGAACAUGCAUUAUAUGUUCAUGCAAUGAAGAGGAAGAAGAGACACUGGAACCAGAGAAUUUUUCGGCAUACUUCAAGAGAUCCAACUAAUGUUGCAAAACAGGUGAUUUGAGAAGUCUUCCUAGAACAAAAGUCUACCAACACUGUGGCAAAGAUACUAGAGAAGCUAAAUUUCUAUCCUAGAUGAUUUGAUUGGCAUGAAAUGUAGGAAACAAUAGUUAUCCCCAUGACAAAUAGGAUCAUGAUGAUUGCAAUUCACUCAGUGAUAGAUUUCUUUGUUCAGCAUGAUUGGCUUUAAACCAAAUUGUAUAAAUUCCUUGCUGGUUUUAAAAAAAUAUUUAUCAGAAAAAAACAUAAUUUAAAUUUAAUUUACACAUAUCCUUUAUUGUUUCCCUUAAUGUUUGAAGCAUUUAUACGUUUUUCUUAAGGGAAACCCGCAACUGCUAGCCUCCAAAGCUGAUUAUUCUCAUUCAAAGCUGAUUAUUCUCAUUCGACAUUCAACUGUUAUGUUCCUCAAUACCGAGUCUAUGCUACUUCAGCAAGAACGAUCACAGAAAUAUCACAACAGAUACAAUCACAACCUUCUUCGAAAGUAGCUCAAAACCAUGAACAUAUUAGGCUGCACUGAGUAAAACUAAUUCCACUAUUUGUUGACUAACAUUGCCUCUAUAAGCGCCUGGAAAGAACCGGCAGCAAAAGGAAUCAUUUAUAUACAUGAGCAACUAGCAAUAAUAUUUACACUACUAUCUAGCUUGCAUCACCUAAAGGUAAAUACAAGAGACUAUACAGUCACUAAUUAAUGUUAGAUUACACUAUUAGACACCUAAAAGUUGGCAUAACACGAAAAUUAAAUUAGAAAAAAAUAAAUCAGAACCAAGGAUGCCACGUCGGAUCCAUCAUGCACAAGUUCCUUGGAGUAAGGGCAGCUUCAACCAACUCCGCUACACCCCUCUGCACAGAUUGUGGCGGAUCCAUGCCAUUCUCCUCCUAUACAAGUUGAAAGAAGCCAAACACAACAAUGUCACAAUGCAGGCAUUUAGAUAUUAACUGAAGCUAAACUUAUCUAUCUAAGCAUAUGAUUUCAGUCACACAGAUGUCUAUAUAAUAAUAGAAUACACAGGAGAUGGCUAAUGCUUGAUUUUAUUGAAACAGGAAAGUGGUAAUACCAUUACUUGGUGAGGAACUCAAAAGCUAUAUAAAUAGCACCAAAAAGAAAAUAACUGGAUACCUCUUCUGAGAUGUAUUGAGGGGCUAUUCCAUUGAUCCGCCCAAUGACAUUCUCAACAUUUGUAGCGACUUUUUGUUUGAAGUCCACAGGGUUCAGAUUACCUGCCCCUACAACAGGGGCCAGAGGCAUCCCAAGAGGCCUUCUCCAAGACCAAGAUAACAACUCAUCUCGGAAAAACAUUGCCAGAUGAUACCAUAAGAGCUGGCUUUGCUGCAGAUGGUAAUUUAUUUAAGUCAACAGCAUUCAGGAAUUAAACAAAGCAGAAAAUAUGAUGUGUGCAGAAAUAAAUCUUACUUUAGGAGAGACCACAGCCUGAGCAGCAGCACACAUGGCAGAAACAACUAAGCCUUCUACUCCAAAAUGAGAGAAAAACGCUUGCAAAUUUCUGGUCAGGCGGAACGGCACUGGUUCAUUAAAUUCAAUCAUUCCAUUUGCAUCAUAAGCAGGAUGGAAAUCAGUCUGGAAAAUUUUUCCGGUGUUUUUAGCAAAUAAUAUCUUGUUUGGAGACCUUCCACCAAUUUGGAGCAUGAACGACAUAAAACUAGAAAGAGCCAACUGGAUUGCAAACUGCUUUUUGAAAGCCCACAUGUGAUUGCCACUCAAGAGUGUUUUGUACAUAUACUGUGAGAAUAUGCUUUCUGUGACGAAACUUUUGGUGAUCUCAUUAUAUGCUUGAAGACGGAGAUCAACAACAGCAUCUGGUGAGAUCUGUCCAGAUAUUGCUUGGUUGAGUUGCUCCUUGAAAAAUGUGAUUGGUAAGUCUGCUUCUCGGUCAUUUCUUGCACAAUGGUUCUCAUAAACCUCCAGGAAAGUGCUGUACAUCAAAUCAUCCUCUACCAUGCGAACCUAUAUCAUGAAUUCACAUGGAGUUAUUCGAAAGAAAAAAGCUCAAUGUUGAAAACUUAUGAUAAUCAAACAACACAAAAAACUAGAUAUAAAGGCAGUUACUGUGUAGAAUGCAAUUUGCAUCACUACAGCAAUUAUACUAUAACUCAAUAGAGCAUGACUGCCUUAUUUCUGGCUAAUAGACAAAAAGGGGGAAAUGUAACACUAGUUUAUGAGGUGAAGAGGAUUAGUUAAUACCUGUGACCACACAGGUAUAAUAAUUGGGGUGUGAAUGCAGAUGUGCCGCCGCCGGGACUCCUUGUGCUUAUCAAACAUCCGAUUCAUCACACGGAAAAGCUGUAGGAUCCGCUCAUCACUUCUGGCAUUUGGUGUUAAAGAUGUCUGAACAAUAAAAUGGCGCUGAGAACCAUCUGAUCCAAUCAGUGUCAAACGGCGGAAGCUGCUACCAUGCCUCCGCACUAUUGGAAUAUCUGCUGCCACCCUGUCUAACUUCACAGUAUGAUCUGGUGCAACUUCCUGAAGAAAAGACCAUAGAUCAGGGAAAAGUACUAUGAUAUCUACUAAAGCAAGAAACAGAAGAAGGGAAACCAAGAAACAAAUCCCAUUGAUCUCACGACAAGUCCAUUAUGUCAUUUAUACAACUAAAGCCUCGUGAAUACAUUUAGCACCAGGAAAUUCACGUCCCAUUUCGGCCAUGGGUUUUACUGCAACACAUUCUACUUACAUUUUUAAAGGAGAAGACUAAGAUACUUACAUGAUCAGUAAAGUACUGUCCUGGAAUUUCCACAUCAACAACAUGAAAAUCUCUCAACACCCUACUUUCAUCUUCCAGCUUAAGCACAGCUGGAAACCGGUCCUCUACAUUGCUUUGCAGGACAUUUUUCCAAUGCUUCAGUCUUUCAGUAAGUUCAGAAAGAGUGGCCGGAAAUGUUGCAGCACUGUCAGGAUCGAGAUCACGUUCAAAAUCCUGCUUGUAUUCUCUUACAAAGUCAACAUGUUUGUUCACUGCAUCUGCUGAGAAACAUGCUCUACACACGCCAGAAAGCUCCUUCUUCAGAGACUGAGGAACUUCAGCUGUAGUUGCAGUCGGGUACUUGUAACAACGGUGAAGUAGAGCAUUAACAACUGCCAACAGUCUCUCCUCUGGCAAAGUGACAAAUCUGGAUCCGAUCUCAGUGAGCAAGAUCUGAUAAAUUUUAUCAGAAGACGCAUUAGCAACUUUACUUAUGCAUAAAUGAAGAAAAAGAUUUAUAAUGUAGGUAAUCCCUUUCGAUAAAUCAAAACAUCUACUGAUACUACCCAAGUUUGUAAGGUCUUUAUGUAAUACACGUAUUUAUUAAGCCCCUCCAAUAAUCGAAGCAAUCAACCAUACAAGUUUGAUAAUUUCUGUUGACACUAAAGGUACAGAACAGACAAAAGAUAAGUCUUAACCAUGAGCCCCACCAAAUGCUUCCUUUUUAAAUAUUCAUUCUCUCCAUAGAAUCCAAAACACACAAAGUAUGCUGUCCUUCAUAAAUUUUACAAGAAGAAAAACCAGAAUUCGUUUUUCUUUCAUAUGGUAUCAGUGAAAAGGUGCACAAGUUAAAAGGUUCUGAGAAAAUGUAGCAUCCAGUCCUUUUCCAAGCCUGAUAAUGGAUACAAUAUCCAAUCCUUGCUACAGUACUAAUCUUUAACAACCAUAUUAAGUGAAAAAUAGAAGUGUCUCAUCUAACCAGACAUUUAUUUGUGAAAAAUAAACAAUACCAGUCACCCACCUCAAGUUCACUGGCCAGAUUAGAGUGUUUGCUGCGUAAAGUUUCCAUUAUAUCUUUGGCGGCAUCAAAAGCACUGGCAGCAGAUGCAACUAAACUCAGAGCACUAUUACGACGUAGCGCAGCUUGACCACCAUCACUGCCUGAUGAACCCUGAUGUAAGGACUGGUCAUUACCAGAGGGCAUACUACUGUCUUGCCUUUCAGGUUCCUGAAUUUGAGAACUAUUGCCAUCCUGUGAUCCAACACCUCCGCCAGACUGAGCUCCCUGGGGAAUAUGAUUUUCACCAGCUGAUGAUCCCCCACUCUGGCCAGUCAUUCUAGCAUUCCCAUCAGCAAGGCCCAUAGGAGCAGCUGCAUUGGCACCAGAAACAUUUUGCUGCAUUCUUUGCUGUGCCAUUGCCAUUCUGCCAUAUUCAGACUUACUUGCGACAUCCCGGCGCUCAAGCAAAUAUGUUCGCAACCAGUAAUACAAUGCCUGCAAUUACAUGCAAGAUGACAUCGGAUCUAAAGGUCACUAAGCAUAUGAAAUGCACAAAACACCAACAAGCACAACAUUACCUGUGGAAAGACGGUAGCAACUUUCAUUAGCACAAGCUUGCAAUGUGGAGCUUCUGUCCUCUGCAAGGAAAGUAAUAACUGUGGAAUCCAAGAAAGCCAAACCCAGUUGGGUAUCUGCUCCAGGUACUUAUCAAAUGCCCUCCCAACAGGUUCAUUUGGAGUAUCAAAACUGAGAAGAUAUAGAACCCGUGCGAGGUGGCCUCUCGAAUUAGGAAUACCAAAUUUGAUGCCUUGUAAGAAGCAGCUAACAGAGUACUCUAACCAAAUCUCUUCGUGUGUUUCCUUAUAAGCCUGUCAAAGGCCAAAAUUUAUAGCAUAUUAAACAGAAAAAAAAAAUUGAACCAAAGAAAUGAACCUGGAAUAAGCAAAUACAUACCAUGUCACAAUAGUUUCCCCAACUAAUCCACCCCUUCGGCAGAUUCUUGAAAAGACUGAUAGCAUUUGAAUAAGCAAGAUUAGCCCCUUCACAAUCAUUAAGCUUUAACAGAAAGUCUCCCUUGAGGCGAAAGAUUUCAGCUUUGUGCUUAACAGAAAAAUACUCCAGAUUAGUACUGUUUAUCAAAUUAAGGCCACUAGUCAGCUCUCCCUUCAUUUCUAAAUAAGCUUUUGCUUGUUCUCUUAUUUUCACAAAAGCUUCCUGCAAUCAUACAAAAGAAAAAUGCAUCAAACCAUGCAGCAUAUCAAACCAUUCAACUUUGCUUCUUUUGGGUUUUCAGUUUAUCCUAUCUUCUUUUCCGGGGUGUCCGAAAGAGGCAUAAACACUUAGAGCUAUGGGAAAGAACCCAAGUAGACAAAAUGGAGUGUAUGUAGUACCUGAACUUCCAUGGUUGAAUGUCCAUACAUCUUCUCCAACACAGACACACACACCUCAUAAAGACCCUGCUUACGAGCAAUAUGAGCAAGCUUAUUGACAUUCCAAGCCUUGUCACGAUAUCCAAGGUGAUGCAACUGUGAAUUUGUACUACCAAAAUCCUUAAAAGCAUCAAUCACAGCAUUAUACAUUUCAUUCCUCCAUUGAAGUAAAUCAUACCAAACAGACGAACUGUCCCAUUCAUUUGGUAUCCUUAGCCUCCAUGUCUCAAGGAUGUCCUUAAGAUCAGCAUAUAGGCCACCAUGAACCCCAACAGCAGAAUUUCCAGAGAGUUUAUUUCCAUUGGCAAUGUCCACAAUUAUCCUAGCUGAUUCUUGAACUUCAACUAGUUGUUGAAAUUGCUGUAGAAGGGAAAUUUUGGCAUGAAUGGACAUUUCAGGUAACUGCCACCACUGUUCCAAAGCAAGAUCAACACCUUUUCCAACAGUGUUUUCAGCCUCAGCCACGCCAUUUGUACUCUUCUCAUGAAGGGAAAAAUAGGACUGAAUAAUACGCAGUUUUGGACUAUCCUCCACUUGAGCCUUUGGGAUAACAUGGUCUUUUAAAUAUGCCCAAUCAGGCUGUUUCCACAGACUAUCAAGCAAUAUCUCAUAAUUUUCAACCAUCUUGCCAAAGUCGACCAAUACAUCCCAUUGACUCAGUUGACUAGCACAACUUAGCCACUGCUCCUCCCAGAGACACAUUUCAGCUUUUGGAACUGUAUUGUUGUAAGUGCCCUGGGUUGCUUUAACCAUGGCUUGGUAGAAGAGACUUUGAGCCCGCUGCCAAUAGCCAUGCUGAACCAGAGAAAGUCCAGCCCGUGUUUCAGCAGUAAUUGACCGUUUCUUCCACAAUCCACACCUCAUAUCUUCUUCAUUGAGUAAUCGGUAAAGCUCAGCAAGAGACUCUGAGCAUUUCGUGUCAUUCAAGAAAAGCAUAACAUGACUUUCCAGCAGCGCUAACGCAAUGUGCCAUGCAUUGUAAGUUUUUCCAAUGUAUUUGAUUAAUUCACUAGGCAUUCGAGGCUGAGGAUGACUCAGCUGAAGUCCUUCCAGAAGAGCUUGCACAACAUUUGGUCGAUGGGUUGCCUGCUUCUUAUGAUAGUCCUUUGAUAACAGAGUUAUCAUUGGCUUUGCAAGCGCUACCUGUUCUUCCUUGUGCAAAGUCACCCACACAAUAGGGAACACCAAAACCCAGAGGUGAUACGCAACAUUUGCAUCCGUGUGUGCCAGUUCUC
rnacentral:lncRNA from 1 species